rnacentral:lncRNA from 1 species
UAGCUUCAAGGAGGAUUUGAUCAGCAACAUACAAGGCAUGCUGGGCUUGUAUGAAGCUGCACAUCUCAGGGUUCAUGGAGAGGACAUACUUGAAGAAGCACUUGCUUUCACCACCACUCACCUCAAGGCCACGGUAGAAAGUUUAGGAUAUCCUCUUGCAGAACAAGUUGCUCAUGCCCUGAAGCAUCCCAUUAGGAAAGGUUUGGAGAGGCUAGAGGCAAGAUGGUAUAUAUCUCUCUAUCAAGAUGAAGCUUCCCAUGAUAAAACUUUACUAAAGCUGGCAAAGUUAGAUUUCAAUCUAGUGCAGUCCCUGCACAAAGAAGAGCUAAGCAAUCUUGCACGGUUGGUUUUUAAAUCACCCUUCAUGCACUCGGUCAUUCUUACAGUUGAGUGUGCUAAUUAUAUAUAUUGAUGUAUUUUAGGUGGUGGAAAGAAUUAGACUUUGCUACAAAGCUACCUUUCGCACGGGAUAGAUUUGUGGAAGGCUAUUUUUGGAUACUUGGGGUGUACUUUGAGCCCCAAUAUUCACGCGCUAGAAGAAUUUUAACCAAAUUAUUUGCCAUGGCUUCCAUUAUAGAUGAUAUCUAUGAUGCAUAUGGCACACUUGAAGAACUCCAGCCCUUUACAGAAGCCAUUGAGAGGUUUGAUACACGGAGAUUACCCAACUUGAUUGAGUAUUAUAUGUAAAUAUACUUCUAAUCAGGGUUGGGUAUUUUAUGUUCAGGUGGGAUAUUAGCAGCAUCGAUCACCUUCCGGAGUACAUGAAACUCUUCUAUGUGACACUCUUAGAUCUGUACAAAGAAAUCGACCAAGAGUUGGAGAAAGAUGGAAACCAAUAUCGGGUUUACUAUGCAAAAGAAGUAGUAAGACACCUUUAACUCUAAAUCUCCACAUUUUGCAUUAUGAUAUUUUAAUGAGUCUCAUACACAUAUAGAUAUAGCUAAAACUUGGAUGAAUGUUCUUCAGUUGAAGAGUCAAGUUCGAUCUUACUUUGCUGAGGCGAAAUGGUCCCAUGAAGGAUACAUACCUACAAUAGAAGAGUAUAUGCUUGUUGCACUCGUGACCGCAGGUUCCUGCAUACUUGCAACCUGGUCUUUCAUUGGAAUGGGAGAAAUCAUGACAAAGGAGGCCUUUGAUUGGGUGAUCAGUGAUCCUAAGAUUAUCACAGCUUCAACUGUAAUUUUCAGACUCAUGGAUGACAUCACAACACAUAAGGUAUGGUGAAUGUACAGGAAUUGCUUCCAAAGACAGGAAAUGAGUUAGUAGGGCUGUUGGAUCAAGUUGUCAGCUUGAUAUGUUAACUUAGUGAACUUCAACCCAAUCACCUAAUAACAAAAUUUUUAGGUCAAAUUUUUAUCUUUAGAGUGAGAAAAUAAUAUACUCAUGAUUUUCCUAAACUUUUUUGUUAAUAUUAUGCAUGCAGUUUGAGCAAAAAAGAGGGCAGGUGGCCUCAGGCAUUGAAUGUUACAUGAAGCAAUAUGGUGUCUCUGAGGAACAAGUGUACAGUGAGUUCCACAAGCAAGUUGAGAAUGCAUGGCUGGAUAUUAACCAGGAAUGCCUCAAACCUACUGCCGUUCCAAUGCCUCUCCUCACUCGUGUUGUCAAUCUUUCACGAGUCAUGGAUGUCAUUUACAAGGAGGGAGACGGGUACACACAUGUUGGGAAAGUGAUGAAGGAUAAUAUUGGAUCUGUGCUCAUUGACCCCAUAGUAUGACCAAAUGGAGUUAUUUAUAAUAAAUCAUUAUAAUAAGGUGUGUUAGAGAAAUCCGUAGAAUAAAAGAUCUACGGAUUAUUACAAAUGGUGUCUUAAAUACAGUUUUAGUGGUCAAGAUCUAGGACUGAGUUUUUUCUUGUUCUGUUUUCAACAACUUAAUAACAACCUGUAACAGCAAGCUAGUACUGAGAUCCUCAACUCUGAGUUUGUGUCUUAAGGCUGGAAAAUUGGAAGUAGAGAUGGCCUUUAUGAGAACAUCAGCUAUUUGAUCUUGAGAUUGCACAUGAUGAACUUCUAGCUCCUUUUGCAUCACUUUCUCUCUAGCAAAGUAGAGAUCCAAUUCAAUAUGCUUUAUUCUGGCAUGUAGUACUCGAGUGUAAGCUAACAUGAUAGUACUCAGGUUAUCAUUAGGAACCUGUAAUUCAAACAACAAUGAUUGUAACCAAGAUAAUUUUGUUGUUAAGUUGGCCAAACUGCUACACCCAUCUUGGCUUUGGACAAAAGAUCUGCUAUAUACUUAGUUUGGGAAAGAUGCAAACCUUCUGAAGUUUGCUUGACUUGUAUUCCCAAAACAUAAUCAACUAAGCCAAGAUCUUUUAGAGUAAAAUGAUCAUGGAGCUUAUCAUUCAACUUUUGUACUUUUAUGUCAUUGCUUCCUGUUACAGACUAGAUAAAGUGGAAUGUUGUGGAGUGAUGCUACAAGAGAGACUGAUCUGACUUUGCNNNNNNNNNNNNNNNNNNNNNNNNNNNNNNNNNNNNNNNNNNNNNNNNNNNNNNNNNNNNNNNNNNNNNNNNNNNNNNNNNNNNNNNNNNNNNNNNNNNNCACCAUAGGAUAAACAUUUCAUUAAAGUCAAAGCUUGCAACUUGAUAAAAGCCAAUUUUCGUUUUGUAUUGCUUCAUCAACAAAUUCAAGUUGUACAGCAGAAUAUAGACUUUAGGCUUGUAAAUGACAACCUUGGAUCUUGUAAUCAUGUUGUGUGAAUUGGUGAUAUGCAACCUGUCCUUGUUAGGUAAGACCGAAUCAAACAAGUCAGUAGCAUCAACACAAAUGGCUGAAUUAGGAAUACCAGUACAUAUAGUAGAGUCUGGAGAUUCAACUCGAUGACCAAGAGUUUCUUGAAAUUGGUUGAAAACUAGAAGAUGAAGAAGUAGAGUUGGAUGGUUUUAUAGAAGAAGAUGUCAAAAUUAGAAGUUUGGCUAGUGUGCAAUGUGAGUGAAAGUAGAGGCAGCACAGGGUUCUAUUAUAAACAACAUUUUCUCGACUUUCAUAUUAAUUUUUUUUUAAAUAUUGUAAACUCUUUGAACAAAAUUAAACAAUGAAAUAUAGAAACUCUAAUGAAACUGUGGACCCCACAUUUCGUACGAUACAUUCCCACUCGAUGUCGAGCUCAAUUUUUUUAUUUGAAAAUGAUUUUAUUUACUAAAAUAAUGAUUUGGAGUCGCCACUUAUUUUUGUUUUAUUUUUAAAAGGGCAAACAAAAUAAGAAAGAAAACCUUAAGUGUGACUCCUUAUUUUGGAAAAUGUGAUCUGUGAAAAAUCGGAUCAGGCUCGAGGGUCAGGUUACUUAUCGAGAAGGUACGGUAAAGACCGUAGCACCCCUCUAAGUCCCUAAAGUAGAGUCUCUACUAAUAAAAUGAAGCUGACGUGACAAUCAAUAGGAAAAUCAAUGGAUACUUAGGGUGAUCAUGCACAUGGGAGAAUCAAAACACUCAAUAAAGGACGACAGAAGUGAGAACGAGGCAUACCUUGGCAUCAAUCAAUCAAUGCGCUAUAAAAAAAGAGGGUUAGUAUACAAUUAAAAGAAUAAUCUCAUGCAUGUCAUAGAGCAGAAUGAAUCAAUCAUGUGUGAUAAUCAAAUCAAUCAAUCAAUCAAUCAUAAAAUCACUUAUGUAAGGCCCCCACCGAAGCCCGUUUAUUUUGCAUGAAUUAAUGUCACAGAUUCCAUUAUUCUGGAAUUAUGAAAAAUUCAUUCAUGCUUAUUAAAAUCAAGAGGAGCGGAAGAUUGUUUGAAAACCAGAGUGGAAUUAAAACUAUUUGAGAGAAAAUUGGAUUUUUGAAAUUUAUUCGAAAAAUUUGAGUCUCGAAGAUUACUUGAAAAUUGGAGUUUUAGAGUUUAUUUGAAGAUCGGACUUUUGGAAAUUAAAUGUGAGAAUGAGAAUUUUAGAAAUUACAUUUUGAAAGAGAUUGAAAUUUUGAAAAUGAUUUGAGAGUUCGGGAUUUUUUUAAAAAAAAUUAAAUUACGAAAAUUGGGACCUUGGAAAUUAAAAUUUGAAAGAAAUCAGAAUUGAAAGUUAUUUGAGAAGCAUAAAUUAUGGAAAUUUAAUUAUAAAAAUUGGAAAUCUUGGAAAUCGCUCGAAGGUAGAAUUUUUAGAAAUGAAUGAAAAUAAUAAUAAUAAUAAUAAUAAUAAUAAGUAACGAAAUAAAUGCGAGAAUUGGAACGUUGGAAACUGGAAAUUAAGUUUGGAGAUGGGAAAAUUGGAAUUUCAAAUAACUAAAUUUAGAAAUCGGAAUUUUGAAGAAUUAGAUUUUAAUAAUUGAGAUUUUUAAGAGAAAUAAAUAGGUAAAUAUGGAAUAAUGUUACUAAUUAAUCAAAACGAUAUUUGAAUGGAUGAAAGUGAAUAGUGAGAUUUUUGAGGUUGGAAAUUAAAUUUGGGUGAUUAAGAUAUUUUAAAAGAAACAAACAGAUAAAUAUAGAAUGAUGUUACUAAUUAAUCAAAAACAAUAUUUGGAUGGAUGAAAGUGAAUAGUGAGAUUUUUAGUUGAAAAUUAGAUUUGGAAGUUAGAUUUUUGAUGAACUUUAAUGAUUGGAAUUUUUUUAAAAGAAAUGACUAAAUAAAUAAAUGGAAUCGUAAUAAUAAUGACCAAAAUAAUAUUUAAACGAACGAAAGUGAAUAAUAGAAUUUUUGAGAUUGAAAAUUAAAUUUGGAAGUCAUAUUUUUUUAAGAAUUGAGCUUUAAUGAUUGGAAUUUUUAAAGGAAAUAAAUAAAUGGAAUAAUGCUAAUAAUAACGAAAAUAAUAUUAAUUAAAUAAAUAAGUGUGAAAAGUUGGAAUUGGAAAUUGAAAAUCGGAAUUUUGAAAAAUUGUUUAAAGAUGGGAUUUUUAAAAAUAAAUAAAUAAAUAGAACGAAAAAUUAUUUAAGGGUGAAAUUUUAAAGUGAAUAAAUAAAUAGAAUAAUAAUAACGAAAAUAAAUAAUUAAAUAAAUGAACGUAAAUAUUAGAAUUUUGAAAUAGGAAAUUGAAUUCAGAGGUCGGAAUUUUGAAAAAUUGUUUAAAGAUGAAAUUUUAAAAUAAAUAAGUGAAUGAAUAAAUAGAAUAAUAAUAACAAAAUAAGUAAUUAAAGAAAAGAACGUGAAUAUUAAAAUUUUUGAAACAGGGAAUUAAAUUCGGAAGUCGGGAUUUUGAAAAAUUGUUUAAAGAUGAAAUUUUAAAAUAAAUAAGUGAAUGAAUAAAUAUGAAAAAUUUUUUAAAGAUGGAAUUUUAUUUUUAUUUUUAUUUUAUUUUAAUAAAAGAAAAUUAAAUUUGAAAAUAAUUAAAUUUUAGGAAGUCAAAGUUUUGAAAACUAAAUAUUUUUUGUAAAAAAAAAAAAAAGGAGUUUUUGAAAAAUUAAAUUAAAAUUGGAGCUUUGAGAAAUUAAAUUAAUAUUGGAGUCUUGAAAAAUUACCUUGAAAUUAAAAUUUUGGAAAUGAAAUCUUUGACAUAAGAAAUCGGAGAAAACUAAGGAAGUAAUAACAAUAAUAAUAAAAAGGAAAUGGCCACACCAAACGUGUACAGCAAGUCCAUAAGGAAUAAACAAAUGAAAAGAAAAAAAACAAGCCCAUUCUCCAAUGCACCUCUCUGCCAUACCCACAAUAGCCAUUCACUUAAUGCCCUGAGGAUACUCCAUUUCUUUCCUCUGUUUUCCUCUGUUUUCUCUCAGUUUCUCUCCGAAUCACAGUCAUUCAAGUAUAAAAUAAGACGCCGAUCAAUAAGAUCAUUCUUAAAGUUGACUUGACAGAGCAAGAUUUCCUUAUCAGCUCCCACGAGGAAUUAUUGCUUGGAGAAGAAUCAAGGACAGCUUUGUAUGCAGGAUUUGACAUGGCUGUAGCAGCUAAAACACCAACAAGCUCACCAGCAGGGAAGAAACGCUGGGGGUUAAUUCUAGUCUUCACUCCAUACUCAAAUUGGAUAAUUGAAUUGCUACAAACAUUCCUCACUGUACCAUCAUAACAGAUAACAACAUCUCGAAGAAUAGCCAUUAAGUUUUUAGACAAGGUUCUUGGUUCAGACAAGCCCCUUGAUGAUCGUACAAUUAUUUCUCUUGUGGAAAUUGAAUGGACCAUUUCCUCAUAAGGAUAAAAAUACAUGGGCAUGAUCUCCAAAAAAAAAAACAAUUGCAGUGAUGAAUCUACACUCAGAACAUUCCAAAACGAAAAAUAAAAAUGCACAAGUAGUCUUCAAGUGUCAAAGGAAUCCACAAAUGACAAGAAACAGAGGAGAACAGUUCAAAAUGGGAAAAGUAAAAAAAAAAAAAGGCAGAAACCAUACCUAGACUAAAAGAAUAAGGUCGAAUGGAUCUUCUGAUUCUCCUCAACUUCCUCUCCUCUCUGUCUCGUUCCCCCCUGCACCUUCAAGCUCCCUCUUGACUUUUUCUUUUCACCAAAAAAAAACUCUGUUUUUUUCUUCCUUGGCAAGCCACUACUUGCUUUCCUAUUCAUCCCUCAGCAAGCAUGGCAUUUUUAACCACCAGCAUGGCCGCCAUCUCCCUCUUGCUGCUACCUGUCCAAUGCAGCUGCCUUCCAUGCAUAGGGAGGUCCCCCCCUACUUAAACAAUGGAUGGAAAAUUUCUCCCCCGGGUGGUGCAAAACAAAUGAAAUACAAAACCUUGGUCUUUGAAGGGGUCUACAGAAACCUAAAAAAUAACUUUUGACUUCUCCAAAAUUAAUUCAAAUAGGAGCUACAAGUAUAUUUAAUAAUAACUUUUGGAAAGUUUAAAGUUGUAACUUAUUAUUCGAACUAUUUUCCUUUCUAAAAAAAGGGAAAAAAGAAUAAAGAAAAACAAAGAAGAGGUUGUUUUUGAAGAAAUUUAAAAAUCAGAGAGUUACUUGGAGUGACUUUUUAAAAUGCCACCAAAAUAUUAUUUUGAUUUAUAUCUAAAUACUAACUCACAAUCCACAAAACUCAAAAAGUAUCCCUAAUAGAAGAUAUUAUCAAUAAAAGGGUUGAUGAUAAACACUCAUAUUUAUCAUUUGGAUUUGCAUAUCUAUAGGAUAAACACUCAUAUUUUUCUUCUCUAUUUUAUUUUUAUUAUUAUUUAUUUUCUUUCUUUCCUUUCUCUUUAUCUUCUUAUAGUUUUUAUUUAUUUUAAAAAGCUAUUAUUUUUGUAAAUUUAUAAAAAUUUUAAAAUAAUAUUAUUGUAAUCAUUACCUUUAAAAAAUAUUAAUUAUUAUAUUUCUUAAUUAACUUCUUUGAAAAAAAAAUAGAACAUAAGAAUGAAAGAUAUGUGAUUUUUAAAAGUAUUUUUUGAGGAUUAUAUCUUUUCCCAAGUUUUUAUCAAAUAAAUAAAUAAAAUAUGAAAACAUAUCAUAAUUAUUUUUUAAAAAUCUCUAUAAAAUUAUUUUUAAGAAAAAUUUUAUGAAACUUUAUGUUUUCAAGAAAAAUAAUUUAUUGUUAAGAAUAACUUAAAGAUAUAAUUAUUAUUACAAUAUAAAAAAAAAAAGUAUUGCAGGAUAUCGGGGAAAGUUCUUACUUCUUAGAUGCAUAUAAAUAUUCUUAAUUUUAAAAUUUAUAUUUUAGGGCAGGGGGGGAAAUUACGUGUCUGAAUGAAUUUCUGUGAUUUUCGUUUUACCCAAACAGGUUAGUGUUACCAUUUACCAUUUAGGGAUUUUCUUUCUUACCAAACAGGACAGGGAAAAGGACUGUUAAUUUCCGAGGGUUUGUGGGUUAGAAAAGCACUGUAGGGAUUCGGCAACCACAUCACCGCCAAUCAUCGCCGCCACAGUCAUUCACCAAGGCAACGCACCAUGUCGAGGUAAUUUGUGUGUCUUCUCCUUUCUUCUUCUUCUUUCUAUAAAUGGAUUGAGUGGGGAUGUCUGGGAGAGCCAGAGAAAAGGGAUUUGGAUCUGGACCCAUGGCCAUUUUGGAGGUCCAAGGGCCAAACCGACUUUCCCACCCUGUUUGGUUUGAUCUCAGUUUUACCGUUUGAUUUAAUAACGGUAGCCUUCUGAUCUGAUGAAUUUGAAGCUCAGUAAAGUUAUGCGUAAUUUUUCAGAAAUUUAGUGGUUUAGCAAUGAUAUAAUUACACCCCUUUUCGUUAUAGUGAAAAUCAUUUGGUAGAUAUGUGAUUUCUUUACUCUGAAAACUGUGGUUUAUGUGAUAGGGUUUUUUAAGAUUUAAUGAAAAAUCGAAACUCCAAUAAAUGAUGAGUGAUUUUGAAGAAAUGUGGUCGUUUAACAUGUGAUUUGAUGAUAACCCUUUGAUUAUAUUAUAAACCAUGGAUGGGUUUUGUUGAUAAAGGAUAUGAUUGCAAUGAAAACAGUGAUUUAAUGUGAGUUGAGUGUGAGCUUUGAUUUAAUAUCCAUGCACACAAUAACAUGAUUUAACAUCCAUGCACACAAUAACAUGAUUUAAUAAACUUAUAAACCCAAUCAAAGGCCUCUUUUAUUAUCAUUUCUCCUCUUCCAAAUGAAAGAGAGGGUUGUGGCUAAGCUUACUCGUACAACUUGCAUAUAUUCCUCUAUGGUAGGUACAUGUCCUUCAUGGAACCAUUAUGCUUCGUCAAAGUAAGAGUCAACCUGAAUUUUCAUCUCACAAACAUUCCUCAAUGUUACGUACUUGUGCAUAUGCUUUAAUUUUUUGCUUGAUUCACCUACAUAACUCAAACUUAACACAUUUUUUCACGAGAUCAGAUUGAAUAUAAGUGUAUUUAAGUUAAAUUUAUAUUAACCUACGUAAUCUAUUGACUAAAUAAGUUGUUUUAUACUAACCUGUAUAACACAAAUUUAAUCCGAAUUGAUCUAAUUAUAAGUUCAAUCUAUUUAAUCUGAUUAUUUAAAAUUUGAUUUUGAUAAAUAAAUCAAAUGAGUUAAACAAGUUAUAUGGUGUAUUAUAUGUCGAAUAAUUAGGUUAUGCUUGGGUUUAUGUUUUGAACCCAAUUAUUAUCUGUAUUAUAUUUAAGUUGAUCUGUUUAGUCGAAUGUCUGGCCACUACGGAACACCAUCAAGUAAAAAUGGCACUUACCGCUUCUUUUGCAUAGUGGAAGCAAUUUGCUUUUCCUUCUUUGUCCAUCUCUUCCUCAAUUUCUUUGUAGACAUCUAAGAGUACCUGAUAGAUCACUUCCAUGUAUUCUGGCGGUUGACUGUUGCUUUCAUCCCACCUGAGGAUAAAUGAACAUCCAGGUCUUGAUUAGGUUUAAAUCAACGCAAGUACAUAUUUCAAAAUUGUGGACAAAAUCAAGGUGGAUUAUUUGCAGAGAAGAAACCUCUCAAUCACUUCUGCAAAAAGCUUAUGUUCUUCGAGUGUACCAUAUGCAUCAUACAUGUCAUCUAUAGUGGAUAUUAUGGAAAGUACUUCGGUCUUGAAUAUUGGGGCUCAGAAAACAUAGCAAGCACAAAGAAGUAGCUUUCCACCAGUCUAUCUCGAGCAAAUGGUAUCUUCAUGCCAAGGUGUAACGACCCGCACCCAACCAUGUAGAUAUUGUUCGCUUUAGGCCCAAGGGGGCCCUCACGGCUUUAAAACGCGUCUACUUGGUUAAGAGGAGCCUCUACAUAUAUAGCGCCAGGAACUUGCUCCCCUAUCCGAUGUGGGACAUNNNNNNNNNNNNNNNNNNNNNNNNNNNNNNNNNNNNNNNNNNNNNNNNNNNNNNNNNNNNNNNNNNNNNNNNNNNNNNNNNNNNNNNNNNNNNNNNNNNNGAGCCUCUACAUAUAUAGCGCCAGGAACUUGCUCCCCUAUCCGAUGUGGGACAUUACAAAUACCUCCCCAUGCAGACACAACGUCCUCGUUGUGUCCCAUGGGAUUGCGGGGCCAAACAGACAGACACCCCUUACGGAGCCAAACAAACCCCCACACCGGGGUCGGGGAUCGGCUCUGAUACCAUUUGUAACAACCCGCACCCAACCAUGUAGAUAUUGUCCGUGAAGGCCCAAAUUGUAAUGUCCCACAUCGGAUAGGGGAGAAUGUUCCUAACGCUAUAUAUGGAGAGACUCCUCUUAACCAAGUAGACGCGUUUUAAAGCCGUGAGGGCCCCCUUGGGCCUAAAGCGGACAAUAUCUACAUGGUUGGGUGCGGGUCGUUUCACAAGGUCUAGUUCUUUAUGCCACCUAAAAUAAAUUAACAUGGUUAGCAAUAAGAGAAAGAUUGCUCAGCUCUUCCUAGUGCAGUGACUGCACCAGGUUGAAGUCUAACUUCGCCAGCUUCAGCAAAGCUUUAUCAUGCGAAGCUUCAUGUUGGUAGAUGGAUAUAAACAACCUCGCCUCUAGUCUGUUCAAACCUUUCCUAACGGGCUGCUUCAGGGAAUGAGUAACUUGUUCUGCAAGAGGAUAUUCUAAAUGUUCUACGACCGACUCAAGGUGAGUGGUGGUAAAGACGAAUGCUUCAUCAAGUAUUCCUUCUUCAUGCACUCGGAGAUGUGUGGCUUCAUACAACCCUAGUAUGCCUCUCACAUCAUUGAUCAAAGAUUCCUGGAAGCCCCCUUUUUCAUCCUUGAACUUGUUGAAUAUAUCUACAUUUAUUCACAGAAAUAUGAUAUAAAAGCGUUCCAGAAUAAGAUUGUGAUGAUGUUAUUAAGAUUUCAUUUUACCUAAUAGAUGAUAGUUCAUCCCUUACCACAUGACAUAUUGAAUCCUUGUUGUCUUAGCAGUCAAAAUUAAAGAGAAACAUUGAAUCAAUCAUCAUCUUUAUGAUCAACAUUAUAAUAGAUAUCAUAGAUAUGUUGCAAUGCUUCUUCUAUCUCUCUUUCAAAGUGGUAUGCCACCCCAAGCGGUUGAAUUCGAUUAAAAUAGUUCAAAUGUUGUGUGCGGGUUACCAGCAGCAGCCAUUAGCCCUCUUCUCACUUCCUCUUUCAAAUCUUCAGCCUGCUGCUCUUUAUGGCCACGGGCUAUCUGCAUGUACAGCGAAAUUGCAUACACAAACUAUUGUUUAGAAAAACAUUGGAUGGUUAAGAUGUGUUAUAUGUGUAUAUAUAUAUGUCAGAAAUUACGUCAUCAGCUAGAGUGUAGCUAACGAACCUCUCACCCCAUAUGCUAGGGCCAAAAUCUGCCUUUGAAACCCGUAACCCCAAUUUCUAGAGUGGGAGUUCUCCUAGGUUUCUUACCUAUUAUAGUUGGAUAAGGCUUGUCUUUUGCUGAAAGGCAAAAGAUAUCUGAAAAAAUAAGGCUUACAUUAUAAUAGUGAUGCAAUUCUUCAAUUUGGUUUAAGAUAAUAGUUCCAAAGUCUGUAGUCAAUUUCAAGUAAAUUGGUAACUAUACGAUUAUUGUAUCCACAUAUGCCUAUAAUAAUGUGUUAUUAACAUUUGAUAUAUAAAAAAUAGUAACAACAACGAUAUAUAUAAAGAAGUUUGAGGAAUACAUUAUAUAUGCAAGAGAAUGAAAUAGUAGAAGGCUUUGAGGAAUUAUCAUUGUUGUAGCUAGGAAAUAUACAUACAAGGGUGAGAAGGAAAUAAAUUGCUUUAGCUCAAUUUUAAUUAUGGUGAGUUUGAUAGUUAUUUUAGAAAGUGUUUUUAAUAUUACUAACACUUAAAAUUUUUUAUAUUUCAAAUAUUAGAAAGGUUAUAAAUGCUAUCUAAAAUUACUGUCAAACACACUCUUAAUCAAUUGAAUUAUGCUGAUAUAAAUGAAGAGAAAUAAACGGUGUUUCUAUUUUAUAGACCAAACAGUGGCUAAAUGGUUAUGUGAACAUAUACUAAUAGUUAAUAUUGGUCCCUUGAAUGUAUAAUUUGGUGGAAGGAAGACCAAUUGCAAUAGCUAGUCUUGCAUUGUCAUAUUGGUCUCAAAUGGCGAGCGGGUGAUUUAGUUGGUUAUGGAAAUAGUUGUGUAUGUGAUAUUUUAUAUCGGGUAGAGGAAAAAGUUCUCAAUACUAUAUAAGUAUCAAUUUCUCUUAACUCUAUAGAUGCGUUUUAAAGUUAUGAAAGUUUCUUUAGACUUAAAGUGGAUAAUAACUACAUUGUUGGGUGUGAAUAAUUACAAAUGGUAUUAAAACUGAUCUUCUACUCUAGUGUGAGGGUUUGUUUGAUUCAAUUGGAGGUGUUUGUCUAGUUGACCCUAUAAUUUUAUGGGACAUAAUAAGGACAUCGUGUCCCAAAGUGGACAAUAUUUAUACGACUGGGUGUUGAUCUAUCAGUGCUCCUCAAGAUGGUGAAGAUCAUGCAAUGCAUUGCUAGCUUGAAGCAAAAUUCCGUGAGAACCUUUAUUUCUUGGUGAGGGCUUGGUAAGAAUAUCCUAUACAUUUGAUACUUGAUUCAACGAACAUAUCAUUUUCCAUGUUGUAGUUGAUUAUACAUUUUGAUAAUUGGUUCAAUGAACUUCAUCAUUUUCCAUGUUUUUGUCUAUAUAUUAUACAUUUCAUUAUUGAUUCAAUGUUGUACAACUUUGAUAAUAUAAGAAGACUAGUACCACUUUGCAGUGCCUCGUAGCAUGCUAUAUGUGAGCGGAUGUGAAGUUUGGGAAAAGUCCAAGGGAAAGGAAUCAAAAGUCAAAACGGGAAGAAAAGUAAGCGAAAAGAAAGUGGGAAGGAAAAUGAAAUUAAAUUCAGGGAAUAUGGAAUUAGGAUUGGAAAAUUUUCCAUUUUAAUUAAAAUCAAAAUCCAUUCUUUGAGGAUUUGAUUCUUUUCUUUCAUGUUGUGAUUUAUGUAUUCCAAUUUUCAUUUCGUUUUAUACCAUCAGUAGCUGCUCAAUAAUUUUAUUUAUUUUUUCUAUCGGGGUUCUUUCAUUUUUCAAAAGAAUGAAAAAAGGUGUAAAUAUGAUGUAUUUUUCUUUUAUUUUCUCUCCACUACUUAAAACCGAUACAAGAAAAAAAAAACAUCUUUAAAUAUAAUUUUUUUUUAAAUUGUAUUUAUUUUUAUGAAUUUUUUGAACUUUUUAAAAGUUUUUAAUUAAGCAAAUAGAUUUCAAAUAAAAUAAUGCUUAAUAUAAAAUUUUAUUAAUUUUUAAAAAUAAUUUCAAAAAAAAAAAAUCAAUUCAAUUAGUAUUAAAAUAUCAUAUAACUCAAAACGGAUAAAAUUAACACUAGAAAAUCACAACCCUAAGUUCAUUCUAAAUCCCUUUGCCAAUUAUUUUAUAUAAUCAUAAUUUUGUGAUUUUUUUCACUAGUUAAAAAAUUUCAAAUUAAACAAAAUGUAAGACAAUAAAUUCACUAACCAGUUUAAUAAUUUUUAAAAAUAAUUUAAAAUUCAAAUAAUGAUUCAAUAAAUACCAUAAAUAUAUUAACAAAAAUUGAUAUAAAAUAACUUUAUUUUUUUGUUUUACAUAAAACUAAAUUUUUGUGACUUUGUACACUUAAAAAAUAAACUUCAAAUCAAGCAAAUCUCUAUAUUAAAUUUAAUGAUAAGUUUAAUGAUUAUAUAUAAAAAUACCAUUAAAUGUUUCACUACAAAAGAUUCAUUACAUGUAUGAAUACAAUUUUACUAUUUUUCUUGUACACAAAACAAUAUUUAAAGUAAGAUAUAAUUAAUGUUUUAAAUUCUUUACUGAGUUCUUUUGAUUUUUAAAAAUAAUUUGGAAUUCAAAAAACUGGUUAUAAAGAUUAAAAAAAAUAAAUUAUAGAAUACUUAAUUGAGUAUUAAAUAUGUGCAUAUAAUAAAAAAAAAACUUAGUUCAUGUAUAGGUUCAAAAAUUAAACUUUAUUUGUUUUUAAAAUUUAUUUAAGAUAAAAUAAUAUUAAUAAAUAUGAAUUAAAUUAUUAUUAUUAAAUAUUAUUUAUUUGUACUUACAAAAUAUUUUUUUUUAAUAAGAUUUGAAUUAAAUUCAAUUUACAUUACAUAAGUUGACUUGAUAUGUUUUUUAUAAAAUAAAAUAAAAACAUUUUUAAAAAUAAUUUACCCAAAUGAGUAUUUUAUUUUUUAGAAAGUGUAUAUAAAAUCAACUUACAAAAGGAAUCAAAAUACUUCUUAUAAAAGAUUAAUUGAAAUCUCAUCACUUGAUAGUGAUAUUUCAUUUCUAUAGGAAUAAUUUUUUAUUUGAGUGAAAACAUGAGGGUGAAGGAGAAAAGGAAUAUGAUGUUGAUUUGUGUAAGCCAAACAUUGCCUAAUUGUAAUCAACCAUUUCCCAUCUUAUUCAUUGCAUAAUUGUACGCCAAACAUUACCGAAGAUUGCAAGCUAUCUUAUUCAUAUAUUGAGUGCUUGUGUACUGAGUUACAGUUCUCGUUACCAGCAACAUGUCUACUGAUUACUCAGCCUGUUCUCCAGCCCCAGAUGCUAAUCCAGAGACUAAUCGCCGGGCUGCAAAUUUUAACCCUAGCACGUGGGGCAAUAGUUUCAUCAUGACCAACUCUCCUGAUGAUGAGGUAAUUUUGUGAUAUAUGAAGUUUGCACAACCAUCUAAAGAUUUUCUUAAUUUUUGUUCUUGAAAUUUAUUGAUGCAGAUAACUCUUGCCCAUAAAGAGCAACAGUUGGAAGAUCUGAAGGAGGAAGUGAGAAGAGAGCUAAAGGCUGCAGCUGGUGACCCUUCAAAACAGCUGAAGUUUAUCGAUGCAGUUCAACGGCUUGGGGUGGCAUACCACUUUGAAAAGGAGAUUGAAGAAGCAUUACAAAAUACCUAUGAUAACUAUCAUUGCAUUGAUGACAUAAAAUGAUGAUCUCUAUGAUGUUGCACUUCGAUUUCGACUACUAAGACAACAAGGCUUCAAUAUUUCAUGUGGUAAGCCUCAUGAAUAUCAUGUAUUAUAAGGUGCUUGAAUAUCAUCUAGCAAAGCUCACAUAUAACAUUCUAUGUUUUGGUGAUGAUUACAGAUAUAUUCAACAGGUACACAGAUGAAAAGGGAAGGUUCAAGGAGUCUUUGAUCAAUGAUGCAUGUGGCCUACUAGGCUUGUAUGAAGCUGCACAUCUCAGGGUGUGGGAAGAAGAUAUACUAGAUGAAGCACUUGCUUUCACCACCACUCACCUCAAGUCUAUGGUGGAACUUUUAGAAUACCCUCUUGCAGCACAAGUCACUCAUGCUUUAUACCGGCCCAUUAGGAAAGGCUUAGAGAGGCUAGAGGCAAGGCCUUACAUGUCUAUUUACCAAGAUGAAGCUUCACAUAGUAAAGCUUUACUGAAGCUUGCAAAGUUAGAUUUCAACCUACUUCAGUCACUGUACAAGAAACAGCUAAGCAAUAUCUCGAGGUUAGUUUUCAAAUCGUGUAUGAACUCAAGUUCAAACAGUUUACUAGGUCCUUUAUGUGAGUUAAUGUAUUUUCUCAGGUGGUGGAAAGACCUAGAUUUUUCUUCGAAACUACCUUUUGGAAGAGAUAGAGUGGUGGAAUGCUACUUUUGGAUAGCAACAGCUUGUUUUGAGCCCCAGUAUUCAUAUGCUAGAAGAAUACAGACCAAAAUACUCGCUCUGAUAACAAUUAUUGACGAUAUGUUUGAUGCAUAUGGGACACUGGAAGAACUGGAGCUCUUUACAGAGGCAAUUGGGAGGUUUGAUAUAUGCAAAAUUUACCCACAUCCAAUGAUUUAUUUUAUUUUAUUUUAAUUUUUAUAUGUUUGAACUUUAAAAGGGAACUUGGUACUUGAUUUUCAGGUGGGAUGUUAACAGCAUAUAUCAGCUUCCGGAAUACAUGAAGCCAUGCUAUCAGGCAGUCUUGGAUGCCUACAAAGAAAUUGAGCGGAUGGAGAACAAAGAAGAUCAUAUUGUGUUCACUAUGCAAAAGAGGCAGUAAGGGUCUGAGUUCUAUCUGUGCCCCUAUAACAUGUACUGCACACUAGAGUAAUUAUUUGUUGGCAAUGGUUGAACAUAUUUCAGAUGAAAAGGUCUGUUCGAGCUUACUUCAAUGAAGCCAAAUGGCUACAUGAAGACUAUGUACCUACGAUAGAAGAGUACUUGAGUGUUGCACAAGUUACCUCUGAGGUCACCUUGUUCACUGUCAUCUGCUUUGUUGGAAUGGGAAGGAUGGCAACCAAAGAGGUCUUUGAAUGGGUGUGGAAUGACCCAAAGAUCGUCGGAGCUUCCUCCAAAAUUAUGAGGCUCAUGGAUGAUAUGGCUUCACACAAGGUACUAUGUUAUAUUACAUAUCGCAAAGACAACGGGAUCUUUAUAAGAAUUUAAUUACCUUUUUGGUAAACAUUUCCUGUUGGUUUUUGUGUAGUUUGAGCAAGAGAGAGGACAUAGCGCAUCAAGUGUUGAAUGUUACAUGAAGCAACAUGGUGUCUCAGAGCAGCAUGCAUACCAAGAGCUUAACAAGCAAGUCGAGAAUGCAUGGAAAGAUGUAAACCAGGGCUGCCUUAGACCUCCUGCUAUUCCAAUGCCUCUCCUUACACGGGUUCUUAAUUUCGCACGCACCGGGGAUUUCAUGUACAAAGGCCGUGAUGAUAGGUUCACGAAUGUUGGAGAUGUGAUGAAAGAUAGUAUUGCAUCACUGUUCAUAGACCCUGUGCCAAUAUGAGCCUGGAGAUUUGCAAUAGGCUUUCUGGCUUCUGUUUUAUAAUUAGCCCUUCUAGUUUGGGGUCUAUGUUGGAGAGUAUGAUAUACAUAUAUAUAUUAUGAUAUCAAUGCUAUACAAAAUUCUCAACCAUAUUAAGGCAAUGACAAAGUCACAGUGGGAAAUGGUAAGAAUCUGUUAAUCACACAUGUUGGAUCCAAGACACUACAUUCUCAUCACCAAGCUUUUCAUCUAAAAACCAUCUAUCACGUUCCUCAGCUUACCACAAACCUCAUCAGUGUAUGAAAGUUUUGUUCAGAUAAUCACAUAUUCAUUGAAUUCCAUCCUACUUUCUUUUGUGUCAAGGACCAAGCCACCAAGAAGAUUCUGAUCCAAGGCACUAUUGAACAUGUGCUCUACAAAUUUCCUAGCUCUUCUCUUCCACCAUCAUCUUCCUCCAUGGCUCUCACUGCUUAGUCUACUGCUGACAUCUCCCUAUGGCACCAAAGGUGUUUUCCUAGCUCUUCUCUUCCACCAUCAUCUUCCUCCAUGGCUCUCACUGCUUAGUCUACUGCUGACAUCUCCCUAUGGCACCAAAGGUGUGGUCACCCGACAGCUCCAAUAUUAAGACAUAUCCUAACCUCAUGUAAUGUUCCUUAUUCUACAAACAAGUUCAAUCAAAUUUGUUGUGCUUGUCAGCUUGCUAAAAGUCACAAGCUACUGUUGUGGAAACUCCUGCCUUUCCUGCACCUCUUCAAUAUUCUUCCCUACCACCUCUAUCUCCUAGUUCCAAUUCCCUACCACCUGCCACUACAUCAUCUAUCCAGUUUCUACCUCCUCUAAUUCAGGAUCCCUCUACUGCCUCCCCCACCUCUGCUCCACCCUUACCUUCCUUCCUCAAUACUCAUCCCAUGGUAACCCGUUCAAGGCAGGCAUCACAAAACCCAAGGCUCUUCUUGCAUCUACUCCCACUAAACCCUACACUUUUCGACAGGAUAUUAAGGAUCCUCAAUGGCAACUGGCAAUGGAUGUUGAAUAUCAAGCUUUACUCCGUAAUAACACUUGGUCUGUGGUUCAUCUCCCUUAUCAUGGGAAUAUUAUUGGAUGCAAAUGGGUGUUUCAAUAUUGAUCGUCACAAGGCUUAUCUUGUGGCCAAGGGUUUCACCCAAACUCAGGGAAUUGACUAUUUUGAUACCUUCGAUCAGCCCUAUAGUGAAGUCGACCACCAUUCUUAUUGUUCUCACCCUUGCACUUUCAUCCCAAUGGUCCAUUUGACAACUGAACAUUCAAAACGCAUUUCUAAGUGGUGACCUUCAGAACCAGGUCUUCAUGCAACAACCCCUUGGCUUUGUUCAUCCUCAACACCCAUCUUACGUCUGCUAUCUUCACAAAACCCUUUGUGGUCUUAAAAAAGCUCCAAGAGCUUGGUUCCACAAACUCAAUACCUCUCUUACCACUUGGGGAUUUGAAUCUUCUUGCGCAGACACCUCUUUAUUCUUCAAACAUGCCACAUCUGAUGUUCUCAUUCUUGUCUACGUUGAUGACAUCCUCGUCACUGGUAGUUGUGCCUCUCAGGUUACCUUUUUUAUCUGUCAGCUCNNNNNNNNNNNNNNNNNNNNNNNNNNNNNNNNNNNNNNNNNNNNNNNNNNNNNNNNNNNNNNNNNNNNNNNNNNNNNNNNNNNNNNNNNNNNNNNNNNNNGUAGUUGUGCCUCUCAGGUUACCUUUUUUAUCUCUCAGCUCAGCUCCACCUUUGCUCUUCGUGACCUUGGUUCCCUUUACUAUUUCUUUGGCAUUGGGGUUACUCACAGUACUGAUUCUCUUCAUCUCUGCCAACAAAAGUAUGUGCAUGACCUACUCACUGAUAACCAAACAGACUCUACCCAAACUGCUACCCGAACUGCCCCUCAUUCUGUUGUAACUAAGCAACUGUGUAACCCAACUAAACAACUGUGUAACCUCUCCAAACCCACCCUAACUGAUCACUGUACUGAGCCUAUAAAUACCGGUGUCAAUGUAAUCUUGAAAUAACGAGAAAUAAUUCUCUUUUCUCUCUUCUGCAUAUUUUCUUCUCAGCUACACAAGCUUAGCUGUCAUGGUAUCAGAGCAAGCCCUGUCUUCCACUUGCACAGGCUCCCUUUUCUCAUGCCAUGCUUGCUGCCGCACCAGAUCAUCAAGAUUCUUGGUUCUUUGACACUGGUGCAACUCACCACCUUAGUCAUUCUGCUCAAACUCUCUCUUGUGUUCAGCCAUAUUCAGGUACUGAUCAAGUCACAAUUGGUGAUGGCAAUUCGUUACCCAUUCUUAACACAGGUACCAAGUCAUUCUUCUUCCCUUCCAAGACCUUUUCCUUAAAUCAAGUUCUUCAUGUACCUCAUCUUUCCACCAAUCUCAUCAGUGUCUCCAAAUUCUGCACAGAUAAUGCUGUUUUCUUUGAGUUUCAUUCCUCCUGUUUCUUUGUCAAGGAUCAGGUCACCAAGAAGAUUCUUCUCAAGGGCUGGCUUAGGGACGGUCUGUAUGAGUUCUCCUCCUCAUCUCCUCCUCAUGCGUUUGUGACCACAGGCUCAUUUUCUGAUGGUGCAAUUUGGCAUUCCCGUCUUGGACACCCAGCAGUUCCUAUUCUUUCUAAGGCUUUAGCCUCUUGUAAUCCUUCUGUUACAUUACAGAUUAAUAAAAUUGCUCCAUGUAUCAUUUGUCCAUUGGCUAAGUCUCAUUCCUUACCUUAUUCUUUGUCAUCUUCUCAUGCCUCUCACCCCUUAGCCCUCAUUCACACUGACUUGUGGGGACCUGCUCCUUCUACCUCUAUAACAGGAGCCCGUUACUUUCUUAUUUUUAUUGAUGACUAUUCCAGGCAUACCUGGAUUUAUUUCCUUUCCACCAAGGACCAGGCUCUCCAAUCUUUUAUUACCUUCCGCAAGAUGGUAGAAAACCAGUUACAAACCACCAUCAAAUGCAUUCAGUCUGAAAAUGGUGGAGAAUUCUUGGCCUUCAAACCUUACCUUGAAGCUCAUGGUAUUCUUCAUCAGUUUUCAUGUCCUCAUACACCUCAGCAAAAUGGAAGAGCAGAGAGGAAAAUUAGACAUCUUGUUGAAACCGGUCUUGCUCUUAUGGCUCAAAGUUUCUUACCCUCCAAAUAUUGGACAUAUGCUUUUCAAACAGCAGUAUAUCUUAUUAAUCUUCUACCAGCCAAACUUCUCCAUUUUCAGUCACCCACUCAAACCCUUUUUCAUAAACUUCCCAACUAUCAUCAUCUCCGAGUCUUCGGUUGCCUGUGUUUCCCAUCCUUACGUCCUUAUACACAACAUAAACUCUGCUAUCGCUCCACUGCUUGUGUCUUUCUUGGAUAUGCACCAGCUCAUAAAGGUUACUUAUGUCUUGAUGUCUCCACUAAUCGUAUCUACAUUUCCAGAAAUGUGAUCUUCCAUGAAUCCUCUUUUACAUUUCAGUCUUCAUCUCCUCCAUCUUCACCCUCUCCAGACCUCCCGUCUUCUACACAUGCCUUAAUCAAUUCACCCAGCUUGUCUGCCCCUUCAUCACCAGCUGUGUCCUCCCCUAUCAUCACUUCUGAUUCUAUCCCUCCACUAAUUCCGGUCCCCUUUGCCACCUCCUCUCCAGCUGCUCCUUCACCACCUCCUUUACCUCUCAACACUCAUCCCAUGGUGACCUGAGCAAAAUCUGGCAUUCAUAAGAAACGAAGCUUUAUUGUGCAGCACACAACAGAACCUCGCACUUACAGUCAAGCCUCUAAAAAUGACUCUUGGGUUCAGGCCAUGAACAGUGAAUAUCAAGCUCUUCUUCGCAACAACACCUAGAGUUUGGUUCCUCCACCUUCAUCUGCUCACAUUGUUGGCUGCCGUUGGAUCUACAAGCUCAAAUAUCGCCCUGAUGGAUCCAUUGACAGACACAAAGCUCGUUUAGUUGCCCAGGGAUUCACCCAAACUCCGGGGAUAGACUACUUUGACACAUUCAGUCCAGUUGUGAAGCCUUGCACCAUUCGACUUAUCCUUGCUUUGGCAGUCUCCUUUCAAUGGUCAGUUCGGCAAUUGGAUGUGGAGAAUGCUUUCCUUAAUGGAGAUCUGGAAGAAGAGGUUUUUAUGACUCAGCCUCAGGGUUUUGUCAAUCCCACCUAUCCUACAUAUGUUUGCAAAUUACACAAAGCAUUGUAUGGCCUCAAACAAGCUCCUAGAGCUUGGUUUCAAAAGCUUCGGAUUGCCUUGCUUGACUAUGGUUUCCAAUCUUCUCGUGCAGACACUUCUCUCUUCAUCUUUCACACUGCAACUGAUAUUCUCAUUCUACUGGUAUACGUAGAUGAUAUCCUGGUCACUGGUAGUAAUCCCACGUUGGUUUCUCACUUCAUCUCCUACCUCAGGACUAAGUUUGCACUUCGGGAUCUUGGACCUUUGUCAUAUUUUUUGGGUAUUCAAGCUCAACAACUUGGCUCUGUCUUGCAUCUUAAUCAGCAUAAAUAUAUUGCUGAUCUUCUCAACCGCACUCAGAUGGAGACUUCGAAACCAGCUCCCACUCCAGGACGUCUCGGUCGUACCCUCUCUCAAUCUGAUGGUGUGUCUCUGUCGGAUCCAUCAGAAUAUCGUCGUACCGUAGGAGCCUUACAAUAUGUCACUCUCACCAGGCCCGACAUUGCGUUCGCCGUGAACAAAGCUUGCCAAUUCAUGGCAAAGCCUUCUGAUGUUCAUUGGAUGGCUGUUAAAAGAAUUCUACGGUAUUUAAAAGGCACCAUCCAUCUUGGUCUUCACUUCCAACCUGCUGCUUCAAUGGAGCUUCAAGGAUACAGUGAUGCUGACUGGGCAUCUUGUCCAGAUGAUCGUCGAAGCACCAGCGGCUACUGUGUAUUCCUAGGCUCGAAUCUCAUCUCAUGGUCCUCUUCUAAACAACGACUUGUCUCCAAAAGCAGUGCUGAAUCCGAAUAUAGAGGGUUGGUAUCCCUCACGGCGGAGUUGGUGUGGAUUCAAUCCUUACUUCAAGAGCUCUGCUUGCCUACCUCUCCACCUAUACUAUGGUGUGACAACCAAAGUGCAGCUCAUCUUGCUGCUAAUCCGGUCUUUCACUCCCGUUCCAAACAUAUCGAAUUAGAUUUACACUUCAUCAGAGAAAAGGUGUUACGCCAAGAACUUCAAAUCUGCUAUGUUCCCUCCGGUGAUCAGCUUGCAGAUAUUUUCACAAAGCACCUUCCUAUUACACAAUUUUGUAACCUCCGUAGCAAGCUCACAGUCACCUACCCGCCUCUGAGCUUGAGGGGGGAUGAUAACCAAACAGACUCUACCCAAACUGCUACCCGAACUGCCCCUCAUUCUGUUGUAACUAAGCAACUGUGUAACCCAACUAAACAACUGUGUAACCUCUCCAAACCCACCCUAACUGAUCACUGUACUGAGCCUAUAAAUACCGGUGUCAAUGUAAUCUUGAAAUAACGAGAAAUAAUUCUCUUUUCUCUCUUCUGCAUAUUUUCUUCUCAGCUACACAAGCUUAGCUGUCACUCACUCGUACUGCCAUAACUGAUACUAAACUUGUUCUUACACUGGGUUCCUUGGCUUGGCCAAGCCUCUCUCUCUCACUGAUGGUGAUCUACUUCAUAUCGCAACAUUGUUGGCGCAUUACAGUAUGUUACUGUUACACGUCCAAACCUUUCUUUUGCUGUUAACAAGGUAUGCCAGUUUAUGGCUUCCCAACGACCACCCACUAGCUGGUUGUCAAUAAUAUAAAAAGUAAUUCAAAAUAAAAUGAAAAUAUAGAUUUAAAAUAAAAAUAAAUAAAUUAAACAUUAAUAAUUAAAAUUUUAAAAAAAGAUAAAUAUUUUUUUUUAAAAAAAGUUUUCAAAAAAAUCUCAGAUAUUUUCAGAUAUAUCAGCGAUAUAUCCGAUAUAUUCGUCGAUAUAUUUCCAAUAUUUUAAUAGGCUUCUUCUACUGUUUCGCGCGUCACUUCACGUUUAAUUUUUUUUGUCAAUUUAUCGGUUCUAAACCGAAAUAUCGACGAUAUUUCGAUGAUCUUUUCGAUAUUUUUUCGAUGUUCCUCCCAUUCGAUAAUCGAUGUUCAAUAUCCUUUCGGGGUUGUCCGAUACCCGAUAUAUCGAUGAAAUAUCAUUGAUAAAAACCGAUUUUUCAAUCCAUGCUUAAUAGUGGGUUUCCCUUUUGGCCUCUAUUCUUUUUCUUUUUUAAAAAAGAAUCCUUUCCGAUUCUGUGGCCUUGAGUGAGCACUAUGUAUUUCAACUAUUUUGACAUGUUCAAAAUAAAUUACUAAGAAUUUAAAGGGAAUUUGUUCGACAAGUACUUUUUUUUUAAACAUAUUUAUUUAUACCUUGUUUAGUUUAGAUUGCAUUAUUUUAUGUAAAUAAUUUAUUGGGUUUAUGUAAAUAAUUUAUUGGGUAUGGUAAUUAUUUUUAUAAAUGGCUAAGUAGAUUUAAUUUUAAAUAUUAAUUUAUUGAGCAGGAAAAUUAUUUAUUAAAACAUGGUUUAACAACUAUGCGAUGGACCUAACUUAUUAAACAAAAUAAACCAAUACUAUAUUAUUAUAGCUUAAAUUAUUUUUUAAUGGUAGCAAUGUUGAAAAACCUAACCUAAUGAGAAAAUAGUAAUUAAUUAACAUAAUUUUAUAUUGACUUGUAAAAUUGGGCCAACAUAUAAAUAUAUUGAUGGUAACAAGAAGACCUACGUUGAUAAUGAAUCAUCAAUAUUAGUCUAUGUUGUCAACUUUGGAAUAUUAAUAUAUGUAUAUGAUUUUAACAGGAUGUUGUCAUUAUAUCUUUUAGAUAUAUAUAUAUAUAUAUAUAUAUAUAUAUAUAUAUAUAUAUAUGACAUCUCAAUUAAUUACGCUAACCCUCAUUAUCAAUAUAAGUCAACGUAACCAAAUCCUUCUUCCUUGUAGUGAAUGUUAGUUCUCAUAUAUGGAGGUAGGUAUGGAUGGUCCAAUUAUCUUAAAUUUCGUGUAUCUUUAUUUUAUGAUUUGUUUUAUAUUUUUAUUAUUUUGUCAAUAUAAUCGUUUUCAUGAUUAGGAAUUAGAGAAAAGUUUGUAGAAGAUUUUUCCAAAUUUGAAAAUAACUAUGUAAGAAAUUCAACUUAAACACGUUUCUUUGUGGAAGAGUUGCAUUGGCAAGGAAAUUAGAUACUUGUCUUUGCAUUGGCAAGGAAAUGCUACACACAUUCAUUGAACAAUCUUAGGCCCAUUUUUCCAAGCAGCCUAGCACGUUGAUUGAAUUAAACCCCUAUGGAUUGAUAUUGAUUGGAUCCAUUACCCGUCAUGCAUUCAAUCCCAAAGCGUUGAUUAUUCAAACUCUAUGAAAUAUAGGUUUCGCUGAGUGGAGGAGUUCAAAUACAUUAAAUUGAUAUUUUAAGUAAAUAUAAUGCGGAAAAUGAAACCUACUAGAUCGAUAAUGACCACUAGCUGGCUGUCAAGAAUAUAAAAAGUAGUUAAAAAUAAAAUGAAAAUAUAGAUUCAAAAUAAAAAAUAAAUUAAAAAUAAAUAAUUAAAAAUUUAAAAAAGAAUAAAUAUUUUUUAAAAAAAAAUUUCAAAAAAAUUGCUGAUAUUUUAAGAUAUAUAGGCAAUAUAUCCGAUAUAUUUGUCUAUAUAUCCGAUAUAUUCGUCGAUAUAUCGUUGAUAUAUUUUCGAUAUUUUGACAGACUUUCUCUAUUGCUCCGCGCGUCGCUUCACACAAUUUUUUCUUUGAACUAUUGGUUCCAAAUCAAAAUAUUAAUGAUAUUUCAACGAUUUUCUUAAUAUUUUCCAAUAUUCCUCCCGUUCGAUAAUCGAUGCUCAAUAUCCUUUCGGGACCGUCCUAUAUCCAAUAUAUCGAUAAAAUAUCACCAAUAAAAACCAAAAUUUCAAUCCAUGCUUAAUAGUGAGUUUCCUUUUGUUUGGCCUUCGUUUUUUUUUUUUUUAAAAAAAAAAAAAAUCCUUUUCGGUUCCAUGGCCUUGAGUGAGUACUAUGUAUUUCAACUAUUUUGACACGUUCAAAAUAAAUUACUAAGAAUUUAAAGGGAAUUUGUUCGACAAGUACUUUUUUUUUUAAACAUAUUUAUUUAUACAUUGUUUAGAUUAGGUUGCAUUUUUUUAUGUAAAUAAUUUAUUGGGUAUUUGGGAAUUAUUUUUAUAAAUGGCUAAGUAGAUUCAAUUUUAAAUAUUAAUUUAUUGAGCAUGAAAAUUAUUUAUUAAAAUAUGGUUUAACAACAAUGCGAUGGAAUCGACUUGUUAAACAAAAUAAACUAAUACUAUAUUAUUUUAGCUUAAAUUAUUUCUUAAUGGUAAUAAUGUUGAAAAACAAAUAUCAAUAAAAACUAACCUUAAUGAGAAAAUAGUAAUUAACAUAAUUUAUAUUGACUUGUAAAAUUGGGUCAACAUAUAAACAUAAUUUUAUAUGCAUAAAGUUAUAAUUAAACUUCGUAAAAUUUCAAGGUAGAUUGGAAGUAAAUUUUUUUGUUACUUGAAAUGUUUACAACUUCUUCCUUGUAGUGAUGUUAUUUGUAAUAGAACUUCCCUGCACAAUCGUUUCCAUGACUGGGAUUGAAUUAGAGAAAAUUUUGUGGAAGAUUUUUCCAAAUUUGGAAAAAUCGCAUGUAGAAGAGUUGCAUUGGCAAGGAAAUCUACACACUCAUUGAACAGUCUAUGCCCACUUUUCCAAUCAGCCUAGCACGUUUUUUUUAAUUGAAUAACCACGGAUUGAUAUUGAUUGGAUCCAUUAUCAGUCAUUCAAUCCUAAAGCAUUCAUUUGUCAAACUCCAUGAAAUAUAGGUUUGGCCGAGUGGACAUUUCAAUACUAAACUUGUCCAAAUACAUUAAUUAAAUUGAUAUUUUUAGUAAAUAUGAUGCGCAAAAUGAAACCCACCAGGUCGAUAACGACCACAUUACAAACUGAUCUGCAGGGUAGUUAGGGCAAUCCCUCAAAAUUCAUAAAAAAAGAAAAAAAAAAAGUGAAGCAAAUAGAAUCAAAUAGUAGUUCUUAUGUUAUUUUUUCAAAAAAUAGUUAUCGAGUCUGGAAAUGGGUAUUUUUCAUUUACUUGAAGCAGAUUGAGGAUCUGAAAAAUGAAUUGAAAAUGGAAUUAUACGUAGUGUUGACUAUAAGAAUUUCAGUGGAUUCAAAAAGCCCCAAUUUAUACCUUAGCCGCCCCUAAUAGUUUCGGCUCUUGCUUCAUAAAUUUAGCCAAGGGACUCGUGAAAAAACUUUUUCUUUCACGUCAUCAAUCCCUUUCAUACACUACUUUCAACGUUAUUAUUUUACAUUAUCUUCAACAAUAGAACAUUUAGAAUAUCCUCUUGCGGAACAAGUUGCUCAUGCACUAAAGCAGCCCAUUAGAAAAGGUUUAGAGAGGCUAGAGGCAAGGUGGUAUAUGUCUAUCUACCAGGAUGAAACUUCGCAUGACACAACUUUACUAAAGCUGGCCAAGUUAGAUUUCAAUCUAGUGCAGUCCCUACACAAGGAGGAGCUAAGCAAUAUUGCUAGGUUUGCUUUCAAAUCACUAGCAGAUAUACCUAGUCACCUUCUCAUUUUACCAUGAGCUAAUUGUUUUAAUGAAUUUUAGGUGGUGGAAAGAAUUAGACUUUGCUACAAAGCUACCUUUUGCGAGAGAUAGAUUGGUGGAAGGCUACUUUUGGAUACUUGGGGUGUACUUUGAGCCUCAAUAUGUCCGGGCUAGACGAAUUCUAACCAAAACAAUUUCCAUGACAUCCAUUAUAGAUGAUAUAUAUGACGCAUAUGGCACAUUUGAAGAACUCGAGCUCUUCACCGAGGCCAUUGAGAGGUUUGAUUGAUGCAAAUUACCAACCUUCAUCAUUUAUACUGUAUGUGAUACUUAAAUCAAGCCUGGUUUUAUUUUCAGGUGGGAUAUUAAUAGCAUAGAUCACCUUCCAGAAUACAUGAAACACUGCUAUGUGGCACUCUUAGAUGUGUACAAAGAAAUUGAGGAAGAGAUGGAGAAAAAAGGAAACCAAUAUCGGGUUCAAUAUGCGAUAGAAGCGGUAGGACAUUCUGCAUCGACUUUGUUUUGUAUAGUAACAUAUCGUAAGGAUAUAGAUGUAACCUGAUUGAAUGUUUGACAGAUGAAAAACCUAGUUAGAGCUUAUUUUCAUGAGGCUAAAUGGUUCCAUGAAGGACGCAUACCAACAAUGGAAGAGUAUAUGAGGAUAGCACUGGUAACCUCAGGUUACUACAUGCUUACAACCAUUCUUUCAUUGGUAUGGGAGAAAUUGUAACAAAGGAGGCCUUUGAUUGGGUGAUCAGUGACCCUAAGAUUAUCACAGCAUCAGCUGUAAUUUGUAGGCUCAUGGAUGACAUCAGUUCACAUAAGGUAUUGUGAAUAUAGUAUUACUUGUUAAGCUAUAAUUUGACCUUGACCUUAAAGCUCAAUCAAUUAAACAUAUUUACUGUACUCUUCUUCUUAAACUAUAUAUGCAGUUUGAGCAAAAGAGAGGGCAUGUUGCCUCAGGCAUUGAAUGUUACAUGAAGCAAUAUGGUGCCUCUGAGGAAGAGGUAUACGAUGAGUGUGGACCCGCAUUUUUCACGUGCGUCCCCACUCGAUCAGCGAGACUCGCUUUUUAUUUAUGAAAAAUUAAUUUUAAAAAAAAGUUGGAGUCGCCACUUAUUUUAUUUUUAUUUUAAAGGGAAAAUAAAACAAGAAAGAAAAACCCUAAAAAAGUGACUCCAUAAUUUUUGGAAAAAGCAUGUCUUUGAAAAACCCGAGUCUAAGUCCGGGGAUCAGGUUACCUAUUGGGAAGGUACCUUUAAAAGGUAGCACCCCUCUAAGCCCUCUAAAGGUCUCUACUAACAAAGUUAAGGGAAGUGUGGCCAUUAAUCAGUUAAUUAUGGAUACCUAAGUAGGCUAGGUGAUUUCAAAUAUUGCAUGCCUAAAGAGAAAACAAACCAUAAGAGAGAGUCGAAGUGCGUACCUAAAUGGCUUCUCAAGCGCUAUCAUGAAACAUAAGAGAUUAGUUUGGAAAUAUGACACAACAUUUGUUUUAUCUAAGCAAAUCAAGCAUAUAUCAAAACACCCAAAAAUCACAUCAUGUAUGGAUAUAGUCAUCAAUAACGCAUGUGUCCAUGGAAUUCUCAAAAAUAGGUGUGAAGGAGCGUACCUGGAUGGCGAGCUAAAACGCUACUAUGGGAAACAAGAUUGCUUAAUAAUAGGUGCAUAAUAAUCUCACGUAUCUCAAAGAGAAAGCACAAUUAAUCAAAUGUCAAACAAACACUAUUGAAGAGGAUAUCAUGAAUGUCGGGCCCCCACCAAAGCCCUAAUUAAUUUCGCACGAGUUGAUUCCAUAAAUUCCAUGACUUGGAAUUAUGGAGUUUGUUCGUGCUUGAGAAAAUCGGAAAAAUCAAGAAAAUGGUUGAAAAUAAAAAUAAAUAAUAAAAUAAAAAAAAUAGUGAAAACUUGUGCCAGAAGGAAAAUGGCAGCAAAAGGGUGUUGAAAUCUGGAUUUUAUUGCCUAGAGAAGGUCUAAAGAUGAUUCUCUAAAAUCAGGAUUAUUUGGAUGAAAACGAUUUUGAAAACACAAUUCAAAACACGUAAAAUCAUGAGGAAAACAAGAGGGGUGAGAAGGGAAGAGAGUAGUGUGCACCGAACUGGUCAUGGCGAGUGGGGUUUGGGGGUUUGGCUGUGACUGCGUUGCUGGUGGUUAUAGGCGCUGCUGUCAUUUUCUCUGAAUUUUUCCCUCUACUCUCUCGUAUGCAUUUAAGUGCUUUACAUCACUGUGUUCUUGAGCUUUUCCCCAUUUCUUCUUAUACCUUGACCUGCCACCUCUGCUGGUGUGUUCUGUUGAACUAAGUAAACUUGCUGGCGCGUUCUGUUGAACUGAGUGACACUAUGUCUGCUCUCAAAUUUAAAUCCUUUAACCUUAUCCAUCAAUAGGGAUGCCUGAAUUUCAGGAGCCCGCAACUCAUUCGGCAAUGCUGAGGGAAAUGGCGUUGUAAAUGUUGCUUGAGGAGAAGGCUGCUGUGGAGGAUGUUUUAUUAUAUCCUUGCUGACAUAUUGACAUGGCGUGAGAUGAUACACCAGCAAUUUGAGUAGUUUGUGGUCAGCCCAAUUGAGGUUGCUUUCAAACUUUCGCUACAAAAAAAGAAGAUCGAAGAUGACGAAACCCAUGUGAAUCGCUCUACGGUUCUGGCAGCGAAUGAGGAUUGGACAUGCAGAUUCUGGAGACAGUGACUUGAAGCUUCUUGCGAAUCUGUAGCAAGUUUAAUCAGACCACUCUUGAGGGCAACUUCUUUCUUCAAACAAAGUCAUGCAUUCCAGAGUACGCAGCUUUCCUCUUUCUGAAGUACAGAGCAUGCCUAAGAUCUAUGUUUGGGGGCAAAAUGUUUUCGUAAUCUGCAUGGGAUUGCGCUUUAUUGCUUACAAAAACAUCAUUGAAUCUCACCGUUCCAGAAUGGCACAUAAACAGUAGCGGACUUUGAUGUUAUCUUCAUUCAGCUGUUAAGUGACCAUCAUUAGUCUUGUUUCUAUCUUUUAGAACAUAUACAGGGAUGUGCCUUAGGAAGUCCUGCAUUGCUUGCAUCUCGCUUGACCUUUUGCUCAAUAAUUCAACCUGAGUACGGGGUUGAGACAUCUGGGUUGCAAAGGUGACUAUGGACUGUACAUUCGCUUGUUUCUCUUCCCACUAUUUUCUGAAUCAAAUUACCUGCUGCUGUAUCUAUUGAAGCUGUAGCCUCAUCUAACAAUCUCUCAAAAGGCAUAAAUAUCAGAUUCUUCAACUAUGCUAUUCUCAGAUCACCUCAGCAGUAUAAGGGGUUCUAUGCAUUUAGGAACCAUCAGCAAUGCUUGGAUUUUUGGGAUAUUAUACAGAACAAAGCAAAGUUGUGCGACAUUUCCCUUUGAUUAUGAAGAUGAAGUCGAAGAUGGCAAAAUUUUGUAAAGACUUUCAAGGGGAUUCCCUCCACGUUUGUCAUCAAAGAUGCUUUUUGACGAAUUUCCCAUAGUCAACUUGAUUAAGGCAACAAGAACAACUUUUUGCUUACUCUAUGAUGCAGUAUUAAGCAUGUCAAACAAUGAGUGAGCCACCUGCUUAGCUGACUUAAAAUCUCUGAUAUUCUCAACAUCGAGAGGCUCAAGUGAAGCUCUACUGAAUAUAACAUUUCUUGACUCCAAAUGUAACACAGUUAUCAGUUGAUUCACGGAAUUGAUUGAUGCUUCGCAAUGAAGAAAAUCAGGACUGCUAAAUAGUAUUUUCAACAAUUCAGACACUAUGGCCUUAGAAGGGUCUUGAGGGCUUAAAGACAAGUACUUGGUUAGAGCACCCAAUGCUCCAGCUUCAGCCAUGAUCAGUUUGUUCGCAUCAGACAUUAGUUCAAGGGGUUUGGCACCUUCCCUCACAUGCAUCUCAGAAUGAGCUUUCAUACACUCCCAGUAGAAAUAGUUUCAGAAUCUGCAUUUAUUAUAGUGGCUUUAGUUUCGAUGUCGUCUUUUGAGAGAGUCAUUUUCUACCAAAAUCACAAUCUAAGCAAUCGUCAAGCAUUAGGUUGGAAUUUCCGUCACAAAUGAAUUUCUUGUUAGCAUCAUUAGUAAUCUUCAGCAAUCAAGCUCACUGAAUCGUCUCCUGAGUACCCAUGACAGAAGAAAGCUGAUCAUUCAUGGCACCCAAGACUGAGCCAUGGUGAUAACUAUUUAAAGUAGUGUUUGAAUUAGCUGAUCCGUCAAGACUUUGAUGGGAUGAUACAUUCCUGAUGGGUUAAGUGUCAUCAGUUGACAUGGUACUAUUGCUUACAAAAAAUUAUGAGCCCAGGUUCUUCUUCCUGCUAUUGUCCAAUUCUGUAGGAGUAAUCUGGUCUUUUCCAGUUUAUUAAGCUCCAUCAUGCCUGCCUCAAGAAGGGCCUUUGGCGUAUAUGUCAGUAAGUUCAAGUCUGGACAGUGUCCUAGUAAACAGAUGCCUUCCCUGAUCUCUAUCAGUAUGCAUCCUCUGAUUAGGAUUGAUUUCUGGACUGAUCUGAUCAAAGAUCCUCGAACUGUUUAAAGUCCCAUGAUUCUUUUGGCUUUGAGAGUCUUCUCUGGUUUUCCGUGCUCAAGUAAUCAAGCAAAUUGUCCCACAUGAAUAGAAGAUGCCACAAGUUUAGCAGUGCAUUUUUCAUCAGUAUUCAAAUCAAACAUUGGAAUUUUCUGUAGGUUGGCGGAAUUGUUGGCAAUUUCGACAUCAUAUAUUGCAGCAAGGCCGAAAUUCUGACUUACACUUCUAAGUGUUCCAGAGAACUUAGUCAUGUCUGCCUCCUAUGUCAUCUCUUGAUAAAUCUGGUUCUCUUCAAAUGCUUCCGAAGGUUGAAAUUAGUACCCUUGUUCGUCUCAAGGAAACAAACCGAGAGGUUUGGACAGUAGGAUCUGCACUUUCUCCACAGAACUGGAGCACCUUUUCAGAAGUCCCUUCUUUGGUCUCAGCAAAAGACUUUAGAGCUUCAACAAGAAAAGUAANNNNNNNNNNNNNNNNNNNNNNNNNNNNNNNNNNNNNNNNNNNNNNNNNNNNNNNNNNNNNNNNNNNNNNNNNNNNNNNNNNNNNNNNNNNNNNNNNNNNNNNNNNNNNNNNNNNNNNNNNNNNNNNNNNNNNNNNNNNNNNNNNNNNNNNNNNNNNNNNNNNNNNNNNNNNNNNNNNNNNNNNNNNNNNNNNNNNNNNNNNNNNNNNNNNNNNNNNNNNNNNNNNNNNNNNNNNNNNNNNNNNNNNNNNNNNNNNNNNNNNNNNNNNNNNNNNNNNNNNNNNNNNNNNNNNNNNNNNNNNNNNNNNNNNNNNNNNNNNNNNNNNNNNNNNNNNNNNNNNNNNNNNNNNNNNNNNNNNNNNNNNNNNNNNNNNNNNNNNNNNNNNNNNNNNNNNNNNNNNNNNNNNNNNNNNNNNNNNNNNNNNNNNNNNNNNNNNNNNNNNNNNNNNNNNNNNNNNNNNNNNNNNNNNNNNNNNNNNNNNNNNNNNNNNNNNNNNNNNNNNNNNNNNNNNNNNNNNNNNNNNNNNNNNNNNNNNNNNNNNNNNNNNNNNNNNNNNNNNNNNNNNNNNNNNNNNNNNNNNNNNNNNNNNNNNNNNNNNNNNNNNNNNNNNNNNNNNNNNNNNNNNNNNNNNNNNNNNNNNNNNNNNNNNNNNNNNNNNNNNNNNNNNNNNNNNNNNNNNNNNNNNNNNNNNNNNNNNNNNNNNNNNNNNNNNNNNNNNNNNNNNNNNNNNNNNNNNNNNNNNNNNNNNNNNNNNNNNNNNNNNNNNNNNNNNNNNNNNNNNNNNNNNNNNNNNNNNNNNNNNNNNNNNNNNNNNNNNNNNNNNNNNNNNNNNNNNNNNNNNNNNNNNNNNNNNNNNNNNNNNNNNNNNNNNNNNNNNNNNNNNNNNNNNNNNNNNNNNNNNNNNNNNNNNNNNNNNNNNNNNNNNNNNNNNNNNNNNNNNNNNNNNNNNNNNNNNNNNNNNNNNNNNNNNNNNNNNNNNNNNNNNNNNNNNNNNNNNNNNNNNNNNNNNNNNNNNNNNNNNNNNNNNNNNNNNNNNNNNNNNNNNNNNNNNNNNNNNNNNNNNNNNNNNNNNNNNNNNNNNNNNNNNNNNNNNNNNNNNNNNNNNNACAGAUCAUCAGCCAUAGGAAUACCAUCGGUGGUUGACGUGGAGAGCUUCUCUGCAAUACCCUGAACCUUACCAUGAAUUUUAAGCCUUUUAGUCAUGACUUUCCACAAUUGAUCCCAACUCAUCAGCACAAAUUUGAAAACCUGCAGCUGUUACUUCCUCAGGUGCAAUGUAGUCACUGGACAAACCAUGAAUAAACUGAAGUGCGGCCUGUGAAACUAGAACUGCUACUCUAAACUUCUCCUCAUUGGAACGUCGAAUAGUUUGAGCUUCGAAUCACUUGCUGAGAUUAGCAGUGAAACGGGACCUUCGCUUAGGUUUUUAACAACCCAGCGAAGCUUUCUCCGUGUGAGCUUUAGGUGGACUUGAAGCCUGAGCUUCCAGAAUUGCUUGGUUAGCUGUCUCAUAAUAACCAGCUGAGCAGCAGAGCUUUGCAUAUUGAAGCCAGCAAUCACCAACUUGAGCACCAAGACCGCUUGCACCAAGAACCAAUCUUUGUAAAGCCAGAAGUGACUCUCUUGCCCAAAGGGAUGGCUGUGUAAAUCUGAGCUGAUCUCCCCAAUUUUCCAUCAUUUUUGUGAAUCUCAGAUCAGCCAAAUCGAUUGAUUUCAGCAACAGCUAGAAGAGCAAUCAGAGCUCGUUUGGACAGAGCAAUUUUCUCAGCAACUGAGAAUUGGUCUUUCUUUAUCAGGGCCUGAGGAAUUUUCACAACAUCCAUGUCAAAGGAAGCAUUAUUCUCAGAGCUGCUGCAAAGUAAACCUUCCUUGUCAGUCCCAUCAAGGUACUCAUCCAUCAAUUCCCACUUGCUAAGCCUCCAUGCUGCCUAAACACCUUGUAUGCACCAAGUUUUCUUGUAUUUAUGAAUUUUAGCUAUUAAACCAUCCACGUGAAUAACCAUAGUCUGAAAGUGGCACAUGUCAGUAAACAAUUAAGAACAUCUGAAUGCCUCUGUACUGAGGUAGGCUCCAUCUGCAAAGCCUGCUCUGAAGAAGUUAAAACUUCUGCCCAGUUUCCUGCUUUCUUGUUGAUUAGAAAGCUGGUCUUGCAAACUUAAUGACGUGUGCAAACANNNNNNNNNNNNNNNNNNNNNNNNNNNNNNNNNNNNNNNNNNNNNNNNNNNNNNNNNNNNNNNNNNNNNNNNNNNNNNNNNNNNNNNNNNNNNNNNNNNNNNNNNNNNNNNNNNNNNNNNNNNNNNNNNNNNNNNNNNNNNNNNNNNNNNNNNNNNNNNNNNNNNNNNNNNNNNNNNNNNNNNNNNNNNNNNNNNNNNNNNNNNNNNNNNNNNNNNNNNNNNNNNNNNNNNNNNNNNNNNNNNNNNNNNNNNNNNNNNNNNNNNNNNNNNNNNNNNNNNNNNNNNNNNNNNNNNNNNNNNNNNNNNNNNNNNNNNNNNNNNNNNNNNNNNNNNNNNNNNNNNNNNNNNNNNNNNNNNNNNNNNNNNNNNNNNNNNNNNNNNNNNNNNNNNNNNNNNNNNNNNNNNNNNNNNNNNNNNNNNNNNNNNNNNNNNNNNNNNNNNNNNNNNNNNNNNNNNNNNNNNNNNNNNNNNNNNNNNNNNNNNNNNNNNNNNNNNNNNNNNNNNNNNNNNNNNNNNNNNNNNNNNNNNNNNNNNNNNNNNNNNNNNNNNNNNNNNNNNNNNNNNNNNNNNNNNNNNNNNNNNNNNNNNNNNNNNNNNNNNNNNNNNNNNNNNNNNNNNNNNNNNNNNNNNNNNNNNNNNNNNNNNNNNNNNNNNNNNNNNNNNNNNNNNNNNNNNNNNNNNNNNNNNNNNNNNNNNNNNNNNNNNNNNNNNNNNNNNNNNNNNNNNNNNNNNNNNNNNNNNNNNNNNNNNNNNNNNNNNNNNNNNNNNNNNNNNNNNNNNNNNNNNNNNNNNNNNNNNNNNNNNNNNNNNNNNNNNNNNNNNNNNNNNNNNNNNNNNNNNNNNNNNNNNNNNNNNNNNNNNNNNNNNNNNNNNNNNNNNNNNNNNNNNNNNNNNNNNNNNNNNNNNNNNNNNNNNNNNNNNNNNNNNNNNNNNNNNNNNNNNNNNNNNNNNNNNNNNNNNNNNNNNNNNNNNNNNNNNNNNNNNNNNNNNNNNNNNNNNNNNNNNNNNNNNNNNNNNNNNNNNNNNNNNNNNNNNNNNNNNNNNNNNNNNNNNNNNNNNNNNNNNNNNNNNNNNNNNNNNNNNNNNNNNNNNNNNNNNNNNNNNNNNNNNNNNNNNNNNNNNNNNNNNNNNNNNNNNNNNNNNNNNNNNNNNNNNNNNNNNNNNNNNNNNNNNNNNNNNNNNNNNNNNNNNNNNNNNNNNNNNNNNNNNNNNNNNNNNNNNNNNNNNNNNNNNNNNNNNNNNNNNNNNNNNNNNNNNNNNNNNNNNNNNNNNNNNNNNNNNNNNNNNNNNNNNNNNNNNNNNNNNNNNNNNNNNNNNNNNNNNNNNNNNNNNNNNNNNNNNNNNNNNNNNNNNNNNNNNNNNNNNNNNNNNNNNNNNNNNNNNNNNNNNNNNNNNNNNNNNNNNNNNNNNNNNNNNNNNNNNNNNNNNNNNNNNNNNNNNNNNNNNNNNNNNNNNNNNNNNNNNNNNNNNNNNNNNNNNNNNNNNNNNNNNNNNNNNNNNNNNNNNNNNNNNNNNNNNNNNNNNNNNNNNNNNNNNNNNNNNNNNNNNNNNNNNNNNNNNNNNNNNNNNNNNNNNNNNNNNNNNNNNNNNNNNNNNNNNNNNNNNNNNNNNNNNNNNNNNNNNNNNNNNNNNNNNNNNNNNNNNNNNNNNNNNNNNNNNNNNNNNNNNNNNNNNNNNNNNNNAAAGACCAAAUAACCAGCAGAAAGAUCCUCUAUUUCCAGAACCAUGCUUCUCAAUCUGUCCUUAAUCUGCAUAUCCUUAACAAGCGAAUAAACAGCCGACAAGCUAGAAUUUUGAAACGUUUGUUCUCUUUGCUGAAUCUCAUGACUGCAUGCCCAAGCUUUGGAAUCACCCCCAUAUAAAGAAUUGAUGGCCAUAGGACGGAUAGGAAGAAAAGCAAAAACAAGUAUGGUAGAGAAUAGCGGAAACGAUGGGAAAACGGACAUGGGAGAUUAAAAGAAAAUAAAGCCACAUCUCAUAAUUUUUCAAUAGGCUCUGGUUAGUGGGAAUAGGCACAGAGAUAUAUGCUUCCGAAGGCAUUAAUGACAUCCAAAAUCAAAACAAGGCAAACAGGCAAGUAACCAAUCUCAACAAAGCAAAUUGUGGCCCUUUUCAUCCACACAAAAAUCAACAAAACAAUUAUAUAUUCAGGAAUCGAACUCACGGAAAAAAAUCAAAUAUAGGUAAGAAUUCCGAAAGCAACGAGGUGCAUACCUGGACAGCUUUGGUUGCAAUGGCUCGGCUUCUGGCUAUCUUUUCUCUUCCUUCUGAGGACAAUUCCCAGAUAAAAAUCCUCUUUUUUGCUUGUUCUUUCUUCCUCCUCCUCCCUCUCUAGACUCCAAUACGUGCUCUGCCCCCAAGAAAAAUCCUCCCUUAAUAAAAAAAAGCUCCCCUUUUUCUCCUUCCUCUCUCACGUAUAUAUACGCCUUUCCCUAAAACUAAAUCUCCCUAAAAAAAGGCCAAAUCCCCUAUUUUCUCUCUUCUUUUCUCCUUAUCCUUUUUUAAAUCUUCCAAUUCAAAAGCAAUCUUCCCAACUUCAAAUUCUCCUCCAAAACCUUCCAAGGAGAGUCCCACUUUCCUUAAACUCCAAUGGUAAGUUUCCUUGCAAAAACAUGAAAUUUUAGAAGUUAAAUAAUUGCAUGAAUAGAUAAAUAAGUAAAUAAAUUAGAAAAUGGUAAAAAUAAUAAAUAAAUAAAUAAGUUGAGGAAAAUAAUAUAAAGAGGAAAACGAAAUAAAAUAAAAUAAAAUUAAACAAAUUAACAAAAAAAAUGGACCCUACAAGCCAUGCAAACACGCAAGUCAAAUAAGUCACGCUAAAAAUGUCCAAAUGGGUCAAGUGUGCCUAAACGGGCCUAUGAUGAGACUAAGCGGGCCUAGGGUGGUGCCUAAUGGGCCAAGUGUAUCUAAAGGCUAUCCUAAAAAAACAAGAAAAGCCUAAGUCUAAAUUAGGGCUGCCAAGGGUCACGAUAAGGGAUCAAAUAAUCCUUUAACCAAAGUCUCCAAGGUGACUCAGAAAAAGGUAAGUCGUACGAGUAGUAAUGGGCCACCAAGGAACUACCGUGGAGCACUGGAAGUGGAUUUAAAGACAUGUGCUAAAAGGGCAAAAUUGAGGGUCUACAAUGAGUUUCAGAAGCAAGUUGUGGAUGCAUGGAGGGAUAUUAACGAGGAGUUCCUACGACCUACAGUUGUUCCGAUGCCUCUCCUAAUGUGUGUGCUUAAUCUUUCUCGAGUGAUGGAUGUGAUCUACACGGGGGGAGAUGGGUACACUCAUGUUGGAAAAGUGAUGAAGAAUAAUGUUGCAUCACUGCUCAUUCACUCUAUUGUAUGACCAAAUGGAUCAAGUUGAUCACCAUCUACAUAUUCUGCCUUACCUAGGGAGUAGGAUGAAUAAAAAUUAUUGUAAUAGUAUGGGAGAGACCUAUAAUGUUUGCUACUCUAUCUCGGUUUGGUGGUGUUUUACAUCAUACUAUCAUUUGGGCCAAAGGUAUUAAUGUUAUUGCGUUCUAAAAACUCCAUCCUAAGAUGCAAACAUAAGCAGGUUUUUUUUUAUUGAUUUUCGUUUUCUAUUUCUUGCAUCCAUUUUAAUAUAUGUUUAAAACACAUGGAUCAAGUUUGAAACUUUUUUGUUAUUCAAAAAUCGUGUCAUGGAGAAAAUUCUCCAUGGCAAAUCACUUGAUGGAGAAAAUUCAAAAUACAUCAUCAUCAUGAUGUAGAAAAUCACUUGACCGAGAAAAUUCAAGUAUAAAAAUCACAUGGUGUAGAAAAUUCUCCAUAGAAAAUCACAAGAAAAUUCAAAAUACAUCAGCAUCAUGAUGUAGAAAAUUACUUGACGGAGAAAAUUCAAGUAUAAAAAUCACAUGGUGUAGAAAAUUCUCCAUAGAAAAUCACGAGAAAAUUCAAAAAACAUCGUCAUCGUUGUCAUCAUCCUCCUCCUCCUCCUCCUCCUCCUCCUCCUCAUCAUCAUCAUCAUCAUCACUAGACAUGCUAAAAGUUUUGUUUCAUCAUCAUCAUCACCAGACAUGCUAAAAUGCUAAAAGUUUUGUUAUAUACCAUGUAAAAAAUAUAAGUUAUGAUCUUAUAUAAGGUACCAUGCAAAGUUUAAAUUUUUGCAAAACGAAAAGAGAAAAAAAAGGAAGUUAUGAAGAAUCAAAUCAAUCAACUCAUCAUUUUCCAAGCAAGGAUUAAGAUAUUAAAAAUUACAUAAAGAUGAUGAUUAUAUUUUUAAAAACAUUAGAAAAAAAAAAUAAUAAAUAUAUUGAAGUUGUUUUUUUACAUAAAACAAUAUAUGUAUAAUAACAUAAAUACAUUUAAUUAUAAAAUAUAUAUGAUUCCAUGUAAUUUGAAAAUAUUCAAGGAUGUAAAAGAAAUAAUAAAUAUUUUUUUUACAAACAAAUAUUUAUAAUUUCAUUUACAACUUUAUUUCUUCCUUUUAUUUAAUUAAUAUAGACAAGGAAUAACAAAAGACUUACUAAAAGAACUAUCAUGAGCACGUUUUAUAUUUUUAACAAUAAGUUCAAAUAAAUUUUAAAAAUAAGACAAUUAAAUUAAUAUAUUUUUUAACAUUUUAUUUAAUAUUUAAUUUUGUGCAUAGAUAUGUCAUAAAAUUAGGUUAAAUAUAGUACAUGUAAUUAUAAACAAUAAGGGCAAGCAGCUCAGGUGGCAAAGUAGCCACCUCCCUUCCAACAUGCACCUUCAAGUUUUUUUAGCAUACUGAUGUAGCGAAUUACGGGAGAAAGUCACCAUAUAUUGCCAAAAUUAGUGAUUAAUCGAAAAAAUAAGAAAAGAACAUGAUUAAUCGAGGUAGAUUAUGAAAAUUUGAUAAAAAUUCAUUAAGUGAAAUUCCUCCAUAAUUUUCUAUAUCGGUGAUAUUUCAUGAACACUAAUCAUGAUUUCCAAGUUCAUGAGUUUACCGUAUCUACAAAUUGGUAUGUCAAAGAAGUUCAAGAAUAAUUUUUAGAUGAUUAUAAGUGUUUUUUAAUAAUUAAAUUCAUUUUACAAAUAACUACAUGUUUAAUUAAGAUUAUAUCCUAAUGGUGCUGAAAACAAAUUAAGACAGACGUCAAAUCACAUUUACUUUGCAUUGAAACAAAUUAUGCUUAAUAGACAUAUUUAUGUUUUUGAAGAUGAUGGAUGUUAAUUUCAGAUUUUGCUCUCAAAUUAAGCCACCUAACACAGUUGUCUUUUAAACACUUAAGCGAACACAACUUCAAAUCACCAAUAAUUCACGGUAGCACAACUUCAAAUUAAGCCAAAAACCCAUCAACCCUCACCACCGUCGAUAGCAUCGCCGGCAAGCCGUUACCGGUUGGCAACCCCCUCCUCCCCUCUCAUUCUCCCCUUCCACCCACCUCUCCUCUCACUACUUUCUCUCUCUUUCCUUUUCAUUUCUUUCUCCUCAACUCCAUUGCCACCCUUCAACAACCCUUCAUCCAUGGUCUCAAAAAAAAAUAAUAAAAAAUAUCCCCAUGUCGAUAGCCCUAGUUUAAACUUUCCAAGUGAAUCACUAAAAUACAACACAAUUAGCUAUCACAAAACAAAAUAAAUUCAAUUAGGCCUAAAUUUAAUAUCUUAUAAUCCAAACUUAAUUUAAUACACAAAUUCAAAUUCACAAUCAAAAUCAAGUCCAAUUUAAUAUAUAAAGCUCAAAUGUAACAAAAUUAUACUAUAAUAUUAAUUCAUGUCCAAAUUAAACUAUUCAAAUGGGCAAAAUUCAUUCACCAACGACAAAUAGGCCCAAAUUUCAUAUUAAUUAACAUCCCCAAAACAAAAUUUAUUGGACCAAUUUGAAGUUUGGAUUUGAGUUUGAAUAAUUAUUUUGGACUUUACAUAUUUUUGGAUAUUUACCUUUGGGCUAUUUUUGUUUUUUCAUGAGCCCAUUUUACAAUUCUGUUGACUGAGCACAAAUUUGUGAUGCGUAGAGGGUUAAAUUUCAUGAAAAAAAAUGUGGCUCAUGAAGGCUGUAAAUUGAGCAUUAAGCUUGCUAUAGCCUUGUUUGGAUAUAUUUUAUUUCCCCACUUUUAUUUAGUUCUAUUUUUAUUGUCCUGUAAAUAUUCUUUCUUAUAUAUUUCUUGGGUGUAUACAAAGUUGAACAAUUGAUAACUCAUGAACUUUGUUUUAAUAAAAUAAAUAGUUCAGUAAUCUUUUUUUUUUUUAAUAAAAACAAUUGCUUAGAAAUUAUUUUUUUUUAAUAAAAAAAGGUUUUUUUUAUAAAAAUUCAAAAAAAUGUUUUUAAGAAAAUCCGAAAAAUCAUUUAAAUAAGAAUAUGUAUCACUUAAAUCACCUGAAUAUAUUAUUUAUUAUAUUAUAUUCUUUAAUACAUAUGUAUUAUUGUCAUUCAACUUGAGGAGUAUUGAUACUGAGUCUUAAAAUACAUAUGUAUGUAGAAUACAUGCCUACAACAAAUCUGGAUCUCCUUGUUAAUAUGUAAUGGUGUUUUGGAGUACUACAAUACUCACCAAAUAACUUCUUUACACUUUAUAAUGGACACUGACUGGUGAGUUUAUAGUUAAUUAAAUAUUUAACUCUAUAGCAAAUUAUUAUUAUUAUAAUUAUUGUUGCUAGCGUUAUUAUUAUUUAAUUCAUUAUUAUGAAAAUUAUUAGUAUUAUUACUAUUUAAUUAUUAUUAUUAGCUAUUAAUUUUAGUUUUUUCUUUUUCAUCUUUUCUUUUUUGUUGUUUCUUAUAUACUUCAUAAAAUUAUAAGUUAUGAUCUUUUAUUAGGUUGAAAUUGGAAGUUCAAGUUCACUAAAGUAUGACACAGUUAACUUAGGUUCACUAAUUUUGUAAAAAAUUCAAUGCAUUUAUAGGAUAAUUAAAUAAUUCAACGAACUUAUCAUUUUAUUAAUUAAGGUUUUUUUUUUUUUUAACCUUUUUUACAUGUAAGAAUACAAAAAUUUAUGGUUCAAUGUGAAACUUUGGAAUUGCAUGAAUAAGAAAGUGAAAUUUGUUGGUGUCGUUCCCAACGAGAGUUAGGUUCAUCCAACUUCAUUGGAGUCAGGUGGGUUGCUUCCCUUGUUCGUGCUUCUUAAGAAGUCCGUCCAGUUGUAUUGGAAUUAGAUAGACUUCUUCCCUGCACAAAAGAAUGUCCAGACAGGUGGUUCGAACAUGCCCCUCCCAAACUUAAGUUAGUUAAGGAUAACUCUAACUUAUUUUUAUGGUAGAAAAUGAGCGUAUGUGCAUGCCUACCUUGUUUGUGCCUUUUGAGGGGUUUAUAUAGAGCUUAUGACACUGUCACUAUAGUGCUGACUAUACACUCUAGUCUUUCUUGUGAUGAUGAUUACCCUUACGGCGGUUGGGCAAUCAUAUCAGAUAAGGGAGGUUGAUUGGUGCCAUCUACUGACAUGCCAAAUCUCGGACCAUGCAACUGAUUGUCCAUUUAGCUUGCCAAUGUCUGGGAUUGUGUGUAACAAUUAAUUGACAUUGACUUUUGGGUGUAAAUGGAGUCCCGUCCACCGCUUAGAUGUCAGACGUCUAAUCCAUAGCUCAAAUGUCAUGUGUCUAGGCCAACGCUCAAACAUCAAGCAUGGUUGAUCAUGCAUGCCAGAAAUCCUGAGGACUUGAUUUGACUAAUUUUUUCGUCGGAGAGUCUAGCGAUCCCAGCUUGUCGAUUCUGUCUGACCUUGUGGAAGAAGAGAAACCUCUCACUUUUGGUGUCAGAUAGAACUUAUCUUGGUCUAGAUGGAUUGAUCCUAGACGGGUUACAAGUUUGUCCUGGUCGGCCAAGGGGUCUUGAGCUUGAAAAUGACAAGUGAAGGGAAAUCCCCCACAAUGCCCCCUUAAUCUGUCUACCUCUAUCCAGAUGAAGAGGAGAUGUUUUUGGAGCGUCCAGUUAGUCUCCUAUCUAAACAAGAAUUCCGGGAUCGUUUCCAUAUUCCGGAUAAUAUCCCUAUCCUUCUAAUAGACGACGAGGCGUUAUCUUCCGUUGACCUGCCCAACAACAUGAUGUAUUUUACUAAGGAACAAUUCGUUGCGGGGCUCCGUCUACCUAUCCCCUCUCUCUUCAAGCAGUUCUUUCAUUUUAUGUAAAUCCCUUCAACUUUUCUUCAUCCGAACGUUGUCCGGUUAUUGAUGGGAUGUAGUGUUCUGGACAUGCUCUUUCAGUUGGAUCUCUCCUUACUGGAAGUCUUAUUUGUUUACACUAUCAAAAUGAGCUGGAAGGAAAGGUUAAGAUUUUCUUCCCAUAUUCCUUCCUUACAGCCGGUGACUGGCCUUCCAGAUUCAUGCAAAUGCUAGGUGAAGGGGCAUGUCCUAGUCUCCAGUCCUUGGAGUGGUUCAUCUAAGAAACUAGACGAGGUCUUUUCUCCACAACAUUUGUUGGGGAUUCCGAGUAAGAUACGCUUUCGUCACUUUCUCUACAUUUUUCAAUUAUUUCUUCCUCGUUGUGAAUUUACUGCUGAUCCUUUUGUUUAUGUGAUACAAGCAAGGAGAGGCGGGGACGCCUUGUAGAGUGGGUAGACAAGGCUUCUUUCACCCGACUCAACAAGUUGUUCGAAAUAGACGCGUUCGAAUGGGCCCCCAAAGUUUUUCUGCCAAACAAUAACUUACUAGCACUGAUCGAUAAUCCAAAGUCGUUCAUCAUCCCCGUAUUUUCUCGUCUGGCUCCCCCAUCUUUGGUGCUUGGUGAACAUUUCGUGCUAAAGGAUUUGUAUUUCUAUGAGGUUGCCUGUCUAGCAGAUUCUAAGGCACGCUAGGCCCGUUUAGAGGAGCGUGAGGAAAAACAUCAGGAAGGGACAUUGAGGCAAGCUUCGACUGUUGGUGGUCUAUCCUUUAGAUCCGUUGUUUGUCUUCUCACUAAAAAGAGGAAGAAACCUACUACUCUGCCUAUCCAGAGAUAAGGACUCCGCCUCCUUUAUUUUUUUUCUUCUCCAUCAGCUUCAUCAUCUUCAUCAUCUCCAUCUUCUUCAUCUUCCAAUGGCGAGCCAGAAGCAUGGGUUGACCAGGUAGUGUCCCCUAUUAUUUGCGAUGAGUAAAAAGAAGAGGAUAUGGCUUCAAACUUGAGGGCCGAAUUUCGUGAGAGACAGUGCAAGCACCUGUCCAAAUCCAUUGCUGUCAAUCCUACUCCCUCCAAGAAAGCUUGUUCAAAACCUGCUUUUGCUCCUACACUCAUGUCGGUUCCUCCUACUAUUGCUACAGUCUUGACCCCUGAGCUAGAUAAGAAAUUUCCUUCUACUAAUGAACAUACUUAUCAUGAGAUGAGGAGAUCCUUCAUCAACUCGGACAACUUCAGCAAAGAAUCGUUCAAAUACAUGACUUCUUUUUCUCCUCAUUCGAAGUCAACCUAUGUCCACAAUCGGGAGGAGGUAUCUGAGCUUUUGAAGCGAAUCCCUUUCUUCACCGAGGAGAGUCCUCGGUACAAAACAUGGGAGUACUCUUUCCACCUACUCAGCAAAUCCCAAUUGAGAUAGACAAUGAUCCCAGUCGAUCUUUCAUGGCAUGGCUUUUGUACGGCACUCCGAACACCGCCAUUUCUCACAUUAUUCCCAUGCAAGACUAUAAGGCUUUUGAAACGACAAAAAUGGUAAGCCACCUAUCCUUUUCUGCUCAUUUUGCCUUAGCCUCUUGUUUCACAACGAUUUCUCUAUUGCCUCUUCAGAUGAUAGUCGGAGUCUAAAACCUCAUGUGGCAGCACGCUCCCCUUUUCUACCGAUUGGAAACAGUCGAGACCAUGAGGGCAUACUUUGCCCAUAAUAUGAACAAGAAUGAGGAUCUUUUUGCCAACUUGGAGACAACGUAGAGUGAAGCCGUUGCUGCCCAAAAGCUUGUUGAAGAAGAAGCCAAUCUAUUGAGGAAAGCCGAGGAAGAAAAGGAGACAGUUCAAAUUGAAGCUCGUCGGCUGGCUGAAAAGAAGAAAACCAUGGCGGUCGACAAAAAUAAGCCUGAAAAAAAGGCUGCCUGAUUCGUGCCCAAUUGGUGUCUCAGCUGAUUCGUGUCCAGCUGGUGCUCCUUGAUUGAGGGAGUAAUCAACAAAAUUUAUAACCUAUUACACCAUAUACUAGGGUAGCAAAGACAAAGCUACUAUAGCAUAGUGGCUCUAGGAUCGUCCAUUGGGAUGGGUUUUCACUUCACAAUUGAUAUUAAUUCAAAGAUGAAUUGGUGCCUUUUCAUUUCAAGGUUAGCUUUAAAAGAAAACAUAAACUUGUUUGAAAGAAAAAGGUUUGGUUUUAAACUAACCACAAAUAGUAACUAAUUUUACUUACAAAGAAAAGAUGUUUCUUGGAGUUCAGAUCACUAGGCUCAGAUUCCUCAUACAAAAAGGGAGUUCCGGUCACUUGUUUCUUUUCCUCGUAUUAGAGAAUUAACAUAUAGUUAAUUCUCCAACCGGUGUUGUACAGAUGCUCCCCAUUAAUGGGUUCAAACACUAAAUCCCUCUCACUGAUGCAUCUUGCAAUGACUCAUACCUCUCACCUAGCACUUGCCAUUCAAGGUGAUCUUUAACCUUGGAUUACCCGUCAAAAGCUCGCAAGAGAUAACUAAUGGAUGUCUCCUUGGAGUCCAAAAGCUUACCAAGUGUUGGCUAUUCUAGAAAAUCCUACCUUCAAGUCACCUCCCAAAGGCUCGCAAGGGGUAAACUAGUGCAUUUCCAUGGUUGGAAAUCACUUGUCUUACCAAGUGUUGGCCCAGGUGACCCUAAGGUGUUUUAAGUUAACUAAAAACAUAGAAAUCACUAACGGGUUACACUUUCUCUUCAUUAAAAACUAAAACAACAAAACUUCCAAAUUAUGCAUGUGGAAACUUACCCGGCUUUCCUCACUCCAAGAGACAAAAAGCUUAGCCUCUCAUCCUCUGUGGAAAAAUCCUCAGAGUUUGGUUGGCUAGAAAAUGAAAAUGAAAGAGAAGACAAGAAUAUAUAUCAAAAACAGAGCAAGUGCUCUGUUCGUUGAUUCUAUAUAUUGGAUUACAUGAUAUCACAUACUUCCCCCCAGCGUCUCCUGAGAGUGUUUACAAGAGAGUUUAUAUAAGAAGGUAAUUUACCCUUCCUUGGAUACUUCCUAGCUAAGGAAUUACAUGAGUGGUUGAAUACAAGGAGAAAAUGGAAAUUUAGACACAAAAAUCUGAAGAAAAAUAUCUAAAAGAGUCGGUGCAAAAAUAUCGGGAUGCUUCGGGAACCAUUUCGCAAGAGAAAAUGGUGUCUGCGAGAUUUCGCAGACACUCAAGAGGGGCUGCGAAAUCACUUCGCAACAUCAAGCUAUUCUCACAGGGCUACGAAAUUGGCUUCCUCCUUGAGGUUCUCAGCGUUCCAGCUUGCGUCAUGUAUCGGGUAGCUUCAGGAGGAAUUUCAUAGCACUGUACAAAAAGGCUGCGGAAUUCUCGCAACAAAAGGCUGAUUUCGCAACACUUUGGAGUGAUCUGCUUUCAAUGGCUGUAACUCCUUCGUUUCAACUCCGAAUCGCGCACCGUUUGAAGCAUUGGAUUCUUGACUUCCUGAGCUUUGAAAUGGUAUAUAGAAUGUAGAAAAUGGACUUCGGAAAGUGCUCCAAAAGUGCAAAAGAAUACUGCAGCUAGCUUUCCUCUGUUUUCUUCACUCUGUUUUUCCUCUCUCCUUGCUUCUCUCCUUGCAUACUUUGAACGACUUUGGCAAAGGGAUAUGGGGCUCCAAAGCUUGGUUUCUUCAUGAAUUUGAGCUCUUCAUUGCUUUGCCAUGAAUUCCAAAUAACUCUCCUCAAUCUUGGAUUGUUUUGGUGAUCAAAUUACUAACAAAAACACCAAAACUUACACAAUUUGAUUAGAAUUGAUUGCAAGGGUCCUUAACAUGUUAAUUGGGUUAAAAGACAAUAACUACUACUCAAAAGUGUUUAAAAGGAUUAAUUACAAGCUACAAAAUAGCACUUUUUGAGUAGUAAUCACUGCCCAGCUGAGGCAUGAGCUACAAGAUCUCCGAGUGGGGUUUGCCGCUUGAAAAGAAGACUUGGAGGUUGACUACCAAAAGCAAGUGGAUGAUAUAUUCCUGUACGAAUAUCGUUGUUAUAUAAAGAAGCAUGGCAUCAUCCAUGAUGCUCCCACCUUUCCUUCGGAUGACGAGAAUGAGUUUUUAGGCGACCCUUCCCAAAAAGGAGGAGAUGUUUUCGAAGGCGGUCCCUUUGGCGAGUAGGCUUGAUAUUUUGUUUGUAUUUAUUUAUUAUGGUUGGAUGUGGCUUGGACUGCUACAUCUAUAAAGACAAUGGAUGCUUUAUUUAUUUGAAUAUAUUUACUUUAGUCAUUUGUCUCUCAUACAUUGUUUUCAUAAGCAAACUUUAUUGAAAUUACUACUUUAAAUUGGAUACAUUCAAAGAGUAGAGCAGGGGUACGACGUCCAAUAUUUGAAGAUGGUAUGUCCCUGAGUCUCUAGCCUUAGUUACAAUAUAUGACCCUUCUCAGUUAGCUUGUAGAACUAUAAUACUUUGGUUUAUACAUUUAAGGUUAUAUAAAGUGUUAAUUCAAAUUAGUGAUGUUAUGUUGUUCACCCGUUUCCUUGAUAAUUUAAACAAAUAAAACUCAAAUGCAUCCUAAAGUCUAAAUGAAAGAAAUUCUAACUAAACAAAUUAUUACAACCAUUACCUAUUUUUCUUUCAUAUAAUUAAAAAAUUAUACAUUUUAACCAAGACAUAAGUUCAAAUCACACUUAAUAAGAAAUAACCUAAAAUCAUAAUCAUUGGCAUUAAUUUUCAUAUGAAAAUAUAAAUUUUUAAAAUAAUAUAAACAAUUUCUUUAGUUAUUUUAAAAUUUUAAAAUACUAUAAAUAAAUAAUUUUCUUUAGUUCAUAUGUGAAAAUAUUCAUAAAACAAAUAAAUAUUUUAUUUAUCAUAAAUAUAUAAAUUUUUAUGGGAAUGCAUGUAGACCAAAUUAUUUUCUCAAAAUUUUAAGGAAAAUAUGAAAAAAUAAAGAUAAAAUAUAUAUAUUUGUAAUAGAACUUUCGCAUGCACAUUGUUUUCACGAUUAGGAAUUAGAGAUAGAAGAUUUUUAUAGAUUUGAAAAGAAUCAUGGAAGAAACUCAACUUAAUUUCCAAUUUUGAAAAGAAUUGUGGAAGAAAUUAAACUUAAUUUCUAAUUUUAAAAAAGAAUUGUGAAAUAAAAUCAAUUUAAUUUCCAAAAUUAAAAAGAAUUGUGGAAGAAAUUCAAAUUAAUUUCUAAUUUUAAAAAAGAAUUGUGAAAUAAAAUCAAAUUAAUUUCAAAUUUUAAAAUGAAUUGUGGAAGAAAUUCGAACAAUUAACACACCUUUGUGGCAAGGGAAUCUACCGCAUUCGUUGAACAGACUUAGUCCCAUUUUCCCAAUCAACUUAGCACGUUGUUUGAAUUAAAUACCUACGGAUUGAUAUUGUUUGAAACUCAAGCAAACCAAUAUUUUAUAGUCUAUUCUGAGCACGACUAUUUCACACCUUGGGCCCCAAAACUAAACCAAAUCCCACAUACCAUUCAACUUAACACAACCUUAGCCGCCCCUAACGGUUUGGGCUUUUGCGUGAAUUUAGGCAAGGGGUUUCUCUUUCAUGUCAUCAAUCUCUUUCAUACAUUAUAUUCAACAACAUACAGCUUCUGGAGGCCAUUGCUGCCCUAUAAAUGCAAUGGAGCUUCCCAAGCUUUUGCACUCAUACUUUCCAAGUCAGUUUUCAAAGAAGUGUUCUACUACCAUUCCAAAAAAUUAACAUGUCGGGUCAAGUCUUAGCAAGCCCUCUAGGCCAAUUUCCGGAACUGGAAAAUCGUCCGGUGGUCCAGUAUCACCCUAGCAUUUGGGGUGACCAGUUCUUAUCCUACACUCCCGAGGACGAGGUAAUCGAAUGAAAAUCUGUGUUAAAUACCUGUAUAUUCGAAAGUUGUUUUUCUUGAUGUGUUGUUUAGUAAAAUUACUUGGUUGCCAUAGGUAACACGUGCCUGCAAAGAGAAGCAGCUUGAAGAUCUGAAAGAGGAAAUUCGAAGGAAGCUAAUGAAUACAGCUGGUAACACUUCCCAACAACUAAAAUUUAUCGAUGCUGUGCAACGUCUUGGGGUGGCAUACCACUUUGAAAGAGAGAUAGAAGAAGUGUUACAACAUAUUUAUGAUAGCUAUCCUAAUGGCGAUGAUAUGGAAGGUGAUAUCUAUAAUGUUGCUCUUCAAUUUCGGUUACUAAGACAAGCUGGGUUCAAUAUUUCAUGUGGUAAGAGCCCAAAGAAUUAUCAUGUAUAAGCUAAAAUGUAUCCUUCUCAUAAGUCCAAUCUUAUGUAUGUUUAAAUUACGGUAUUUAUGUAGGCUUGUUCAAUGAGUUCAAGGAUGAAAAGGGUAACUUCAAGAAAGCUUUAGUCAGUGAUGUAAGAGGCAUGCUAGGCUUGUAUGAGGCUGCACAUCUCAGAGUUCAUGGAGAGGACAUACUUGCAAAAGCACUUGCUUUCACCACCACUCACCUCAAGGCCAUGGUAGAAAGUUUAGGAUAUCAUCUUGCAGAACAAGUUGCUCAUGCCCUGAACCGGCCCAUUAGAAAAGGUUUGGAGAGGCUAGAGGCAAGAUGGUAUAUAUCUGUCUACCAAGAUGAAGCUUUCCAUGAUAAAACUUUACUAGAGCUAGCAAAAUUAGAUUUCAAUCUAGUGCAGUCACUGCACAAGGAAGAGCUAAGCAAUCUUGCAAGGUUGGUUUUAGAUCACCCCACAUGUACUUGGCCAUUGUUAUCACUUUCCUGUAUGCUGAUCAUAUUAAUGUCUUUUAGGUGGUGGAAAGAACUAGACUUUGCUACAAAGUUACCUUUUGCACGAGACAGAUUGGUUGAAUGCUACUUUUGGAUGCUUGGGGUGUAUUUUGAGCCUCAAUACUUACGGGCUAGACGAAUUCUAACCAAAGUAAUUGCCAUGAUAUCCAUUCUAGAUGAUAUCCAUGAUGCAUAUGGCACACCUGAAGAACUCAAGCUCUUCAUAGAAGCCAUUGAGAGGUUUGCUCCUUGCACAUUACCAACCUUGAUUGUGUAUAAUAGAUGUAUUUAUAUAUACUUAAAUCAAGGAUCAUUAUUUUAUUUUCAGGUGGGAUAUUAACAGCAUAGAUCAGCUUCCAGAAUACAUGAAACUCUGCUAUGCGGCACUCUUAGAUGUGUACAAAGAAAUCGAGGAAGAGAUGGAGAAAGAAGGAAACCAAUAUCGGGUUCACUAUGCCAAAGAAGUAGUAGGACAUCUUUAACUCUGGAUCCCCACCUUUUUCAUUGAUGAUAUUUUAUAUGGUCUCAUAUAUACAUAGAUAUAACUUGGAUGAAUGUUCUUUAGAUGAAGAAUCAAGUUCGAGCUUACUUUGCUGAGGCCAAAUGGUUACAUGAAGAACACGUACCAACAUUUGAAGAGUACAUGCGUGUUGCACUAGUAAGCUCUGGAUACUGCAUACUUGCAACCACGUCCUUUGUGGGAAUGGGAGAAAUAGCAACAAAGGAGGCCUUUGAUUGGGUGACCAGCAAUCCUAAGAUUAUGUCAUCUUCAAAUUUCAUUGCGAGGCUCAUGGAUGACAUCAAAUCACAUAAGGUAUGAAGAAUAUAUGAUUCAAAUGGGGAGAAUAUAACACACUGGUUUUUUCUCAACUUUUGUAUUAUACAUGCAGUUUGAGCAAAAGAGAGGGCAUGUGGCCUCAGCUGUUGAAUGUUACAUGAAGCAAUAUGGUGUCUCUGAGGAACAAGUAUACAAAGAAUUUCAAAAGCAAAUUGAGAAUGCAUGGCUGGAUAUUAACCAGGAAUGCCUCAAACCUACUGCUGUUUCAAUGCCUCUCCUUGCUCGUAUUCUCAAUCUUACACGAGCCGCGGAUGUCGUUUACAAAGAGCAAGAUUCGUACACACAUGUUGGGAAAGUGAUGAGGGAUAACAUUGCGUCUGUCUUGAUCAACGCUGUAAUAUAACCAAAUGGAGUAGUUGAUUGCCUUGUGGAAGCCGUAAUAUCUAAUAAAUCACUAUAAAAGGAAAAAAGAAAAGAAAAAAGGUCCAAUUCAUACCUUAGCCGCCCCUAAUGGUUUGGGCUUUUGCGUGAAUAAAAACUAUUGUAAUAAUAUGGGAGAGACAUAUAAUGUUUCCUACUAGUUUCUCUCUCGGUUUGGUAGUGCUUUACAUCAUACUAUCACUUGGCUAAAUGUAUUAAUGUUGCUGCGUUGUAAAAACUCCAUCCUAAGAUGCAAACAUAACCAGGUUUGAUAUUGAUUUUCCUUUUCUAUUUCUUGCAUCCAUUUUAAUAUAUGUUUAAAACACUUUGAUCAAGUUUGACACUUUUCUAUUAUUCAAAGAUCACGUGAUGGAGAAAAUUCUCCAUAGAAAAUCACUUCUUGUAGAAAUGGUCUAGAACAUACAAAAGAGAUAAAAAAAUCUUAAGAAUUCAUCCUAACGGGUAAAAUAUUAUUAUUAUUAUUAUUAUUAGACAUGCUAAAAGUUUUAUUAUAUACCUGUUAAAAAUAAAAGUUAUGAUAUUAUAUGAGGUUGGAAUUUGAAGUUCAUUUGCAACUUUUUUUCUUCCUCGUUAUUUUUUUAAUAUACGUAAAGUAUUUUUUUUUAAAAAAAAGACUUACUAAAAGAAUUGUCAUGAGAAGGUUUUAUUUUUAUUUUUUAAUAAUAAGUUAAAAUAAAUUUGAAAAAAAAAAUAAAUUAAUAUUUUUUAACAUUUUAUUUUAAUAUUUAAUUUUGUGCAUGGAUAUGUCAUAAGAUUAGGUUACGUACAUAUAGUACAUGUAAUUAUAAACACUAAGGGAAAGUAGCUCAGGUGCAAAGUUGUCACCUCCCUUCCUACAUGCACUUUCAAGUUUUUUUCAGCAAGCUGAUGUAGCCACUUACGAGAUAAGAUUACCAUAAAUUGCAAAAAAUUAGUGAUGAAUAAAAAAAAAAUAACAAAAUGUCAUGAUUAAUCAAGAUAGAUUAUCAAAAUUUCAACAAAAAAUCAUUGAGUGAAAUUCUUUCAUAAUUUCCUAUACCAGUAAUAUUUCGAAUAUAUUAAUCACGAUUUCCAAGUUUACAAGUUUACCAUAUCUACAAAUUAACAUGUUGAAGAAGUUCGAGAAUAAUUUUUAGAGGAUUAUAAAUGUCUUUUAUUAUUAAAUUUACUUUACAAAUAGCCACAUGUUUAAUUAAGAGUAUAUUCUAAUGGUGCUGAAAACAAAUUAAGACAGGCUUCAAAUCAAAUGUACUUUGCAAUAAAGACUUUAGUGAAUGCAACUUCAAAUGACCAAUAAUGCACGGUAGCAGUACAUUAAUUUUGACUUCAAGGCAUUAAUUCGUAUUUUAUCCAUUACACAACAGAAUAUAUAUAAAUAUCCUUAUAAAAAAUAUAUAUGAUAUUUAUAGGUAACAGCUUUCUUCUUAAGCAAAGCAGCCAAGUAAGACUACAAAAUCUAUACCAAACAGAAUAUCUACUAGGACAAAUUUGGAUAAUUAUUUCCAACACUUAAAUUGAUUGGGCUUAGGUUAAAGUAUUCUUCAACUCCUAGUCAGUUUUAGUUGGGCUCUUACCAAGGUUGUGACAUCUCGAAUCUAACCAAAAGUUUAUAUAAUAUUUAUAUAAUAAUUAUAAUUUAUAUUAUUAUGGACUCAUGCACAUUUUUCACAUGUGCCUACUCAAUGAGGAUACUCAUUUAUUAUGAAAAAUGAUUAUUUGAAAACCCUUUUUAGGUUUUUUAGAGUGAACAUUUAUUUAAAAAAAAAAAAAAAACACAAUAAGAAAAAAAGAAGAGAAAAACCUUAUAUAACUCCUUAUUUGAAAAAAAGAAAAAGAAAAAAGACAAGUUCAUAAACCAAGAUUGAGUUAAAAGUCAAAUUACCUACUGAGAAAAUACGACGAUAAGUCAUACAAAACAACCCUCUAAGCUUAUAUACCUAUAAUCUUUACUAAGCAAAUGAACUGAAUUAUGACGAUUAAAUAAUUGAUUAUGGAUACUCAAGAAAAGAAAAACACAAUUAUAAAACAAGUCAUGGUGUUUGUUAUGUUACAAAAAUGUAAAAAAACAAAUGAUAAGAGAAUUUGCAUAAGUUGAUUUACGAAACUAAUUAAAAACAUGGGUUUAAUUAUUUCUAAAUUCAAAGGAUUAAAAAAGUUAUUUCAAUUUGAUGAUUUCAAUCGAUUUUAAGUACAAAAGAAAGUUUUGAUUUCAUUUUUUUUUUAAAGAAAAAAAUGCUUCAAAUUAUUCUAUUUAUAAAGAAAUGAUUUUUAUUUACUUUUUCUUAAAAAAAAAAAAUAUAAUUUACACAAAUUUUAUUUACCUUAACAUUCCUUUUUGAUUUUUAUGCAAAAGAGAAUACUUUUAUAAUUUUUGCUACAACAUGAUUUUUACAAUUUUAUUUUAAAAGAAAGUAUCCAAAUCUAAUCUUAUGUGCAAGAGAAUCUUUUUACAAAUUAUUUAGGAAAAGGAUUUUUAAAAAUUUAUUUACAAUUUUAUUUAAAAAAAUAUUUACAAAUUACUUUAAAAAAGAUUUGUACAAAUUUAUUAACAAAAAAUAAAUAUUCAGAUCCAAUUUUAUUUACAGAAAAAAAAAGAUUUUUUUUUAUAGUUUUUAUUGAAAAUAAGACUUUUACAAUUUUAUUUAAUUAGUAUGAAAAUCCAAUGUCAUUUUAUUAAUACUAGAAAAAAUUUAUUAUUAUUUUUAUUAAGACAUGAUUUUUAAAAUGUCAUUUACAAAAAAAAAAAAAAAAAAAAAAAGUUUACAAUUUUAUUUUAAAAAAUAUUUUGCAAUUUUUUUAAAAAAAAUGGUUUCAAUGUUUUAUUUAAAACAAAUUGCUUUUUAGAUUUUAUUUUAAAAAAUGAUUUUCACAAGUUAAAAAAAAAUUAUAGUUUUAUUUUUUUACAAAAAAUAAUGAAUUUCCAAAUGUAUUUAAAAUUUAUUUAAAAAUGGAUUUUAUAGUUUUAUUUAGAAAAACACUUUAUUGUUUUAUUUCAAUCUUAUUGUUUAUUUUUUUCUUUAAAAAAAAAAGUUCAAAUUUCUCUCUCUUUCUCCCUCUCUCUGUCCAUACGCUCAUUAAUUUUGAUGUUAAGGUAUCAGCCCAAUUGACAUGAUUUAUACUGACUUAGUCUUUUGGUCUAAUAGGUAACUUAAUGUAAUAUAGGAGGUCAUGAAGGUGAACUGUGAACCUUACUGAUAUUACGCAAACCCUACCAUUUAUUUAUAAUAUUGUUGUCAUAAUAUUGAAAUAUGGGAAAUUUUAAUAGACCAGACAGACACCAAUAGACCAAAGCCACCAAGCAAGAAUUGAAGAAACCAGAAAGCGUUUGUUCCAAACAUAGUAUACUGUAGAACAUGAAACAGAAGCUAGAGUAUACUAUCUUUAUUUGUGUCACAUAUAUCUCCACUCUCAUAUUGGCACAAGGUCUAUGAGCAGCAUUGAAAUAUUAUUUUUUGUCACUUCUCCAGGAUGUGUGAAUAUAUCAUUGUGGCUCUUGUACAUCACAUCUCCUGAUCGAGCAAAAUUGAGAAGACGACUAAGGAGAAGCAUUGGAACUGCAGUAGGUCUGAGGCACUCUUCAUUUAUAUCCUUCCAUGCAUUCUCGAUUUGUUUGUGAAACUCAUCAUAUGCUUGCUGCUCCGACACACCAUGUUGCUUCAUGUAACAUUCGAUGCUUGAUGCAAUAUGCUCUCCCUCUUGCUCAAAUUGCAGAAAUAGAUAGUAAUAGAAGGUGUUAAAAAGAAAUUGAUAUACAUUAGAUUUUCUUUAUCUUUAAGGGAUUGAUAUCCAAGUAUCAGUAGAAAGUGUUGUUUCAUUGUACCUUGUGGGAAGCCAUGUCAUCCAUGAGCCUAAUGAUUAUGUAGGUAGCUCUAACAAUCUUAGGGUUUUGUAGCAGCCAAUCAAAGACUUCCUUGGUUGCAGUCUCUCUCAUGCCAAUAAAAGACAUGAUUGUUAAUCUUCAAAUUGAUAAAUGGUAGUUUUUUCAUUCAUUCUUUCAUUCAUUCAUGUACAGAAUAUAUAUAGAGGGUAAUCACCAUUCUAAGAAUGUGAAAGAAUGAUACAAGGAAAUAAUGAUAUAAGGAAAUAACAACUAAUAUCCUAAUAUCUCAACAUUCUUAAUAUCUCUACUUUCCUAAUAUCUAAACAUUCCUAAUAUCUCAACACUGAAUGAUAUAAGAAAAGAAUGAUAUAAGGAAAACAUUCAUAAUAUCUCAACACUCCCCCUCAAGUUGGUGCAUAGAUGUCACACAUGCCCAACUUGUCUAAAAAAUUUGAGAACACUUGAUUUGAGACAGCUUUGGUGAGGACAUCGGCCAAUUGAUCUUUUGAUCAAAUCUUACGCAAUUCCACAAUCUUAUCAUCCAACUUUUCCUUAAUGAAAAAUCUAUCCACAUCGACAUGCUUUAUACGAUCAUGUUGUACUGGAUUAUGAGCAAUGUCACAUGCGACUUUAUUGUCACAAAACAAUCGGAUUGGUUGCCUAGAUAGGUAACCUAAAUCUUGUAAGAGGAGUCUUAGCCAUAAUGCCUCACAAAGUCCUAGAGCCAUACCUUUAAAUUCCGUUUCUACACUUAAACAAGCGACGACAUUCUGUUUCUUACUUUUCCAUGUCACAAGAUUACCACCUACAAAGGUAAAGUAACCAGAUAUAGAUCGCCUAUCAUCCACUGCACCGGCCCAAUCAGCAUUAAUAUAUACUUCUAUACUCUGAUGAUCAACAUUUUUAGCGAACAAAAUUCCCCUCCUAGGAGCAUUCUUCAAAUACCUCAAAAUACGCAUGACUGCAUUCAUAUGUUGCUCUCCAGGAUUAUGCAUGUAUUGACUCACUACACUCAAUGCAUAAGCAAGAUCUAGUAUUGUAUGAGCUAAGUACAUUAAUCUCCCCACAAGUCUCUGGUAUCUUCCCUUAUCGGUUGAUACUUGAUUAGGCUCAACACAUAAUUUCAGACCUUCUUCUAUUGGUGUAUUAAUAAGUUGACAUCCCGACAUUCUAGUCUCCUGUAAAAGAUCUAAAACAUACUUUCUUUGAGACAGAAAAAUUCCUUCACUUAAUCGAGAAACUUCAAUCCCAAGAAAGUAUUUCAGAGAACCUAAAUCUUUCAUUUCGAAUUCUAUAGAUAGAUAAUUUUGCAGAGCUUUUCUUUCUUUAGGAUCAUUUCCUUUAACUACCAUGUCAUCCACAUAUACAAUGAGUGUCAUAAUCUUACCAUGUUGCUUUUUCAGGAACAAAGUGUGAUUUGAAUUACUUUGACGAUAGCUAAAAGCUCUCAUUAACUUUGUGAACCUUCCAAACCAUGCUCUCGGGGAUUGCUUCAACCCAUACAAUAACUUCUUCAAUUUGCACACCUUCUGACAUUGCUUUUCUGACACCAUGCAUCCUGGUGGAAGAUCCAUAUAUACUUCUUCAGAUCACUCGCCAUACAGAAAGGCAUUUUUGAUAUCGAACUGUUGUAAUGGCCAAUCUAGGUUUGCAGCUAAAGACAGUAAUACUCGAACUGUGUUGAUCUUAGCUACAGGUGCAAAUGCCUCUGUGUAGUCAAUUCCAUAAAUUUGAGUGUACCCUUUUGCUACUAAUCUUGCUUUAUCGUUCAAUACUACCAUCUGCCUUGUACUUCACAGUAUAGAUCCAACGACACCUAACUGGUUUCUUUCCUGGUGGACAUUCUACAAGGUCCCUUGUUUCAUUCUUCUGCAAUGAUUUCAUCUCUUCAUUCAUGACUGCUUUCCACCUUGGAUUAGCUAAGGCUUCCUGCACACUGUUAGGAAUAGCUACAGUAGAUAAUUGAUUUACAAAUGACUUAUUUGAUUCAGACAAAUGAUGGUUAGACACAUAGUUGCUCAUGGGAUAUUUGACUUUGGUAGACAAUUUAGGUUCAUAUGUGGGUUUAGGAAUACCUCUAUUAUGACGGUAUGGUAACCGUUUCAUGAAUAGAUCAGGUUCCAAAUUAAGAACACCCUCAACAGACGAUGAUUGGUUUGGUAUUUCAGUGAAGACAUCUUCGGACCCAAAUUGUUGACCACUCAUAUCCAACUCACCCGCUUCCUGGUUCACUAGUUCAGAUUGUCCAGAUUCAUCCUCCUCAGAGAUAUGAUAAUCAUAAUUGAGAGUUUGAAUUUCCUUAUGGUACUCCCCCUGAAGUUCAGACUCAGAUGAAAAAUGCAUCAAAUCUUCAUGAAACACCGCAUCCAUUGUAAUAUACAUUCAUUGAGUUGGAGGAUGAUAACAUCAAUAUCCCUUUUUGUGUAAUGCAUAUCCAACAAACACACAUUGCAAUGCAUGGGAAGUUAACUUGGUGCAUUGGUGUUUGUGUAGAUGCACAAAUGCCACGCAACCAAAAACACGAGGAGGUAGAUUUGGGGUAGUUGGGACAACUACGACAUUAGUAAGAGCUUGGAGAGGUGUUUGGAAGUUAAUUGAGCUGGAAGGAAGUCGAUUGAUCAACUAUGCAGCAGAUGUGAUUGCUUCUCCCCAAUAAGAUAUCGAUGUUUUUGCUGCUAUCAAGUAAGCACAGACAACCUCUAACAAGUGCCGAUUUUUUCGUUCAGCACAACCUAAGCCUUACUCUUUCAAGGGAAUGUUCCUAAGUCCUAUUGGGGAGAAGUUGUUCUUACUACCACAUACAUGAUAAAUAGAAUUCCGUCACGAGUUUUAGACAACAAAAGCCUCGUAGAGAUACUUAAGAGUUUCUAUCCACACUUCAGAACCUCAAAUGGGCUCACUCCUAGGGUAUUUGGGUGCACUGCAUUUGUUCAUGUCCACAGCCAACAUAGAGACAAGCUAGACCCCCGAGUCAUAAAAAUUGUCUUUCUUGGUUACUCAUCCACUCAAAAAGGAUACAAGUGUUACAAUCCCACAACAAAAAUUUUUUACAUCUCUGCAGAUGUCACCUUCACAGAAAAUAAACCUUUUUUCCCAAAGUCCUAUUUUUAGGGGGAGAUUUCAAUGAUAGAAGAUAGUCCUGAGUCCUUUGAACCUCUUGACCUUCCUCAUGUCUCAACCCAUGGUGAUGAAAUACCUAAGUCAUCCGAGUCAAUCACACUUGAGUCACCCAAUUUUACCACUAAACCCGUGUCAUCUAAUGUUCCAGCCAGUGUCACUCACAAUUUUCCAUAGUUUCCUAAGGUGUAUUCAAGGGAAAAGGCCAUUCCAGAACAAAAGUAUGUCCAAAAAUCCAACUUAGACCCUGGGAAUGAAAUCACGCUAAGAUCAGACCCACCUUUACAUACACAACCUGGUGAAACUUCUACUAACUCAACCUAGACCUAGACCUUCCCAUUGCUAUCAGAAAAGGCACCAGAGAAUGCACUAAUUGACCACUCUAUCCACUAUCACACUAUGUGUCUCUUAAGCACCUAUCACUAGCCCACAAAAAUUUAAUUGUGAGUCUAAACACCACUAUCAUCCCUAACACUGUUUCUAAGGCAUUGACAAAAAGGGAAUGAAAUGAUGCUAUGAGAGAGGAGAUGAGUGCCUUAGAAAAGAAUAAAACAUGGGAGAUUGUUGAAAGACCGAAAGGGAAAAACAUUGUUGAUUGCAAGUGGAUUUUCACACUGAAAUAUAAGACUGAUGGAUCUCUUGAGAGACAUAAAGCAAGAUUAGUAGCCAAAGGGUACACUCAAACUUAUGGAGUAGAUUAUCAGGAGACUUUUGCUCCAGUUGCAAAAAUAAAUGCUAUAAGAAUCCUACUGUCAUUGGCUGCCCACUACAAUUUGGAACUCCUAUAGUAUGAUGUUAAGAAUGCAUUUCUUCAUGAUGAUUUAGAUGAAGAGAUUUACAUGAACAUCCCCCCGAGAUUUGAGGGAAACACGGGUAAUAAGGUGUGCAAGCUAAAAAAGGCCCUUUAUGGGCUAAAACAAUCUCCUAGGGCUUGGUUUGGGAGAUUUGCAAAAGUCAUGAAAGAGUCUGGGUACAAACAAAGCCAAGGUGACCACACUCUCUUCAUUAAGCACUCGGUUGCAGGGGGAGUAACUGCUCUUCUAGUCUAUGUUGAUGACAUCAUAGUGACUGGAAAUGAUGAGAGAGAAAAACAUGAAGUGAAGCAGAGAUUAGCAAUAAAGUUUGAAAUAAAGGAACUAGGGAAACUAAAGUACUUCCUUGGUAUUGAGGUGGCAUAUUCCACACAAGGGAUCUUCAUCUCUCAACAAAAAGUAUGUGAAUGAUUUAUUGGCAGAAACAGGGAAGAUUGGGUGUAAACCAGUGUCUACCCCAAUGGAUCCAAACCACAAGUUGGGAGAAGCUAAAGAAGAACUAGUGGUGGAUAAAGAAUGUACCAGAGGCUGGUUGGUAGGCUCAUAUACCUUGUUCACACUUGGCCAGACAUCGCCUACUCGGUGAGCAUGAUCAGUCAAUUCAUGCAUGCUACAAGAGAACCUCAUCUUCAAGCUGCUUAUAGGGUGCUGCAUUACUUGAAAGGCAACCUCGGGAAAGGAAUUUUGUUCAAGAAGAACAAUACUCUUGCUCUAGAGUAUACACUGACGCUGACUAUGCAAGUUCCUUAGUGGAUCGAAGAUCAACUACAGGGUAUUGUACUUUUCUUGGAGGUAAUUAGGUAACAUGGAGAAGUAAAAAGUAGAAUGUGGUAGCAAAAUCGUCUGUAGAAUCAAAGUUUAGGGUCAUUGCUCAAGGGUUGUGUGAACUACUUUGGCUGAAGAUUAUUCUAGAUGAUUUGAGAAUCAAGUGGGAUGGUCCUAUGAAACUCUAUUGUGAUAACAAGUCAACUAUCAAUAUUGCUCAUAACCCUAUACUACACGAUAGGACAAAACAAAAUAAGAUCGAUAGGCAUUUCAUCAAAGAAAAAUUGGAGAAAGGAGUAGUGUGUAUGUCCUAUGUUGCAUCAGAACAUCAAUUAGUUGAUAUCCUAACAAAAGGGCUGAACAGUUCAAUGUUUCACAGUCUUGUAUUCAAGCUGGGAAUGGAAGACAUCUAUUCCUCAGCUUGAGGGGGAGUGUUGAGCUAUAAAUAGAUAGGAGAAUUAUUUUCCUAUUAUGUUAGUUUCCUAUUUAUGUAAAUAGAUAGUUUUAUUAGUUUCCUAAUUCUGUAAAUAGAUAGUUUUAUUAGUUUUCUAUUUCUAUAAAUAGAUAGUUUUAUGAUUUAGGAAUAAAUUAGUUUUCUAUUAUGUCUCUUGUUUUCUAUUUCUUCUCUUGUAAUCUUCUAUAUAAACUGUGUGUAUGGUCAAUCUAAGAGACAAAAAUUAUUAUUUUCCAUCCCAUAUUUCGUAUCAAGAUGCAUGCCAUAAAAAUGGUAAGAUGAACAACAACAAGCCAAGCAACAAAAAAAAAAAAAAAAUGGAGUUUUUCCACCUUGUCCUCAUUGCAAGAAGACAAAUCAUUCUCCACAAAAAUGUUGGUGGAGACCAGAUGUGAAAUGCAACAAGUGUGGUAAACAAGGACAUGUGAAGAGGAUUUGCAAAAAUCAACAACAAAAAGAAACUAGUGCAACAAUUGACUAUUGUCAAGAGGAGCAAUUAUUUGCAGCAACGUGUUUUGCUAAUAAAAGCACCUCUGAAAGCUAGCUUGUGGAUAGUAGUUGUACAAACCACAUGACAAAUAAUCAAGAUCUCUUUAGAGAACUUGAUAGAACAACUAUUUCCAAAGUCAGAAUUGGAAAUGGUGAGUAUAUUCCAGUUAAGGGCAAAUGAACGGUUGCUAUCAAAAGCCAAAUAGGUUUGAAACUCAUUUAUGAUGUUUUGUUUAUGCUUGACGUUGACCAAAACUUACUCAGUGUUGGACAGCUCGUUGAGAAAUGAUUUAAAGUUUAUUUUGAAGAUAGGAAUUGCAUUAUCAAGGAUGUUGAAGGCAAAGAGGUGUUUAACAUAAAAAUGAAGGGCACGAGUUUUGCCUUGAAUUUACUAUAAGAUGAGCAUGCUGCUAUUUUACAACAAUAUAGCACAACAAUGCUUUGGCACAGAAGGCUUGGGCACUUUCAUCAUGAUGUUGUGCUCUACAUGAAGAAAAAUAAAAUAGCUGAAAGACUUCCCGACUUAGAAAAAGAUCUUCCUAUAACUGCUACUUGUCAAUAUGGGAAGCAAACUAAACUUUCCUUUCCAAAGAAAACAUCCUAGAGAGCAACCCAAAAAUUGCAACUAGUGCAUACUGAUAUUGGUGGACCUCAAAAGACGUCAUCCUUGAAAGGGAAUGUAGGCAUUGUUCACCAGCUCACUGCACCAUAUAAUCCACAACAAAAUGGAGUCGUAAAGAGAAAAAAUAGAACGAUUUUGGAGAUAACAAAAUGCCUUCUGCAUGAAAAAGAUCUACCUAAAGUUUUUUGGGCUGAAGCUACAAGUACAGUAGUAUAUUUGCUUAACAAAUUGCCAACAAAAACGUUAAAGAAGCAGACCCCUUUUGAAGUUUGGUUUGAGUUUCUACGUGGAAGACUUGGAGUUUGCAUCUACUAAGUCAAGAAGGAGUGUUGAAUUUUGACCUAGUAUCUACUAGAAUUUGAAUUUUGAAGUUAAAUAUUGCAGUUGGAGUCUUGCACAAAAUCUAUAACAUCCAAAUAUUUUCUUGUUUUUAUUUGGUCAAGAUUUGGUUUCUAUUUUAUAGGAAGUAGUUGUUCAUCAUCUAGUAGCUUGAUUUUAUGCUAUUCUAAUGUCAUUUCAGUUACAAGCUCAUGUAUAAAUUCAACACUCUUCAUCAAUAAAAUGUGUGUUCCAGCAACCCAAAAUAUAUAUUCUGCAUAAGUGUUUAAAUCUUAGACCAACACAUCCUCGUCACUAGUAGUUGUGCCUCUCAGGUUACCUUUUUUAUCUCUCAGCUCAGCUCCACCUUUGCUCUUCAUGAUCUUGGUUCCCUUUACUAUUUCUUUGGCAUUGGGGUUUCUCAUAGUACUGAUUCUCUUCAUCUCUGCCAACAAAAAUAUGUGAAUGACCUGCUCACUCGUACUGCCAUAACUGAUGCUAAACUUGUUCUUACAUUGGGUUCCUUGGCCAAACCUCUCUCUCUCACUGACGGUGAUCUACUUCAUAUCAUAACAUUGUUGGCGCAUUACAGUAUGUUACUGUUACAUGUCCAAACCUUUCUUUUGCAGUUAACAAGGUAUGCCAGUUUAUGGCUUCCCAACGACUACCCACUAGCUAGCUUUCAAGAAUAUAAAAAGUAGUUAAAAAUAAAAUAAAAAUAUAGACUUAAAAUAAAAAAUAAAUUAAAAAUGAAUAAUUAAAAAUUUUAAAAAUGAUAAAUAUUUUUUUUUUUUUUAAAGUUUUCAAAAAAAUCUCAGAUAUUUUCAGAUAUAUCGGCAAUGUAUCCGAUAUAUCUCUAAUAUUUUGAUAGACUUCCUCUAUUGCUUUGUGCGUCACUUCACACUCGAUUUUUUCGCCGAUUUAUCGAUUUCAAAUUAACCGAAAUAUCAACAUAUUUCGGGGAUUUUUCUGAUAUUCCUCCGUUCAAUAAUGUUGCUUAAUAUCCUUUUAGGGUAGUCCGAUAUCCGAUAUAUUGGCGAAAUAUCACCGAUAAAAACCGAUUUUUCAAUCCAUGCUUAAUAGUGGGUUUCCCUUUUGUUUGGCCUCUUGUAGACCCCCAUUUUGGGGCUCGGUUUUUUUUAUCUCUAUUUUCUUUGUAGGUGUCACCACCCCAGGGAGCCAUGCGUCGCCUCUUUGGUGGUUGAUAGGGAAUCAACAUUGCUUUUCGGGGACCUAUGGUAGGUUGACACGUGGAAGAAUAUUCUGGAGAGCUAAUUUCCGUUAUGGGGGAGCAUAUGAGAGAGGAUAUUCUGCAGGCAUUUUGAUUCUCACAUGUGCAUGAUCACUUUGAGUAUUCAUUGAUUUCCGCAUCAAUUGUCACAUCAGCUUCAUUUUAUUUGUAGAGACCCGACUUUAGGGACUUAGAGGGGUGCUACGGUCUUUACCGUACCUUCCCGAUAAGUAAUCUGACCCCCGAGCUCAAUCCAGUUUUUCACGGACCACCUUUUCCAAAUAAGGAGUCACACUUAGGGUUUUCUUUCUUAUUUUAUUUACCCUUUAAAAAUAAAACAAAAUUAAGUGGCGACUCCAAGUCAUUUUUCUUAAUCAGUAAAAUCAUUUUCAAAAUAAAAAUUGAGCUCGCCAUCGAGUGAAAAACGCAUUAGCUGAAAUGCGGGGUCCACACCUCUGUUUUUUUUAUAAAAAAAAAAAAAAAUCCUUUCCCAUUCUAUGGCCUUGAGUGAGCAUUACGUAUUUCAACUAUUUUGACAUGUUCAAAAUAAAAUACUAAGAAUUUAAAGGGAAUUUGUUCGACAAGUACUUUUUUUUUAACAUAUUUAUUUAUACAUUAUUUAGUUUAGGUUGCAUUAUUCUAUGUAAAUAAUUUAUUGGGUAUGGGAAUUAUUUUUAUAAAUGGCUGAGUAGAUUCAAUUUUAGAUAUUUAUUUAUUGAUCAUGAAAAAUAUUUAUUAAAACAUGGUUUAACAACCAUGCGAUGGAAUCAACCUAUUAAAAAAAAUAAACUAAUACUAUAUUAUUUUAACUUAAAUUAUUUCUUGAUGGUAGCAAUGUUGAAAAAACAAAUAUCAAUAAAGACUAAUCUUAACGAGAAAAUAGUAAUUAACAUAAUUUUAUAUUAACUUGUAAAAUUGGGUCAACAUAUAAAUAUAUUAAUUGUAACAAGAAGACCUACAUUGAUAAUGAAACGUCAAUAUUAGUCUAUAUUGCCAACUUUGAAAUAUUAAUAUAUGUAUAUAGCAUAUGUUUUCAUGAUUAGGAAUUAGAGAAAAUUUUGUAGAAGAUUUUUCCAAAUUUGAAAAUAACUAUGGAAGAAAUUCAACUUAAACACGUUUCUUUGUGGAAGAGUUGCAUGUCUACUCAAGUCUCAGCAUGUUCCCUAGCCCAAAUUUCUAAACCCAAAAAUCACCCUGUGGCAAGCUUGAAGGUAAUUCAAUGAAAAUAUGCUUAAAGCUCAACGGCUAAUUUACUUAUUUGGAAGUCAUUUUUCUCUAUGUGUUGGAUGAUAAAAUUUGUUGGUCUAGGUUACACGUUCCUGCAAAGAAGAGCAGACGGAGGAUCUGAAAAAUGAAUUGAAACUGGAAUUAAUACGUAGUGUUAUUAUAUAUCGAUGGAAAUUAGUUUAAAGUUGGAUAUAUUAAUACUUAGGAUGUUUGGUAAAACUUAAUACUUAUUAUUUAAUUAUUUGAGUUGACUUUAAAUUAAAUUAUACUUAAAUUACUUACUUAAAACUUAUUACUUUAAGUAUUAAGAUAUAAAAUUAACUUAAAGUUUAUUUAAAAUCAUUAAGUUGACAUAUUUAUUCUUAUAAAUUAUAAUUAGAAUAGAAAAAGUUGAGUUUAUAGAGUUGUAAAAGAGAUCAUGAAGGUAAUUAAGACAAAUAAAGAUAAAAAGAUAAAAUGAAAAUAUAAAAUUAAAAAUAAAUUAAUUAUUUUUACUUAUUAUUUAAAGUUAUUUUUUUUACUUUAAAUCAUAUUAUCAAGUUAUUUUAUUAAAUAUGCUUAAUUUACUUAAUGACUUAAAUUAAGUUAUUAAAUUAUUUUAAGUUAUUAAGUUGAUUUAUCAAAUUUCUACUUAUUGAAUACAAAUAUAGAAGGAAAUUAGGAAAGCAAAGUAGAUGGGUUAUUAGGUGAAAGCUUAUCAAAUCCGCCUAUCAACAUAUCACACUUUUACCAAAAACCCACCUCAUGCCAAGCCUAUAAGUUGUCAAGUCCUUAUGAUCCAACAACUUUCUUAUGGUUCCCACACGGAUUUCUAUUGUUAUCAAAACAAAAAGUUUAUAAUAAAAUAUAUAUAUAUAUAUAUAUAUAUAUAUAUAUAUAUAUAUAUAUUAUAAUUCAUAAAUAAUCUGACAAUUAAAUAAAAAGAUAAACUCAUUUGUGGAAUAUAAUUAAUAAAAAAAAAAGAGAAGUGUUAAGAGUUUUAAAUUAUUAUUAUUUUAUAUUUUUUAUAUUUUAAAUAAAUAUAAUUAAAAUAAUGGAUAAAAAAUGUGCACUUUGUACCUUCAACCUAUAAGAGUUGUAAUAUUUUCAAGUUGGUAUUCUUUAACAUAAGUCAAAUUCUAACUUAUUCAACUUUGACAAUUUUAACCUAAUCCUCAUAUUGGUACAAAUUAGACUAUUCUACCUUAUUUAAGUUUUAGUCCUAAAAAAAUCAUGAGAAUUAUGGACCGAAUGAUGUAUAUUAAAUUUCUAAGAUUCAUAUUUUAAAAUUAAUAAAAUUGAAGUAUUUUCCUUCUGGAGAUUAUUUAUUAUGAUUUAUCUUUACUUUAAUUAAUUAAUUAAUAUAUAUAUAUAUAUAUAUAUAUAUAUUUCAUUGGUAGAAUUGUCCUUAAUGGCCUUUGUACAUAGAGUACAUUCCUGGUCAUAAGAAUACGUGUCAAAUAUAAAUAUGCUUUUCAAAUUUAAUCAUUCUUAUUAUAAGUUUAUUAUUAUUAUUAUUAUUUUAUUAUAUACCUUGUAAAAAUAAAAGUUAUGAUCUUACGUAAGGUCGCAAUUUGAAGUUCAAGUUCAUUAAACUGUGCAGAGUUUAGCUUUCUAUAUAUAUAUAUAAAGAAUCAAUUCCAUCAAUUCAUUAUUUUUUAAGAAUUGAAAAUUACAUAAAUAUUGAUGGUUAUAUUUUACAAAAACAUUGAAACAAAACAAUAAUAUAUUAUUAAAGUUGUUUUACUAAAUAAAAUAAUAUAAUCAUCGUUAUAUAUAUUCUUGUACUUUGUUUAUUAACAAUUUUAUUAUAUUUUCAUUUUAACUUAAGAUAAAGACAAAGGGUUGAAUUGAAAAUUUUAAUUUGCAUAAUUUAAUUAAUUUGAAAAGAAUUUUAAAUUGAGAAUUUGAAAAACAAAUUCCAAAUAAUAAAAAUAAUUUGGAAAUGAAUUUUAAAUUAAGGAUUUAAAAUUUAAAAUUUGCAAAAGGAAAUUUUUUAUAAAUCUUUUCUAAUUUUAAAUAUGAAAUAUUUCCAAAUCUUUUUAAAACUCUUAAGUUUCUAAAUUGUUUUUCAUAAAAUAUAAUCUUUAAAUUAAUUGCAACUAUAUAAAGUUUUCUCCUAUAUAUAUCCUACCUAAAUGUAUAUUUGAUGACGGUCUGACUUGUUUUUCUAUUCUUAAUCUCUAAAGAAAGAAUUCAUUACAAGUACCUACAUCCCCUCAGAAGCUUAGAGGAGUUAGAGCAUUUGGAGGUACUACAUUGUGGAUGUGGAUUAAGGUGUAGGUUCUAGCUAGUGAAUCAUUAAGGUAAAACGGUUAUUAAAUAUGUGUACUUUAAUUUCAAAUAGUGGAUUAUAAAUUAGAGGUUUUAAAUCUUGUGAUUUUUUAUGCCCACAAUUAGCAUUGAUAUUUUCAAAUUAAAAUUUCUUGUGUCCCUUAUUUGAUUAUUUUUAUUAUUUUGAUUAUCCCUAUUAUCUCUUAGUUUAAAUUGAGUUAAUAUUAUUUAACUCUUAUAUUAUUUUCUUUAAAAAUCACCCCACUCUCAAUGUCAUCCUCUUGGACAAAAGCGUGUAUAUAUAUAUAUAUAAUUCACAAAUCUUGAAAAUAUAUUUAAUAUUAAAAUAUCAUUCCAUGUAAUUUGGAAGUAUUCAAAGAUGUAAAAGAUAUGAUAAUAUAUGUAUAAUUAUUUUUUAUUUAAAAAUAUUAAUAAUUACAUUUGCAACUUUAUUUUGUCCUCAUUAUUUAAUUAAUAUACAAAAAGAUAUGGGAAUAGAAUUAUCAAAAGAAUUGUCAUAAUAAAGCUUUAUAUUCUUCAUAAUAAGUUAAAUUAAGGUGAUAUUUAUUUAUUUUACUUAAAUCUAAAUAAAAAUUAAUUUAACUUAAUUGUAAAUAUAACUUAAUAGAAUUAAUUAUUAUAUUUUUUUGUUUUUUAUAAUUUUAUUUUUGUUAAGCGUUAAAUAUUAAUUGGGUGAGAGUCCUACUAAGGUUGUGCUUUGACUUAUUCAAAAAAUUAUUUUUAGUAAUGAGCAAAAAGUUAAAUAUUUUACUUUUAUCUAUUCAUUAAAAAAAUCUUAAAAAUUAAUUUUUUUUUUGUUUUAUUUAAAAUAGUGAAUGGAGUUUGAGUCGAAUUUUAAUUAUUUGGUAAAAUAAUAAAAUUAGUUUUUUAUUUAAAAGAAAAAAUAAAGGUAAGUCAAAGAUAUAAAGAUAAUUAUUUUAUUUUAAAUAAGAAAGAUUCAAAUAAAUAAAAAAAGAAAAAGUUAAUGAGCUACAAAUUUUAGGAUUAAUUGAUUAAAAUGGGUGAAAAUAUCUCAAAUUUGUAAAACUAAUCUCUUCCAUUUUUUAACUUAAAGAGUAACACUUGUUUGACAUAAAUACCCUUCAACAUUUUCAUUAUUUACAUAUGUAUUUUAAAAGAAAAUGUAAUUUUUGUAAGAAAAAAGUGAGAGUAUUCUUAUGUAUUUUUUGGAUGAAAAAAAAUGGUUUGCAAUUUGAUAUUUCUUUUGUCCUUUUUAAUCGGUUAUCCCCAAAUUUUUUUUACGGAAAAUACAAAUUCUAAAAAUAUUUGGUUUUAUUGCUAUUUUUAAAUUUAAAUAUAUUUUUACCUUAAUUAUAUUUUUAUUUCAAAAUAAUUGAUGAUGAUUUAGUUGAAUUCUAACAUUUAAUGGAGUUUUAGUUGAAUUCUAACACUAUAAUAUAAAGUGACCCGAUAAAAUUAUAAAAUCAAUUUUAUUUAAAAAUAAAUAAAGUUGAGUUAAAAAUAGUAUUAAAUAAAUUAAAUUUUAAAAAUAAAAUUUAAUAGUUUUACCUUAAAUAAAAAAUAUUAAAAGAAAAAAUAAUUAGAUAGAUAGGCUUUAAAUUUUAUUAAGAGAAACAUAAAUUUUUUUUUUUAAAAUUGUUUUUAUUUAUUUUCAAUUUUAAAAUUUUAUUUCUAUUUUUUAUUUAAAUGUAUUUUCAAAUUUUAUCUAAAAAUAGUUAAUAGAGUUUUGGUUGAAUUUUAAGACUAUAAGAUAAGCGAAUAGUUGAAAUUAUAAAAUGAAAUUUUUUAUUAAAAUGAAAAGAAAGUUAAGUUAAAGAUACUAUAAAUUAUGAUUAGAAGAAUGAAAAUCAAUAUAAAAAAAAAAAUGGUUUUAUCUUAAAUUAGAAAUAUUUAAAAAAAAAAAGAAUAAUGUAUUGAAAAAUAUAACUUUGUGGUAGAAGAGCAAUGACUAUGCUCUUUUGAAUACCCUAGUUUAUGUUCAUUUUUUAAAAUUUAAAAAGAAUAAACAUCUUUUAGAUAUUAACAAAAAUAAAUUUAAAUAGAUUCUUUAACAUAAAACCUAAAAAACAUUUGUUGUUGGCCAAAAAAUCCAACUAUGAGCCCUUUUAUGACAAGUGAAACUUCCAAAUCUUCUGAAGAGUUUUUUAUCUUAGUAUUAAAAUCUAAAAGCAGAAUAUUUAUACUAUGAGUUGUCUUUUUAACAACUAAUUUAUUUUAUUAAAUGUAAUAAUAUACAUUAAUAUGUUGUAAAUGAAAAGUAAUGAAUGACCACAUUGAUGGCCAUUAUGAACUCCAUUUACUCAUCUUUAAGAUGAGUAAUGGGAGUUCAUAUUAUGAAGCCUAUAAAAGGCUUCUUACCCCCCCAUGUAAAAGGAUCCCGAGAAAAGAAAGAAAGUUCUUCCUCUCAUUCUCUCUCUCUCUCUUUCUUUCACUUUCUCGAUUCUCUUAUUUGAUUCCUUCUUCCAUAUUAUAUAUCAAAGUAAGAUAUAUUUUAUCUCUACUACUUUGAUUUGCAUUAUAUUUGUCCUUGUUUUACAACACGUUAUCAGCACGAAUUGCUCUGAAGGUAAUUCUCGUAUCUUAAACUUGAAGUUAUUUAUAUAAAAUAAAAUUUUACAUAUUUAUAUUAUUGUUGAUUUGUUUUGUUACAUAUUGUUAAAAGUUAUAAACAAAUUAUUUGAUUUUGUUUAUAAUCAAAGUUAUACCAAUGCUAUCAAGUUAUUAUAACUGAUUUUAAUAAUAUUGUUUUGUCAUAUAUAUGAAGUUAUUUGACAAUGUCGAAUAUUACAAAACUCGAAUUUGUGGCACUUGACAUUUCGGGAAAGAACUAUCUAUCUUGGAUCCUUGAUGCUGAAUUACAUCUUGAUGCAAUGAACCUUGGAGCUACGAUCAAACAAGGAAAUCAAGCAUCCCUGCAGGAUCGCGCAAAAGCAUUGAUUUUCCUUCAUCAUCACCUCCAUGAAGGUUUAAAAAAUGAGUAUCUUACGGUAAAGGACCCUUUUACUCUAUGGAGUAAUUUGAAAGAAAGAUAUGACCACUAGAAAACUGUGAUUCUCCCAAAAGCUCGAUAUGAUUGGAUGCACCUAAGGUUGCAAGAUUUUAAAACUGUUAGUGAAUACAACUCUGCACUUUUCAAAAUCAGCUCUCAAUUAAAGCUGUGUGGAGAAAAAAUCACAGAGGAAGACAUGUUAGAGAAAACUUUUACUACGUUUCAUGCCUCGAAUGUGCUCCUGCAGCAGUAAUAUCGAGAGCGUAGAUUUACAAAAUAUUCUGAAUUAAUAUCAUGUCUUCUUGUUGCUGAACAAAAUAAUGAGCUUUUGAUGAGAAAUCACCAGUCUCGUCCAACUGGAUCUGAACCAUUCCCUGAAGUGAAUGCAAUAUCGUCCCAAACUCGUGGACGUGGACGAGGACGAGGACGUGGUCGUGGUCAUGGAAGAAAUCCUCGAUACCAUGGUUCUUAUAGUAAUAAUUCUCAUAAAAUGAAAGCCUCAUUGCACCACCAGAAGUGGAACAAUACUGAGACAAUACAAGAAAAUGGGAAGCGUUUACAAGAUAAACCUCCUAAGAACCAUGAGAAUAAUUGUUAUAUAUGUGGUAUGAAGGGGCAUUGGUCGCGUACCUGUCGUACGCCCAAACAUUUGGUCGACCUUUACCAAGCAUCAAUAAAAGCUAAAGGAAAAGAGAUAGAGAUGAACUUUACCGAUGGUGAUGGAUUGGACCUAACCUACUAUGACAUUGAUUUCUUUGGAGGUCCCAAUGAAAAACCAGACCAUUUGAUAAAUGAUGAAAAAAUUAACAUUGAUUGAUGUUACUCUAUAUAUACAAUAAUAUAUUAUUAUGUCUUAUAUUUACAUCUGAUUUACUUUGUUAUUUACAUUAUGCCUUUUUUUUUGUUAUAUCUGAAAUCCAUGUGUUAUUUGGUCUCAAGAUGAAUGAGGAUGAUGUAUGUCUCGCAGACUGUGCGACCACGCACACAAUUCUUCAAGAUAAAAGAUAUUUCCUUGAAUUGACAUUAAUAAAAGCUAAUGUAAGUACCAUAUCUGGUACUACAAACUUAGUUGAAGGCUCUGGAAGAGCAAACAUAACAUUGCCAAAUGGAACUAGAUUCCAUAUAAAUGACGCGUUAUAUUCUAGCAAAUCCAGAAGAAAUUUGCUCAGUUUUAAAGAUAUCCGCAGAAAUGGAUAUCAUAUUGAAACUAUGAAUGAAGAUAAUGUAGAAUAUCUUUACAUUACUUCCAUUAUAUCUGGCCAGAAGCUUAUAAUGGAAAAAUUGCCGGCUUUUUCCUCUGGGUUGUAUCAUACAACUAUAAAGCCUAUUGAAUCAUAUGUUGUCGUGAACCAGAAGUUCAACGACCCAAAAGUUUUUGUCCUUUGNNNNNNNNNNNNNNNNNNNNNNNUGGUCACAUGUUUGUCUCCUUUCUACACGUAACGUAGCCUUUGCUAGACUCCUUGCACAAAUAAUCAGAUUACGAGCACAAUUUCCAGAUUAUCCAAUUAAGACAAUACGUCUUGAUAAUGCUGGCGAAUUUACUUCUCAAACAUUCAUUAACUAUUGCAUGUCAGUAGGGAUAAAUAUUGAGCAUCCUGUUGCUCAUACUCAUACCCAGAAUGGUUUAGCAGAAUCCUUCAUCAAACGUCUCCAAUUAAUAGCUCGACCAUUACUAAUGAAAACCAAAUUACCUACUUCCGCCUAGGGACAUGCUAUUAUGCAUGCUGCAGCUUUAGUCCGUAUUCGACCUUCAACUUACCAUGAAUACUCCCCUUCACAACUUGUGCUUGGAAAACAACCAAAUAUCUCUCACUUACGAAUCUUUGGUUGUGCAGUAUAUGUACCAAUUGCACCUACACAACGCACUAAAAUGGGUCCCCAACGAAGACUUGGGGUUUAUGUAGGUUUUGAUUCUCCAUCUAUCAUAAGAUAUCUUGAACCUUUGACUGGAGAUGUUUUUACAGCCCGCUUUGCAGAUUGUCAUUUUAAUGAGAGUGUUUUCCCAUCAUUAGGGAGAGAAAAGUCGAUUCUUGAAGAACGACGAGAAAUUAGUUGGAAGACAUCUACUAUGACCCAUCUUGAUUCUCGUACAAAUCAAUGUGAACUAGAAGUUCAAAGGAUCAUUCAUUUGCAAAAUCUUGCAAAUCAAUUACCAGAUGCAUUCAUUGAUACAAAGAAAGUGACAAAGUCACAUAUCCCGGCUGCAAAUACUCCAGCACAGAUUGAUGUCCCUGUAGGACAGUUAACAAAUGAAUCUAAGAUACGCCUGAAGCGUGGUAGACCUGUCGGCUCAAAGGAUGUAACUCCCCGGAAGAGGAGAACCCAAGAAAAACUUGGCACUCUAGAAGAUGCCAUCAAAAUGACUGAUCAGUUUAAAAUUGAUAAAUCUAUAGCCCUAGAAGAGGCACAAAUAAUGCAGAAAGCCCCUGAAGAGGUAAAUAUUGAACAAGAAGCCCCCGAAGAGGCACAUAUUGAACAAGAAACCCCUGAAGAUCCACAUAUUGAACGAGAAGCCCCUGAAGAGGCACAGGUACCUGAAAAUUGUGAGAUCUCAGUAAGUUAUGUACAAACGGGAGAAAAAUGGGAUUGAAAUAAUAUUGUUAUUAACAAUAUUUUUGCUUUCCAAGUGACCUUUGAUAUCAUAAGAAAUGAUGAAGAUCCCGAACCACGAAAUGUGGAAGAAUGUCGACAUAGAAAUGAUUGGCCAAAAUGGAAAGAAGCUAUACAGGCAGAAUUAAACUCAUUAACAAAACGAGAAGUUUUUGGACCUGUAGUCCAAACACCUGAAGAUGUAAAGCCUGUUGGGUACAAAUGGGUAUUUGUACGAAAGCGCAAUGAGAAUAAUGAGAUCAUAAGAUAUAAAGCGCGAUUAGUGGCACAAGGUUUCUCGCAGAGACCUGGUAUUGACUACGAGGAAACAUAUUCUCCCGUCAUGGACGUAAUCACAUUUCGUUUCUUAAUUAGUUUGGCAGUCUCAAAAGGACUGGAUAUGCGUCUCAUGGAUGUUAUUACAUCAUAUUUAUACGGAUCCAUGGAUAAUGAUAUAUACAUGAAAAUCCCCAAAGGAUUUAAAUUGCCUGAUGCAAAUAAUACAAAGCCUCGUAGCAUGUACUCAAUCAAGUUACAACGAUCCUUGUAUGGAUUAAAGCAAUCUGGACGCAUGUGGUACAAUCGCCUUAGUGAAUACUUGCUAAAAGAAGGGUAUGUGAAUAACCCUAUAUGCCCAUGCAUCUUCAUUAAGAAAUCAGAAACCGGAUUUGCAAUUAUUGCAGUGUAUGUGGAUAACUUAAAUCUUGUUGGAACUCCUGAAGAGCUCACAAGAACAACAAAUUACUUGAAAAAGGAAUUUGAGAUGAAAGAUCUUGGAAAAACAAAAUUUUGUCUCGGCCUGCAGAUCGAGCAUUUUCCAAAUGGAAUUUUAGUACAUCAAUCAACAUACAUUAAGAAAGUUUUGAAGCGUUUUUAUAUGGAUAAAGCGCAUCCUUUAAGUUCUCCAAUGGUUGUCUGAUCACUUGAUGUGAAAAAAGACCCAUUUCGUCCUUGCGAAAAGGAUGAAGAGUUGCUUGGUCCUGAAGUACCAUAUCUUAGUGCUAUUGGUGCACUUAUGUAUCUUGCCAAUUGUACACGUCCAGACAUUGCUUUUUCUGUCAAUUUAUUAGCAAGAUACAGUUCCGCUCCAACUCGAAGACAUUGGAAUGGUAUCAAACAUAUAUUACGUUAUCUUCGCGGAACUACUGAUAUGGGUUUAUUUUACUCAAGGGAAUCAAAGCAACAAUUGCUUGGAUAUGCAGAUGCAGGAUAUCUUUCAGAUCCACAUAAAGGCAGGUCACAAACAGGGUAUGUGUUUAAUUGUAAUGGUACUGCUAUUUCAUGGAGAUCUGUCAAACAAACAAUGGUAGCCACAUCAUCAAAUCAUUCAGAAAUACUGGCAAUUCAUGAAGCAAGUCGUGAAUGUAUAUGGCUAAGAUCUAUGAUCCAACAUAUUCGGGAAUCAUGUGGACUCUCCUCUAUCAAAGGUGACCCGACAACAUUAUUUGAAGAUAAUGUUGCAUGCAUUGCACAAAUAACAGGGGGUUAUAUUAAAGGAGAUAGAACAAAACACAUUUCACCAAAAUUCUUUUAUACACAUGAACUCCAGAAGAGUGGUGAAAUUGAUGUGCAACAAAUACGCUCAAGUGAUAAUCUAGCAGAUUUAUUCACAAAAUCAUUGCCAACUUCAACAUUCAAGAAGUUAAUACACAGGAUUGGAAUGCGUCAACUCAAGGAUAUCGACAUGAGGGGGAGUAUGCUUGUAAAAGGGUGUUAGUGUACUAUACUCUUUUUUUCCUUCGUCCAGGUUUUGUCCUACUGAGUUUUACUGGCAAGGUUUUUAACGAGGCAGUCCUAAUAUGCCAAGAAAAGAAUAUUGUACUCUUUUUCCUUCGCUAGGUUUUUCCUAUAGGGUUUUUUACUAGCAAGGUUUUAAUGAGGCAUAUUCUUUUAAUAUGGUGGUCAUCCAAGGGGGAGUGUUGUAAAUGAAAAGUAAUGAAUGACCACAUUGAUGGCCAUUAUGAACUCCAUUUACUCAUCUUUAAGAUGAGUAAUGGGAGUUCAUAUUAUGAAGCCUAUAAAAGGCUUCUUACCCCCCAUGUAAAAGGAUCCCGAGAAAAGAAAGAAAACUCUUCCUCUCAUUCUCUCUCUCUCUCUUUCUUUCACUUUCUCAAUUCUCUUAUUUGAUUCCUUCUUCCAUAUUAUAUAUCAAAGUAAGAUAUAUUUUAUCUCUACUACUUUGAUUUGCAUUAUAUUUGUCCUUGUUUUACAACAAUAAAUUAUAGUUGAGUUUUUUUUUAAAAAAAAAUUGGCAUAUGCUUGUAUUACUUUGUUAGCUUGGAGGACGAAAAGCCUAUACAAAUAAUGAGUUGAAUGAAAUAAGAAGCGAGUAAAUUACAUGUAUCAAUGAAAUUGUAAUUUUUAGAUUACAGAAAUGAGUACAUGCAUUAAUAUAUAUGAAAAUAUAUAGUGAUUAUGAGAUUUGAGAAUCUAUUUAUUUUGAAUGAUGGGAAUUAAACUUCGUAAAAUUUCAAUGUAGAUCGGAAGUAAAUUUUUUUGUUACUUGAAAUAUUCACAACUUCUUUCCUGUAGUGAUGUUAUUUUGUAAUAGAACUUCCCUGGACAAUCGUUUUCAUGACUGGGAAUUGAAUUAGAGAAAAUUUUGUAGAAGAUUUUUUCAAAUUUGGAAAAAUCGCAUGUAGAAGAGUUGAAUUGGCAAGGAAAUCUACACACUCGUUGAACAGUCUAGGCCCACUUUUCCAAUCAGCCUAGCACGUUUUUUUGAAUUGAAUAACCACGGAUUGAUAUUGAUUGGAUCCAUUAUCAGUCAUUCAAUCCUAAAGCAUUCAUUUGUCAAACUCCAAGGAAUAUAGGUUUGGCCGAGUGAACAUUUCAAUACUAAACUUGUCCAAAUACAUUAAUUUGAUAUUUUUAGUAAAUAUGAUGCGCAAAAUGAAACCUACUUGGUCGAUAAUGACCUAGUGGUUAGGGCAAUCCCUCAAAAUUCAUAAAAAAAGAAGAUGCAAAUAGAAUCAAAUAGUAGUUCUUAUGUUAUUUUUUCAAAAAAUAGUUAUCGAGUCUGGAAAUGGGUAUUUUUCAUUUACGAAGCUUAAUCCUAUGGGAUUUAAUUUUCAUCGACUAGGAGAAUAAUUUGAUCCUAGCCACACCUAAUGUUAACGACUUGUUUAGGUAUUUUGAGUGAAGAGGACAACGGUUCCACACCGUGGGCCCCAAAACUGAACCAAAUCCCUCAUACUAUUCAACUACAUACUACCACUGCAUGCCAAGCCGUCUCUCUCAUACUUACCAAUUCUUUCUCUAGUCCAGAUUCUUAAACCCCAACAUUUGGGGUGACCAAUUUAUUACCUACACUCCCGAAGAAAGUUAAUUCAAUGAAAUUAUGUUUAUAUACUUAUUUGGAAGUUAUUUUUCUUAGGAUGAUAAAAUUUGCUGGUCUAGGUUACAAGUGCCUACAAAGAGGAGCAGAUUGAGGAUCUGAAAAAUGAAUUGAAAAUGGAAUUAUACAUGGUGUUGACUAUAAGAAUUUCAGUGGAUUCAAAAAGCCCCAAUUUAUACCUUAGCCGCCCCUAAUAGUUUCGGCUCUUGCUUCAUAAAUUUAGCCAAGGGACUCAUGAAAAAACUUUUUCUUUCACGUCAUCAAUCCCUUUCAUACACUACUUUCAACGUUUUUAUUUUACAUUAUCUUCAACAAUAGAACAUUUAGAAUAUCCUCUUGCGGAACAAGUUGCUCAUGCACUAAAGCAGCCCAUUAGAAAAGGUUUAGAGAGGCUAGAGGCAAGGUGGUAUAUGUCUAUCUACCAGGAUGAAACUUCGCAUGACACAACUUUACUAAAGCUGGCCAAGUUAGAUUUCAAUCUAGUGCAGUCCCUACACAAGGAGGAGCUAAGCAAUAUUGCUAGGUUUGCUUUCAAAUCACUAGCAGAUAUACCUAGUCACCUUCUCAUUUUACCAUGAGCUAAUUGUUUUAAUGAAUUUUAGGUGGUGGAAAGAAUUAGACUUUGCUACAAAGCUACCUUUUGCGAGAGAUAGAUUGGUGGAAGGCUACUUUUGGAUACUUGGGGUGUACUUUGAGCCUCAAUAUGUCCGGGCUAGACGAAUUCUAACCAAAACAAUUUCCAUGACAUCCAUUAUAGAUGAUAUAUAUGACGCAUAUGGCACAUUUGAAGAACUCGAGCUCUUCACCGAGGCCAUUGAGAGGUUUGAUUGAUGCAAAUUACCAACCUUCAUCAUUUAUACUGUAUGUGAUACUUAAAUCAAGCCUGGUUUUAUUUUCAGGUGGGAUAUUAAUAGCAUAGAUCACCUUCCAGAAUACAUGAAACACUGCUAUGUGGCACUCUUAGAUGUGUACAAAGAAAUUGAGGAAGAGAUGGAGAAAAAAGGAAACCAAUAUCGGGUUCAAUAUGCGAUAGAAGCGGUAGGACAUUCUGCAUCGACUUUGUUUUGUAUAGUAACAUAUCGUAAGGAUAUAGAUGUAACCUGAUUGAAUGUUUGACAGAUGAAAAACCUAGUUAGAGCUUAAUUUCAUGAGGCUAAAUGGUUCCAUGAAGGACGCAUACCAACAAUGGAAGAGUAUAUGAUAAUAAUAGGUUUAUCUUAGGGAAUCAAUAAUUAUUUUUGUAUGUUAUAAAGAUUACAUUUAUACUUGAAUUAUUUUUAAUUUAUUAUAUCAUAUAAAUUUUUUAUCUUAUAAUAUUGUAAAUUUUAAUUAUAUUAGGAAAUCAAUGAAUGCUUUUAUAACUAUUUAAAUGAUGUUAGUUAUGAGAUAAUUUUAUUUUAUUAUUGUUUUUUUACCUUAUUUACUUGUACCUAUUUUUUAAUAAUUUACAUAAUAUUUUUAUAAUUUUUAAAAUUUUCUAAUUAUCAUAUUUUUUUGUAUAUGACACUUAAAUCAAGCCUGGUUUUAUUUUCUGGUGGGAUGUUAACAGCAUAGAUCACCUUCCAGAAUACAUGAAACACUGCUAUGUGGCACUCUUAGAUGUGUACAAAGAAAUUGAGGAAGAGAUGGAGAAAGAAGGAAACCAAUAUCGGGUUCAAAAUGCGAUAGAAGCAGUAGGACAUUCUGCAUUGACUUUGUUUUGUAUAGUAACAUAUCGUAAGGAGAUAGAUGUAACUUGAUUGAAUGUUUGACAGAUGAAAAACCUAGUUAGAGCUUAUUUUCAUGAGGCUAAAUGGUUCCAUGAAGGAAGCAUACCAACAAUGGAAGAGUAUAUGGGGAUAGCACUGGUAACCUCAGGUUACUACAUGCUUACAACCAUGUCUUUCAUUGGUAUGGGAGAAAUUGUAACAAAGGAGGCCUUUGAUUGGGUGAUUAGUGACCCUAAGAUUAUCACAGCAUCAGCUGUAAUUUGCAGGCUCACGGAUGACAUCAGUUCAUAUAAGGUAUUGUGAAUAUAGUAUUUCUUGUUAAGCUAUAAUUUGACCUUGACCUUAAAGCUCAAUCAAUUAAACAUAUUUAUUGUACUCAUUUGUGCGAUUCUUUUUCUUGGUAUCCAUGAUUAAUUAACAAAGGUAUUGUUUUUUUUUUUUUGGAAAAAAAAAAAGAGAAGUUCAAAUUUAUUUUUUUCCUCUCUCUCUCUCUCUCUCCCUCCACACGCUCAUUAAUUUUAAUGUUAAGAUAUCAGCCCAAUUGACUUGAUUUAUAUUAACUUAAAACUUUUGUUCUAAUAGGUACCUUCAUAUAACGGUAAAGCCUUGAUUUUUAUAGGAGGUCAUGGAGGUGAACUGUGAACCUUACUGAUGUGUACCCAAACCAUACCAUUUAUUUAUAAUAUUGUCAUCAUAAUAUUUAAAUAUGGGACAUUUUAUGCAUUCAUUAUGUAGAUAUCCCUUUGUAAUAUACAUUCGUUGAGUUGGAGGAUGGUAACAUCGAUAUCCCUUUUUGUGUAAUGCAUAUCCAACAAACACACAUUGCAAUGCAUGGGAAGUUAACUUGGUGCGUUGGUGUUUAUGUAGAUGCACAAAUGCCACGCAACCAAAAACACGAGGAGGUAGAUUUGGGACAGUUGGGACAACUACGGCAUUAGUAAGAGUUUGGAGAGGUGUUUGGAAGUUAAUUGAGCUGGAAGGUACCCGAUUGAUCAAGUAUGCGGCAUGACUCGUGCCCAAUUGGUGUCUCAGCUGAUUUGUGUUCAGCUGGUGCUCCUUGAUUGAGGAAGUGAUCAACAAAAUUUAUACCUAUAACACCAUACACUAGGGUAGCAAAUACAAAGCUACUAUAGUAUAGUGGCUCUAAGGAUCGUUCACUGGGAAUGAUGAACAAGCAAUCAAGGAUACCAAUUCCAAGUGAAUUGGUUUUGUUUCAUUUCACGGUUAGCUUAAGGAAUAAAACACAAACUUUGAUUGGUAAAGGUUUAGACUUAAACUAACUAACUUAACAGAAGUUUGGAAUAAUUUAGGAAGAAAAGCAUUCCUUGGAGAAUUAGGUUCACUGGGGUGGUUCCUCAUGCAAAAGACAUAGCUCCGGUCAGAUGGUUCAUUUCCUCGCAUUAGAGAUUCAACUUAGAGUCAAUUCUCUAACCGGUGAUGUACAGAGACUCCUUCAAUUAGAUUUCACUUUAAUUCUCUCACUGAUACAACUUGCAAUGGUUCAUGCCUCUCACGAGCACUUACCAUUCAAGGUGAUCUUUAACCUUGGAUUCCCCUUCACAAACUCGCAAGAGAUAACUAAUGGAUGUCUCCUAGGAGUCCAAAAGCUUACCAAGUGUUGGUAAUUCCAGAAAAUCCUACCUUGAAGUCACCUACCAAAGGCUCGCAAGGGGUAAACUAGUGCAUUUCCACGGUUAGAAAUCACUUGCCUUACCAAGUGUUGGCCCAGGUGACUCCAAAGUGUUUUAAGUUAACUAAAAACAUUGAAAUCACUAAAGGAUUUCACUUCCUCUUCAUUACUAGCUAAAACCACAAAGCUUUGCAUUCUUGCACUUGGAACCUUCCCCGGCAACCUUAGCUCCAAGGAAUUGGAGGUUUAGUUACUCAUUCUCUGGGGAAAACUCCUCAGAGAAUUCAUAACUUAGAAAUAAAAUGAAAAUAUAAAGUGAGAAGGUAAGGCAGUAGAAAGAAAAGACUUUUACUUGCUUACCAAAAAACGAUUACAGAAGGAACUCCUCUCUGAGAACAUGCUCUCGAGAGGUAUUUAUAUUAAAGCAAUAUAAAACUAAUUCUUACACUGAUAUUUGGUCUUUUUACUAACUUAAAAACUAAGGAAUCAUGUAAUUGGUGGUUUACAAGGAGUAUUUUGGAAUUUAGACAACAAAAAUCUAAUGGAAAAUAUCUCCCAAUGUCGGUAGCAAGCUUCGGGAGGCUUCAGGAGCCAUUUCGCAGGAGAAAAGUGGUGCCUGCGAAAUUUCGCAGACACCCAAGAGGGCUGCGAAAUUAUUUCGCAAGACCAAGCUAUCUUCACCAGGCUGCAAAGUUGGCUUCCAUCUUGAAGUUUCCAGCUCCCUUCUCGCGGCAUGGUUCGUGCAUCGUCAGAAGGAGAAACACCUUACUGUACAAAAGCGUUGCGAAAAUCUCGCAACAAAAGGCUGAUUCCGCAGCACUUUAGAGUGACUGGCUUGUAAUGGCUGCAACUUCUUCGUUUCAACUCCAAAUCGCGCACCGUUUGAAGCAUUGGAUUGUUGACUUCCUGAGCUUUGAAAUGGUAUAUAGCUUGCAUCAUUUGGACUUCAGAAAGUGCUCCAAAAGUGGCUGCUACGACUGUCAUCAAGAAUAGGCUUCAUGACUGAUCCUCUUUGCUUUUUCUCCUUGCAAUCCGGAUUCACUCUUGGCAAUUGAAUUCUAAGCUUUUCCCAUGAUUCCUCAUAGCUCUCCUCAUUCUUGACUUGCUUUGGUGAUCAAAAUACUAACAAAAACACCAAAACUUGCACAAAGUGAUCAAAAUUGCUUUAAAGGAUCCUUAACAUGCCAAUUGAGUUAAAAGGCCUAAACUACUACUCAAAAGUGUUAAAAAGGAUUAAUUAAAGGCUAUCAAAUAGCACUUUUUGAGUAGUAAUCACGGCAGAUGUGAUUGCUUCUCCCCAAUAAGAUAUCGAUGUUUUUGCUGCUAUCAAGUAAGCACGAACAACCUCUAACAAGUGCCGAUUUUUUCGUUCAGCACAACCCGAGCCUUACUCUUUCAAGGGAAUGUUCCUAAGUCCUAUUGAGGAGAAGUUGUUCUUACUGCCACAUACAUGAUAAAUAGAAUUCCGUCACGAGUUUUAGAAAACAAAAGCCUCAUAGAGAUACUUAAGAGUUUCUAUCCACACUUCAGAACCUCAAAUGGGCUCACUCCUAGGGUAUUUGGGUGCACAACAUUUGUUCAUGUCCACAACCAACAUAGAGACAGCUAGACCCCCGAGUCAUAAAAUUUGUCUUUCUUGGUUACUUCAUCCACUAAAAAGGAAACAAAUGUACAUCCCNNNNNNNNNNNNNNNNNNNNNNNNNNNNNNNNNNNNNNNNNNNNNNNNNNNNNNNNNNNNNNNNNNNNNNNNNNNNNNNNNNNNNNNNNNNNNNNNNNNNUGUUACAAUCCCAUAACAAAAAUUUUUUACAUCUUUGCAGAUGUCACCUUCACAGAAAAUAAACCUUUUUUCCCAAAGUCCUCUUUUUAGGGGGAGAUUUCAAUGAUAGAAGAUAGUCCUGAGUCCUUUGAACCUCUUGACCUUCCUCAUGUCUCAACCCAUGGUGAUGAAAUACCUGAGUCAUCCGAGUCAAUCACACCUGAGUCACCCAAUUUUGCCACUAAACCCGUGUCAUCCCAUGUUCCAAGCAGUGUCACUCGCAAUUUUCCAUAGUUUCCUAAGGUGUAUUCAAGGGAAAAGGCCAUUCCAGAACAAAAGUAUGUCCAAGAAUCCAACUCAGACCCUGGGAAUGAAAUCACGCUAAGAUCAGACCCACCUUUACAUACACAACCUGGUGAAACUUCUACUAACUCAACAGACAACCUAGACCUAGACCUUCCCAUUGCUAUCAGAAGAGGCACCAAAGAAUGCACUAAUUGACCACUCUAUCCACUAUCACACUAUGUGUCUCUUAAGCACCUAUCACUAGCCCACAAAAAUUUCAUUGUGAGUCUAAACACCACUAUCAUCCCUAACACUGUUUCUAAGGCAUUGACAAAAAGGGAAUGAAAUGAUGCUAUGAGAGAGGAGAUGAGUGCAUUAGAAAAGAAUAAAACAUGGGAGAUUGUUGAAAGACCGAAAGGGAAAAACAUUGUUGAUUGCAAGUGGAUUUUCACACUGAAAUAUAAGACUGAUGGAUCUCUUGAGAGACAUAAAGCAAGAUUGGUAGCCAAAUGGUACACUCAAACUUAUGGAGUAGAUUAUCAGGAGACUUUUGCUCCAGUUGCAAAAAUAAAUACUAUGAGAAUCCUAGUCAUUGGCUGCCCACUACAAUUGGAAACUCCUAUAAUAUGAUGUUAAGAAUGCAUUUCUUCAUGAUGAUUUAGAUGAAGAGAUUUACAUGAACAUCCCCCCGGGAUUUGAGGGAAACACUGGUAAUAAGGUGUGCAAACUGAAAAAGGCCCUUUAUGGGCUAAAACAAUCUCUUAGGGCUUGGUUUGAGAGAUUUGCAAAAGUCAUGAAAGAGUCUGGGUACAAACAAAGCCAAGGUGACCACACUCUCUUCAUUAAGCACUCGGUUGCAGGGGGAGUAACUGCUCUUCUAGUCUAUGUUGAUGACAUCAUAGUGACUGGAAAUGAUGAGAGAGAAAAACAUGAAGUGAAGCAGAGAUUAGCAAUAAAGUUUGAGAUAAAGGAACUAGGGAAACUAAAGUACUUCCUUGGUAUUGAGGUGGCAUAUUCCACACAAGGGAUCUUCAUUUCUCAACAAAAGUAUGUGACUGAUUUAUUGGCAGAAACAGGGAAGAUUGGGUGUAAACCAGUCUCUACCCCCAAUGGAUCCAAACCACAAGUUGGGAAAAGCUAAAGAAAAACUAGUGUUGGAUAAAAGAAUGUACCAGAGGCUGGUUGGUAGGCUCAUAUACCUUGUUCACACUCGGCCAGACAUCGCCUACUCGGUGAGCAUGAUCAGUCAAUUCAUGCAUGAUACAAGAGAACCUCAUCUUCAAGCUGCUUAUAGGGUGCUACAUUACUUGAAAGGCAACCCCGGGAAAGGAAUUUUGUUCAGGAAGAACAAUACUCUUGCUCUAGAGCAUACACUAACACUGACUAUGCAAGUUCCUUAGUGGAUCGAAGAUCAACUACAGGGUAUUGUACUUUUCUUGGAGGUAAUCUGGUAACAUGGAGAAGUAAAAAGUAGAAUUUGGUAGCAAGAUCGUCUGUAGAAUCAAAGUUUAGGGUCAUUGCUCAAGGGUUGUGUGAACUACUUUGGCUGAAGAUUAUUCUAGAUGAUUUGAGAAUCAAGUGGGAUGGUCCUAUGAAACUCUAUUGUGAUAAUAAGUCAACUAUCAAUAUUGCUCAUAACCCUAUACUACACGAUAGGACAAAACAUAAUAAGAUCGAUAGGCAUUUCAUCAAAGAAAAAUUGGAGAAAGGAGUAGUGUGUAUGUCCUAUGUUGCAUCAGAACAUCAAUUAGUUGAUAUCCUAACAAAAGGGCUGAACAGUUCAAUGUUUCACAGUCUUGUAUUCAAGCUGGGAAUGGAAAACAUCUAUUCCUCAGCUUGAGGAGGAGUGUUGAGCUAUAAAUAGAUAGUAGAAUUAUUUUCCUAUUAUGUUAGUUUCCUAUUUAUGUAAAUAGAUAGUUUUAUUAGUUUCCUAAUUCUGUAAAUAGAUAGUUUUAUUACUUUCCUAUUUCUAUAAAUAGAUAGUUUUAUGAUUUAGGAAUAAAUUAGUUUUCUAUUAUGUCUCUUGUUUCCUAUUUCUUCUCUUGUAAUCUCCUAUAUAAACUGUGUAUGGUCAAUAUAAGAAACAAAAAUUAUUAUUUUCCAUCCCAUAUUUCGUAUCAAGAUGCAUGCCAUAAAAAUGGUAAGAUGAACAACAACAAGCCAAGCAACAAAAAAAAAAAAAAUGGAGUUUUUCCACCUUGUCCUCAUUGCAAGAAGACAAAUCAUUCUCCACAAAAAUGUUGGUGGAGACCAGAUGUGAAAUGCAACAAGUGUGGUAAACAAGGACAUGUGGAAAGGAUUUGCAAAAAUCAACAACAAAAAGAAACUAGUGCAGCAGUUGACUAUUGUCAGGAGGAGCAAUUAUUUGCAGCAACGUGUUUUGCUAAUAAAAGCACCUCUGAAAGCUAGCUUGUGGAUAGUAGUUGUACAAACCACAUGACAAAUAAUCAAGAUCUCUUUAGAGAACUUGAUAGAACAGCUAUUUCCUAAGUCAGAAUUGGAAAUGGUGAGUAUAUUCCAAUGAAGGGCAAAUGAACGGUUGCUAUCGAAAGCCAAAUAGGUUUGAAACUCAUUUAUGAUGUUUUGUUUGUGCCUGACGUUGACCAAAACUUACUCAGUGUUGGACAGCUCGUUGAGAAAUGAUUUAAAGUUUAUUUUGAAGAUAGGAAUUGCAUUAUCAAGGAAGCUGAAGGCAAAGAGGUGUUUAACAUAAAAAUGAAGGGCAAGAGUUUUGCCUUGAAUUUACUAGAAGAUGAGCAUGCUGUUGUUUUACAAUAAGAUAGAACAACAAUGCUUUGGCAUAGAAGGUUUGGGCACUUUCAUCAUGAUGUUGUGCUCUACAUGAAGAAAAAUCAAAUAGCUGAAAGACUUCCCGACUUAGAAAAAGAUCUUCCUAUAACUGCUACUUGUUAAUAUGGGAAGCAAACUAAACUUUCCUUUCCAAAGAAAACAUCCUAGAGAGCAACCCAAAAAUUGCAACUAGUGCAUACUGAUAUUGGUGGACCUCAAAAGACGUCAUCCUUGAAAGAGAAUGUAGGCAUUGUUCACCAACUCACUGCACCAUAUAAUCCACAACAAAAUAGAGUCGUGGAGAGGAAAAAUAGAACGAUUUUGGAGAUGACAAAAUGCCUUCUACAUGAAAAAGAUCUACCUAAAGUUUUUUGGGCUGAAGCUACAAGUACAGUAGUAUAUUUGCUGAACAAAUUGCCAACAAAAACGUUAAAGAAGCAGACCCCUUUCGAAGUUUGGUUUGAGUUUCUACGUGGAAGACUUGGAGUUUGCAUCUACUAAGUCAAGAAGGAGUGUUGAAUUUUGACCUAGUAUCUGCUAGAAUUUGAAUUUUGAAGUUAAAUAUUGCAGCUGGAGUCUUGCACAAAAUCUAUAACAUCCAAAUAUUUUUCUUGUUGUUAUUUGGUCAAGAUUUGGUUUCUAUUUUAUAGGAAGUAGUUGUUCAUCAUCUAGUAGCUUGAUUUUCUGCUAUUCUAAUGUCAUUUCAGUUACAAGCUCAUGUAUAAAUUCAACACUCUUCAUCAAUAAAAUGUGUGUUUCAGCAACCCAAAAUAUAUAUUCUGCAUAAGUGUUUAAAUCUUAGACCAACACAUCCUCGUCACUAGUAGUUGUGCCUCUCAGGUUACCUUUUUUAUCUCUCAGCUCAGCUCCACCUUUGCUCUUCGUGACCUUGGUUCCCUUUACUAUUUCUUUGGCAUUGGGGUUACUCAUAGUACUGAUUCUCUUCAUCUCUGCCAACAAAAAUAUGUGCAUGACUUGCUCACUCGUACUGCCAUAACUGAUGCUAAACUUGUUCUUACAUUGGGUUCCUUGGCCAAACCUCUCUCUCUCAUUGAUGGUGAUCUACUUAUAUCGCAACAUUGUUGGCGCAUUACAGUAUGUUACUGUUACAUGUCCAAACCUUUCUUUUGCCGUUAACAAGGUAUGCCAGUUUAUGGCUUCCCAACGACUACCCACUAACUAGAUGUCAAGAAUAUAAAAAGUAGUUAAAAAUAAAAUAAAAAUAUAGAUUUAAAAUAAAAAAUAAAAUAAAUAUGAAUAAUUAAAAAUUUUAAAAAUGAUAAAUAUUUUUUUUUAAAAAAAGUUUUCAAAAAAAUCUCAGAUAUUUUCAGAUAUAUCGGCAAUGUAUCCAAUAUAUCCGAUAUAUCGUCGAUAUAUCUCCAAUAUUUUGAUAGACUUCCUCUAUUGCUUCGCGCGUCGCUUCACACUCGAUUUUUUCGCUGAUUUAUCGAUUUCAAAUUAACCGAAAUGUCAACAUAUUUCGGGGAUUUUUUUGAUAUUCCUCUCGUUCGAUAAUGUUGCUUAAUAUCCUUUCAGGGUUGUCCGAUAUCCGAUAUAUUGGUGAAAUAUCAUCGAUAAAAACCGAUUUUUCAAUCCAUGCUUAAUAGUGGGUUUCCCUUUUGUUUGGCCUCUUGUAGACCCCCAUUUUGGGGCUCGGUUUUUUUUAUCUCUAUUUUCUUUGUAGGUGUCACCAUCCCAGAGAGCCAUGUGUCGCCUCUUUGGUGGUUGAUAGGGAAUCAACAUUGCUUUUCGGGGACUUAUGGUAGGUUGACACGUGGAAGAAUAUUCUGGAGAGCUGAUUUCCAUUAUGGGGGAGCAUAUGAGAGAGGAUAUUCUACAGGCAUUUUGAUUCUCACAUGUGCAUGAUCACCUUGAGUAUUCAUUGAUUUUGGCAUCAAUUGUCACAUAAACUUCAUUUUAUUAGUAGAGACCCGACUUUAAGGACUUAGAGGGGUGCUACGGUCUUUACCGUACCUUCCCGAUAAAUAAUUUGACCCCCGAACUCGAUCCGGUUUUUCACGGACCACCUUUUCCAAAUAAGGAGUCACACUUAGGAUUUUCUUUCUUAUUUUAUUUACCCUUUAAAAAUAAAACAAAAUUAAGUGGCGACUCCAAGUCAUUUUUUUUAAUCAGUAAAAUCAUUUUCAAAAUAAAAAUCGAGCUCACUAUCGAGUGAAAAACGCAUUAGCCGAAAUACGGGGUCCACACCUCUAUUUAUUUAAAAAAAAAAAAAAAAAUCCUUUCCCAUUCUAUGGCCUUGAGUGAGCAUUAUGUAUUUCAACUAUUUUGACAUGUUCAAAAUAAAUUACUAAGAAUUUAAAGGGAAUUUGUUCGACAAGUACUUUUUUUUUAACAUAUUUAUUUAUACAUUAUUUAGUUUAGGUUGCAUUAUUCUAUGUAAAUAAUUUAUUGGGUAUGGGAAUUACUUUUAUAAAUGGCUGAGUAGAUUCAAUUUUAGAUAUUUAUUUAUUGAGCAUGAAAAUUAUUUAUUAAAACAUGGUUUAACGACCAUGCGAUGGAAUCAACCUGUUAAAAAAAAUAAACUAAUACUAUAUUAUUUUAACUUAAAUUAUUUCUUGAUUGUAGCAAUGUUGAAAAAACAAAUAUCAAUAAAAGACUAACCUUAACGGGAAAAUAGUAAUUAACAUAAUUUUAUAUUGACUUGUAAAAUUGGGUCAACAUAUAAAUAUAUUAAUUGUAACAAGAAGACCUACAUUGAUAAUGAAACGUCAAUAUUAGUCUAUAUUGCCAACUUUGAAAUAUUAAUAUAUGUAUAUAGCAGAUGUUUUCAUGAUUAGGAAUUAGAGAAAAUUUUGUAGAAGAUUUUUCCAAAUUUGAAAAUAACUAUGGAAGAAAUUCAACUUAAACACGUUUCUUUGUGGAAGAGUUGCAUUGGCAAGGAAAGCUACACACAUUCAUUGAACAGUCUUAGGCCCAUUUUUCCAAGCAGCCUAGCAAGUUGUCUGAAUUAAACCCCUAUGGAUUGAAAUUGAUUGGAUCCAUUACCCGUCAUGCAUUCAAUCCCAAAGCGUUGAUUAUUCAAACUCUAUGAAAUAUAGGUUUCGCUGAGUAGAGGAGUUCAAAUACAUUAAAUCGAUAUUUUAAGUAAAUAUAAUGUGGAAAAUGAAACCUACUAGAUCGAUAAUGACCACAUUACAAACCGAUCUCCAGGCUAGUUAGGGCAAUCCCCUCAAAAUUCAAAAAAUAAUUAAGUAAAUAAAAUGUAAUUAUUAAUAUUUUUAAAAAGUAGUUAUGGACUCGAAAUGGGUAUUUUUUAUAUAUGAAGUUUAAUCAAGUAGUAGUUCUUAUCCUAGCCACACCUAAUAUUAACAACUUGUUAGGAUAUUCUGAUUGAAUUUAGCCAAAGAGACUCUAGAAGGCCAAUAUUUUUCUUAUCAUCACUCUCUUCCGAGCACAACUCUUCCACACCAUGGGCCCCAAAACUAAACCAAAUUCCACAUACUUUUUAACUACAUACAGCCACUGCAUUCCAGGCUGUCUCUCAUACUCACCAAUUCAUCACUGAAGGUAUAGGACUGUUCUAUCAUUGUUCCAAGUAAUUGGCAUCUCUACUCAAGUCUCAGCAUGUUCCCUAGCCCAAAUUUCUAAACCCAAAAAUCACCCUGUGGCAAGCUUGAAGGUAAUUCAAUGAAAAUAUGCUUAAAGCUCAACGGCUAAUUUACUUAUUUGGAAGUCAUUUUUCUUUAUGUGUUGGAUGAUAAAAUUUGUUGGUCUAGGUUACACGUUCCUGCAAAGAAGAGCAGACGGAGGAUCUGAAAAAUGAAUUGAAACUGGAAUUAAUACAUAGUGUUGAUUAUAUAUUGAUGGAAAUUAGUUUAAAGUUGGAUAUAUUAAUUACUUAGGGAUGUUUGGUAAAACUUAAUACUUAUUAUUUAAUUAUUUGAGUUGACUUUAAAUUAAAUUAUACUUAAAUUACUGACUUAAAACUUAUUAUUUUAAGUAUUAAGAUAUAAAAUUAACUUAAAGUUUAUUUAAAAUCAUUAAGUUGACAUAUUUAUUCUUAUAAAUUAUAAUUAGAAUAGAAAAGGUUGAGUAACAAUAGAACUUAUAGAAUUGUAAAAGAGAUCAUGAAGGUAAUUAAGACAAAUAAAGAUAAAAAGAUAAAAUAAAAAUAUAGAAUUAAAAAUAAAUUAAUUAUUUUUACUUAUUAUUUAAAGUUAUUUUUUACUUUAAAUCAUAUUAUUAAGUUAUUUUAUUAAAUAUACUUAAUUUACUUAAUGACUUAAAUUAAGUUAUUAAAUCAUUUUAAGUUAUUAAAUUGAUUAAUCAAAUUCCUACUUAUUGAAUACAAAUAUAGAAGGAAAUUAGGAAAGCAAAGUAGAUGGGUUAUUAGGUGAAAGCUUAUCAAAUCCGCCUAUCAACAUAUCACACUUUUACCAAAAACCCACCUCAUGCCAAGCCUAUAAGUUGUCAAGUCCUUAUGAUCCAACAACUUUCUUAUGGUUCCCACACGGGUUUCUAUUGUUAUCAAAACAAAAAGUUAUAAUAAAAUAUAUAUAUAUAUAUAUAUAUAUAUAUAUAUAUAUAUAUAUAUAUAUAUAUAUAUAUAUUAUAAUUCAUAGAUAAUCUGACAAUUAAAUAAAAAGAUAAACUCAUUUGUGGAAUAUAAUUAAUAAAAAAAAAAAGAGAAGUGUUAAGAGUUUUAAAUUAUUAUUAUUUUAUUAACAAUUUUAUUAUAUUUUCAUUUUAACUUAAGAAUCUAUUGAAAUAGUGACUUACUCUCUAUUAAAGAUUCAAAGUUAUUUUUCAAUCAAUCGAACUAUCAGGUAAGUAUGAAAAUGAUCGAGUAAAGACAAGUUAAUUGUCACAAAUAAGUGUGAAAAGGAUCGAGUAAAGACAAAGGGUUGAAUUGAAAAUUUUAAUUUGCAUAAAAUGUUUUAAUUAAUUUGAAAAGAAUUUUAAAUUGAGAAUUUGAAAAAAAAAAUUCCAAAUAAUAAAAAUAAUUUGGAAAUGAAUUUUAAAUUAAGGAUUGAAAAUUUAAAAUUUGUAAAAGGAAAAUUUUUAUAAAUCUUUUCUAAUUUUAAAUAUGAAAUAUUUCCAAAUCUUUUUAAAACUCUUAAGUUUCUAAAUUGUUUUCCAUAAAAUAUAAUCUUUAAAUUAAUUGCAACUAUAUAAAGUUUUCUCCUAUAUAUAUCCUACCUAAAUGUAUAUUUGAUGAGGGUCUGACUUGUUUUUCCAUUCUUAAUCUCUAAAGAAAGAAUUCAUUACAAGUACCUACAUCCCUUCAUAAGCUUAGAGGAGUUAGAGCAUUUGGAGGUACUACAUUGUGGAUGUGGAUUAAGGUGUAGGUGCUAGCUAGUUAAUCAUUAAGGUAAAACGGUUAUUAAAUAUGUGUACUUUAAUUUCAAAUAGUGGAUUAUAAAGGGAGAAUUAUGUUUUGGGGGUAGAUGGGCCCCCAAAUUAACAAAAGGUCCAUGUAACUCUUUAAAUUGAGCCCAAGACCCAAUAAAAGUAUGAAAAUUGAGUUGAAGGAUAUCAUCCUUCAGUAUUUCCAAAAAUGUCAUUUGUUGAUUUUGAGAAAAAAAAAUUAAUAUUUUUGAAAAAUACUUUUAUAUAAUUUAAUAUUUUUUAUUUAAUUUAAUAUUUUUAAAAAAAUACUUUUAUGUAAUUUAAUAUUUUUUUAAAUACUUUUAUUUAAUUAAAUAUUUUUUAAAAAUAAAUUUAUUUAAUUUAAUAUUUUAAAAAAAUAUUUAAUUUAAUAUUUUUUAAAAUACUUUAAUUUAAUUUAAUAUUUUUGAAAAAAAAUUAUUUAAUUUAAUAUUUUUGAAAACUACUUUUAUUUAAUUUAGUAUUUUUGAAAAAAAAUUAUUGAAAAAAAAAUAUUUAACUUAAUUUUAUAAAAUAUUUUAUAUGUGUUCUUAAAGGGUAUACUUGUCCGUUACUAUUUCAUAUCCUUCAACUCAAUUUGAAGAGUUAUAUGGACCUUUUGUUAAUUUGGGGACCCAUCUACCCCCAAAACAUAAUUCUCCCGAUUAUAAAUUAGAGGUUUUAAAUCUUGUGAUUUUUUAUGCCCACAAUUAGCAUUGAUAUUUUCAAAUUAAAAUUUCUUGUGUCCCUUAUUUGAUUAUUUUUAUUAUUUUGAUCUUUAAUUAUUUUGAUUAUCCCUAUUAUCUCUUAGUUUAAAUUGAGUUAAUAUUAUUUAACUCUUAUAUUAUUAUCUUUAAAAAUCACCCCACUCUCAAUGUCAUCCUCUUGGACAAAAGCGUAUAUAUAUAUAUAUAUAUAUAUAUAUAUAUAUAUAUAUAUAUAUAUAUAUAUAUAUAUAUAUAUAUAUAUAUAUAAUUCACAAAUCUUGAAAAUAUAUUUAAUAUUAAAAUAUCAUUCCAUGUAAUUUGGAAGUAUUCAAAGAUGUAAAAGAUAUGAUAAUAUAUGUAUAAUUAUUUUUUAUUUAAAAAUCUUAAUAAUUACAUUUGCAACUUUAUUUUGUCCUCAUUAUUUAAUUAAUAUACAAAAAGAUAUGGGAAUAGAAUUAUCAAAAGAAUUGUCAUAAUAAAGCUUUAUAUUCUUAAUAAUAAGUUAAAUUAAGGUGGCAUUUAUUUAUUUUUACUUAAAUCUAAAUGAAAAUUAAUUUAACUUAAUUGUAAAUAUAACUUAAUAGAAUUAAUUAUUAUAUUUUUUUGUUUUUUAUAAUUUUAUUUUUGUUAAGCGUUAAAUAUUAAUUGGGUGAGAGUCCUACUAAGGUUGUGCUUUGACUGAUUCAAAAAAUUAUUUUUAGUAAUGAGCAAAAAGUUAAAUAUUUUACUUUUAUCUAUUCAUUAAAAAAAUCUUAAAAAUUAAAUUUUUUUUUUGUUUUAUUCAAAAUAGUGAAUGGAGUUUGAGUCGAAUUUUAAUUAUUUGGUAAAAUAAUAAAAUUAGUUUUUUAUUUAAAAGAAAAAAUAAAGGUAAGUCAAAGAUAUAAAGAUAAUUAUUUUAUUUUAAAUAAGAAAGAUUCAAAAAAAAAAAAAAAGAUAAAUGAGCUACAAAUUUUAGGAUUAAUUGAUUAAAAUGGAUGAAAAGAUUUCAAAUUUGUAAAACUAAUCUCUUCCAUUUUUUAACUUGAAAGUAACACUUGUUUGACAUAAAUACCCUUUAACAUUUUCAUUAUUUACAUAUGUAUUUUAAAAGAAAAUGUUAUUUUUGUAAGAAAAAAGUGAGAGUAUUCUUAUGUAUUUUUUGGAUGAAAAAAAAUGGUUUGCAAUUUGAUAUUUCUUUCGUCCUUUUUAAUCGGUUAUCCCCAAAUUUUUUUUACGGAAAAUACAAAUUCUAAAAAUAUUUGGUUUUAUUGCUAUUUUUAAAUUUAAAUAUAUUUUUACCUUAAUUAUAUUUUUAUUUCAAAAUAAUUGAUGAUGAUUUAGUUGAAUUCUAACAUUUAAUGGAGUUUUAGUUGAAUUCUAACACUAUAAUAUAAAGUGACCCGAUAAAAUUAUAAAAUCAAUUUUAUUUAAAAAUAAAUAAAGUUGAGUUAAAAAUAGUAUUAAAUGAAUUAAAAUUUAAAAAUAAAAAUGAAUAGUUUUACCUUAAAUAAAAAAUAUUAAAAGAAAAAAUAAUUAGAUAGAUAGGCUUUAAAUUUUAUUAAGAGAAACAUAAUUUUUUUUAAAAAAAUUGUUUUUAUUUAUUUUCAAUUUUAAAAUUUUAUUUCUAUUUUUUAUUUAAAUGUAUUGUCAAAUUUUAUCUAAAAAUAGUUAAUAGAGUUUUGGUUGAAUUUUAAGACUAUAAGAUAAGCGAAUAGUUGAAAUUAUAAAAUGAAAUUUUUUAUUAAAAUGAAAAGAAAGUUAAGUUAAAGAUACUAUAAAUUAUGAUUAGAAGAAUGAAAAUCAAUAUAAAAAAAAAGUGGUUUUAUCUUAAAUUAGAAAUACUAAAAAAAAAAAAAAGGAAUAAUGUAUUGAAAAAUAUAACUGUGGUAGAAGAGCAAUGACUAUGCUCUUUUGAAUACCCUAGUUUAUGUUCAUUUUUUAAAAUUUAAAAAGAAUAAACAUCUUUUAGAUAUUAACAAAAAUAAAUUUAAAUAGAUUCUUAACAUAAAACCUAAAAAACAUUUGUUGUUGGCCAAAAAAUCCAACUAUGAGCCCUUUUAUGACAAGUGAAACUUCCAAAUCUUCUGAAGAGUUUUUUAUCUUAGUAUUAAAAUCUAAAAGCAGAAUAUUUAUACUAUGAGUUGCCUUUUUAACAACUAAUUUAUUUUAUUUAAUGUAAUAAUAUACAUUAAUAUAAAUUAUAGUUGAGUUUUUUUAUAAAAAAAAAUUGGCAUAUGCUUGUAUUACUUUGUUAGCUUGGAGGACGAAAAGCCUAUACAAAUAAUGAGUUGAAUGAAAUAAGAAGCGAGUAAAUUACAUGUAUCAAUGAAAUUGUAAUUUUUAGAUUACAGAAAUGAGUACAUGCAUUAAUAUAUAUGAAAAUAUAUAGUGAUUAUGAGAUUUGAGAAUCUAUUUAUUUUGAAUGAUGGGAAUUAAACUUCGUAAAAUUUCAAUGUAGAUCGGAAGUAAAUUUUUUUGUUACUUGAAAUAUUUACAACUUCUUUCCAGUAGUGAUGUUAUUUUGUAAUAGAACUUCCCUGGACAAUCGUUUUCAUGACUGGGAAUUGAAAUAGAGAAAAUUUUGUAGAAGAUUUUUUCAAAUUUGGAAAAAUCGCAUGUAGAAGAGUUGAAUUGGCAAGGAAAUCUACACUCAUUGAACAGUCUAUGCCCACUUUUCCAAUCAGCCUAGCACGUUUUUUUGAAUUGAAUAACCACGGAUUGAUAUUGAUUGGAUCCAUUAUCAGUCAUUCAAUCCUAAAACAUUCAUUUGUCAAACUCCAUGGAAUAUAGGUUUGGCCGAGUGGACAUUUCAAUACUAAACUUGUCCAAAUACAUUAAAUUGAUAUUUUUAGUAAAUAUGAUGCGCAAAAUGAAACCCACUAGGUCGAUAAUGACCUAGUGGUUAGGGCAAUCCCUCAAAAUUCAUAAAAAAAGAAGAAGCAAAUAGAAUCAAAUAGUAGUUCUUAUGUUAUUUUUUCAAAAAAUAGUUAUCGAGUCUGGAAAUGGGUAUUUUUCAUUUACGAAGCUUAAUCCUAUGGGAUUUAAUUUUCAUCGACUAGGAGAAUAAUUUGAUCCUAGCCACACCUAAUGUUAACGACUUGUUUAGGUAUUCUGAGUGAAGAGGACAACGGUUCCACACCGUGGGCCCCAAAACUAAACCAAAUCCCUCAUACUAUUCAACUACAUACUACCACUGCAUGCCAAGCCGUCUCUCUCAUACUUACCAAUUCUUUCUCUAGUCCAGAUUCUUAAACCCCAACAUUUGGGGUGACCAAUUUAUUACCUACACUCCCGAAGAAAGUUAAUUCAAUGAAAUUAUGUUUAUAUACUUAUUUGGAAGUUAUUUUUCUUAGGAUGAUAAAAUUUGCUGGUCUAGGUUACAAGUGCCUACAAAGAGGAGCAGAUUGAGGAUCUGAAAAAUGAAUUGAAAAUGGAAUUAUACAUUUUCAUGGACAAGGGAAAGGAACAAGGGAAAGUUGUGUUUUCAUGGACCAAUAUGGUAAUAAUAUUGUUUUUGGAACCCAGGUUUGUGAAAGUAGAAAAACAUCUGUUAAUGUGAAACUUAUAUCAGAUUCAUGCACUUUGAGCCGGUUAUAUUUUUUCUACAUAAAAAAUAAAAAUAAAUAAAAUACAAAAUAAAUCUAUUAGAAGGCGUCUGUCUAUUCUCUGCACCCUCACCGCCAAAGAGUAGAUGAGUUGGCGAGUGUGUUCGCUCCGGAGUCUUUACGCGCCGAAGAUGCCUCUUCUCCGAUCACCUCUGUUCUUCUUUGUUUGAAGCCGCCGACUGUUCGGUACCACGUGCUCCGUUUCGGGCACUAAGAAGAAGAACAAGGAGAAGGUGAUAGUGAUAUCCGGUCCCACCGGCGUCGGAAAGAGUAGGCUUGCAUUGGAGCUGGCGAAGCGCGUCAAUGGAGAAAUUAUCAGUGCGGACUCGGUCCAGGUAAGGCACCGAGUUCUUUUACCGUUUUCCUCUUGGAUUGCCCUCUGUUUGGUUGCCGAGAAAGAAAGGGAAGGACAAUGGGAAGGGAAUUAUGUCUUGUGUUGUUGAUUUGGGUGUUUAGGUUUUGUUUUUUGUUUUCUUGUUUGUUUUUUUUUUUUUCUCUUUCAUUUGUUUGGUUGCUGAGAAAAUAGAGGAUUCAGUCUUCUUUAGAAUGUUCUAUGCUUCUGUUUUUCAAUAGGAAGCUAAUGUUUAUGAAAAUUGUGACGAGGGGCUCAUGGAGAUAUGAUAAUGUUGGAGAAAAGUAGAUAAUCUAUAUAGAAAGUUCAAAACUUCAAGCAAAGUUACUCAAGGGACUAAACCUUUAGCAACAAUUUCUCCCAAGUAUUUUGUUGGUUAGUUACUCAAAAAGGUAAUUUUUUUAAGGGGGAAGAAAAUGACAAUUUGCAUUUUAUUUUUUGGUGAUAGGCAAAUGAGAAAAUAUUUAAAAGCUCCUAAAAGGAGCUGCAACAACUUACAGAUGAUGUAUACAGUAGUCACAUAGUUUAGUCAAGAAGAAGAUAAACAAAAGAAAAAUCCUCUCCUUACUCAAAACUUAUCCAAUCUACAAAGUCUAUCAUAGAUAUUGAGUGGUCCACCUUGUACAUUCUAACCCAAUUUACAAAGUAUAUAUAAAGUCGGAUUUGAUUGCUUGGUUUGACUGCUUAGCUUCAUUCAAAGCUCUCCCUUUUUUUUUUCUUCCAAAGAGUAGAAAAAAAGCAUAAGGGUAUAGUCCUCCAGCAUUUUUUUCAUUGCUUCCCCAUGGAAGAGCCAUGCAAACCCAAAAGGAUCCUUCUACUGAAAAACACAUCCCCAAAACCACUCCAAAGAGAAAAGGAUCAACUACCAAACAUAAUUGCUUUGGCACAGUAGAGAAGCAAGUAAUCUGUCAUUUCUUCCUCGCAUUUGCACAAAUAAACUUAUUAAGCAGAGUCCAUACCAUCUUUUUGGUGCCCAUGUGCUCCACACUACACCUGUUGGGAAAGCUCUCUAUCUCCCUUGGCCAAGGAAGAUUAAAGGGAUCUAAUUGAAAAAUUGCUGCUCUUGGACUCAUUUCAUCUCAAUUCGCCCUCCUUUUCCUUUUUAAUUGACAAUGAUUGCAAAUUCAAUUGGAAAAUCUCCACUUCAUCAAGCUCUCAAUCAUUAAACUGUCUUGAAAAGUGGUGGCUCCAUCCACCCUCUUUCCCAACUUGGUCCCACUCCUCCGCUACCCAUCCAUCUCUGUUGGAUGCAAUAGAGAAUAAGUUAGAGAAGACUUGCUUUUUAUUCCCUUCCACUCAUUUUUUAUGGUUUUCCACACCUCCACUCCAUACCCUUCUCUCAUCCUUCUUGAAGACCACCUGCUUCCUCUUCUCCGAACUUUCCUAUUAUGAUUUGUUUUGAUAAGGACUCCUUGUUAGUAACAAAUCUUCAAUCCUACUUACCAAGCAAGGCCUUGUUAAAGGUUGAAAGAUUGUGAAUACCAAGAUCCCCUUCCUUCCUUGCCAAGUAGACUGUAGUCUAAUCAAUAAAAUGAGGUCUUUUCUCUAGUGCACCUCCUCCUCAUAAAAUGUUUCUUUGGAUCUUCCUGAGUCUUGAAUUGACCUUUCUUGAAAUGACAAAAAGGAUAUAUAAAUUGGAAGGCUUAAUAAUGUGCUUUUAUCAAGGUAAGUCUCCCUUCGAAAUGUAUGGGUGGUAUGGAGUUAUCAUUAAGGUAUGCCUAGCAAUUUUUUUUUUUAAACCAUGUACAGACUCCAGCUACUGCUGCAACUAGUGCUCAAUGAACGCAACAGUGUCAGAGAUACAAUUCUGGCCGCAUGCCAUUUGUGACUUCAUAGUUCAUGAUAAGUUUCUUCCUAUCUGCUGCUACAUACCAAAAUGACCAAGGGUUGAUUCUAGUUUGUCCAAAAUUUAUUAAUUCAUAUCAUGUUGUGUGCUGAUGUGAUUUGUUCCAAUUGUAAAACCAUUAUUUAUGUUCUAUAUGUGAUGUAUCUGAUGAAGUAUUCCACUUCCCAUUGUAACAGUGGCAGUUGGGUUAUGCUGAAUAUGAGGACUUUAUGUACAAGAAUGACCAACAUGUAAGGGAAAGGAAGAGUACCUGGUGAUGCUGCUGCUGGAGCAUAUGGGACGCAGUAACAACAGUGUAAUAGGGCUGUUCAUUUUUCCUUCAAUAUUGUAAAGGAAGGGAGUAGGAACAUGGACAACACUCAGUAUUUGUUCUUUUAUUAUAGUUAAGGGUGCUGGUUAGUGUUGUAUUGGCGAUUGAUUGGACAACAACUAUGAUUGUAAGAUGUGAUCCAAAGUGAUAGGUUUAUUAUGGGGUAUGGUACUAAUUUCAUAAGAGAACAACAAACAUAGACUGUAACUUAUUUGUUUGUACACUGAUGCAGUUUCAGUUUAUCCUUCUAUACUCACAUUAGUAAAUUGUUUGACGGCUUUCCUUUCAUAUUUAGUUAUUGUGUAAGCUUUUACAUAGCAUCUUCUAUUAAUGUUAUUGGUAAGUUGGGAGGUUUGUUUGGUUUGAUUUACUACAUUAGAAACAGUUUGCUGGUAUACCAAUAGUUUGCAAUGGCGCCCUUCAAAUCCUGAUCUACCGGGGUUCAGGACUAUUGCUCAUCCUCAUUGGCAAGGGCUACUCAGGGUUCCUAAAUGAUUGUGCAUUUUGCUAAUUUUGUGUUUCAAACCAUGUACAGGUUGUUAUAGAAAAAAUAAAUGUGGUAGAAAACCAAUAAAUAUUUGCUUCGCAUGAUCACCUUCCAUAUCCAACCAAAACCAUCAUAACUUGACAUAACCAGAAAAAUGAGAAAACAACAGUAUGAUUAAAUAAAUACUGAGGGUGAAAAAUUGUCGGGAGAGCAAAAUUUAUCGAAUAUGGUUUAAGAUAGUGUCAUGCUGCAAUAAGUAAUGAAAUUAACUAAUAAAAAUCUGAAGCCACAGAAUGGCUACAUUUCUCGCAGGUGCGUUAAGGUAAUACUUGAGGUACAUUAAGGUAGUACCUGAAGACCAUUAAGGUAGUACCUUAUGUGCAUUAACGCAGUACCUGACAUUUCUUAUGAUUACAUAAGGUAUAGUUGGAGUAACCUAUAAGAACAUAACAAUGUCAUGCUGUAAUAGGUAAUGAAAUUAACUAAUAAAAAUCUGAAGCCACAGAAUGGCUACAUUUCUCGCAGGUGCGUUAAGGUAGUACCUGAGGUACAUUAAGGUAGUACUUGAAGACCAUUAAGGUAGUACCUUAUGUGCAUUAAGGUAGUACCUGAAAUUUCUUAUGAUUACAUCAGGUCGAUGGAGUCACCUAUGACAACAUAACAACGUCAUGCUACAAUAGGUAAUGAAAUGAACUAAUAAAAAUCUGAAGUCACAUAAUAGCUACAUUUCUCGCAGGUGCGUUAAGGUAGUACUUGAGGUACAUUAAGGUAGUACUUGAAGACCAUUACGGUAGUACCUUAAGUGCAUUAAGGUAGUACCUGAAAUUUCUUAUGAUUACAUAAGCUACCGAUGGAGUCGCCUAUGACAACAUAACAACGUCAUGCUACAAUAGGUAAUGAAAUGAACUAAUUGUGUUUGAAGUCAUAGAAGAGCUACAUUUCUCGCAGGUGCAUUAAGGUAGUACCAGAUGUACAUUAAUGUAGUACCUCAGGACCAUUAAGGUAGUACCUGAGGUGCAUUAAGGUAGUACAUGAAAUUUGUUAUGAUUACAUACGCCACCGAUGGAGUAACCUAUGAGAACAUAACAAUGUCAUGCUGCAAUGUGUAAUGAAAUGAACUAAUUGUGUCUUAAGUCACACAACAACAACAUUUCUCAAAUAUGCACUAAGAUAGUACCUGAUGUACAUUAAUAUAGUACCUCAAGACCAUUAAGGUGGUACAUGUUUUGCAUUAAGGUAGUACCUGAUGCGAUGAAACAAUUAUGUCUUCGUUGACAAAAGAUGUACACUACAAAUUCCAACAAACAUUACAAAUUCACAAACACUAACAACAAUUUCUACUAACCAACACAUAAUUUAUGCAUUUUAAUUUUUAUUAUUAUUAUAAUUUUUAUUUUUAUUCUCAAUAUAUAUGAUUGAAUUAUCAAGUUUUUCGUCAAUAUAUGAUAUUGCCUAAUUAUAUUCAUCAAUCUGAAUAAAUACAUAAGUUUUCCACCCAAUUUCUAAAUAUGUCCACAACAUUUUUCCAUUUCAUGAGUCUCCAAUACACAAAAAUAUUGAGAUCGAACAACCGCUCAUGCUAUCCAAAAUCGACAUUUGCCUCAACCUAUGCCCUCACCAAUGGAGGAAAAAUUGCAAAUACAACAACCACUCGAAAAUCACUCUUCUGCUCCAUUUUAAACAAAAAAAUUAUUAAAAAAACAACCCUAAAUACAAAUUAAUUACCUUCACAUUUGAUGUGAAGGUUACAGAAAAAUGUGAUCCAAUGAGAAGAACACGAGAUUUCUUCUUCAUGAACCCAAUAUAUCAGAGUUGUCGUUUCCAUUCUGAUUCGCUAUCCUAAACCAGAUUUUCAGUCAACACGUACCCGCCUCAAGCCGUCUUCUUAACUCGACCUUGUUUCAAUGAAGUGCUCCAUUUGGUUCUUCACAAUUACCACAGGCAACAAAAAUUUUGAUUCAGGUUUUCAAGUAAAGGUUUAUACUUUCAAAUGUGUGAAAUUUUGCAAAUUUUCACACCCUCUUCGAUCCGGAGGGGUGACGAAAUUGGGAUGAUCGGGUCCAAAUGGUUAGGACUUUGAGAGGAGAAGGGGCUGAAGAUAGAAAACUAGAUUGGAGUUUGGGAUUAAAGGCUUCAGAAAUUAAAUGAGAGAAAUUGUUGAAAUAUACAAGAUUCUCUGCUUUGCCUCGGUGACGGAGUGAAGACAGAUGAGAGGAAUGGCUGACAAAAUGAGAGAGAGGGAAGAAAGAACGGCUGAACGCUAGGGUUUUCUUGUGGGAACCUCUGCUUCGCCUCCAUGACAGAGUGUAGAAAGAUGAGAGGAAUGGGUACCAAAUGAGACAGAGGGAGGAACAACGGUCAGUCGCCUAGGGUGUUUUUUGGUGAGAUGGGCUGCUGACGUGGAUACCUGGAGGGGCAAGCUCGGUAGAAAAAACACAGCCGACUCAGAGUGCAUGAAUCUGAUAUAAGUUUCCACAUUAACAUAUGUUUUUCAUCUUUCACAAACCUGGGUUCCAAAAACAAUAUUAUUACCAUAUUGGCCCAUGAAAACACAACUUUCCCUUUUUUAUAUUAGUAUUAAAAUCUAAAAGCAAAAUAUAUAUAUAUAUAUAUAUAUAUAUAUAUAUAUCAUGAGUUACCUUUUUAAUAACUUAUUUAUUUUAUUUAAUGUAAUAAUAUACAUUAAUAUAAAUUAUAGUUGACUUGAGUUUUUUUUUUCUUUUUCUUUUUUAAUUUGGCAUAUGCGUGUAUUACUUUGUUAGCUUAGAGGACGAAAAACCUAUACAAAUAAUUAGUUGAAUGAAAUAAGAAGAAUGAAAUUGUAAUUUUUAGAUUACAAAAAUGAGUACAUACAUUAAUAUAUAUGAAAAUAUAUAGUGAUUAUGACAUUUGAGAACCUAUUUAUUGGAUCCAUUAUCAGUCAUUCAAUCCUAAGGCAUUCAUUUGUCGAACUCCAUGAAAUAUAGGUUUGGCCGAGUGGACAUUUCAAUACUAAACUUGUCCAAAUACAUUAAAUUGAUAUUUUUAGUAAAUGUGAUGCGCAAAAUGAAACCCACUAGGUCGAUAAUUGCCACAUUACAAACUGAUCUGCAGGCUAGUUAGGGCAAUCCCUCAAAAUUCAAAAAAAAAAAAAAAAAAAAAAAAAGAAAUAAAAAAGUGAAGCAAAUGUUAUUUUUUCAAAAAAUAAUUAUCGAGUCUGGAAAUGGUUAUUUUUCAUUUACGAAGUUUAAUCCUAUGGAAUUUAAUUUUCAUCGACUAGGAGAAUUAUUUGAUCGUAGCCACACCUAAUCUUAACGACUGUUCCACACUGUGGGCCCCAAAACUAAACCAAAUCCCUCCUGCUAUUCAACUACAUACAACCACUGCAUGCCAAGCUGUGUCUCUCAUACUUACCAAUUCUUUCUCUAGUCCAAAUUCCUAAACCCCAACAUUUGGGAUGACCAAUUUAUUACCUACACUCCUGAAGACAAGGUAAUUCAAUGAAAAUAUUUGGAAGUUAUUUUUCUUAAUUUGUUGGAUGAUAAAAUUUGUUGGUCUAGGUUACAAGUGCCUACAAAGAGGAGCAGAUUGAGAUCUGAAAAAUGAAUUGAAAAUGGAAUUAUACAUAGUGUUGACUAUAAGAAUUAGGUAUGCACAAAAUGACAAGGGACUCAAAAUUGGAUACAUUAAAUAAAAGGAAAAAGAAAGAAAAAACCCCAAUUUAUACCUUUUCCUUUCACGUCAUCAAUCCCUUUCCCUUUCACGUCAUCAAUCCCUUUCAUACAUUACUUUCAACAUUAUUGUUUUACAUUAUUUUCAACAAUAUACAAUUUCUGAAGGCCAUUGCUACCCUAUUAAUGCAAUGGAGCUUCCCAAGCUUUUGCACUCAUACUUACCAAGUCAGCUUUCAAAGUAGUGUUCUACUACCGUUCCAAAAAAUUAUCAUGGCGAGUCAAGUCUUAUCAAGCCCUCUAGGCCAAUUUUCUAAACUGGAAAAUCGUCCAGUGGCCAAUUAUCACCCUACCAUUUGGGGUGACCAGUUCAUAUCCUACACUCCUGAAGACGAGGUAAUUGAAUUAAAAUAUGUGUUAAAUCUUAUAUGGCUUAUAAAUGCCUAUAUAUUCGAAAGUUGCUUUUCUUAAUGUGUUGUUUAGUAAAAUUACUUGGUUGCCACAGGCAACACGUGCCUGCAAAGAGAAGCAGGUUGAAGAUCUGAAAGAGGAAAUUUGAAGGAAGCUAAUGAAUGCAGCUGGUAACACUUUCCAACAGCUGAAAUUUAUCGAUGCUGUGCAACGUCUUGGGGUGGCAUACCACUUUGAAAGAGAGAUAGAAGAAGUGUUACAACAUAUUUAUGAUAGCUAUCCUGAUGGUGAUGAUAUGGAAGGUGAUAUCUAUAAUGUUGCUCUUCAAUUUCGGUAACUAAGGCAAGCUGGGUUCAAUAUUUCAUGUGGUAAGAGCCCAAAGAAUGAUCAUGUGUGAGCUAAAAUCCAUCCUUCUCAUAAUUCCAAUCUUAUGUUUAAAUUAUGGUAUUUAUGUAGGCAUGUUCAAUGAGUUCAAGGAUGAAAAGGGUAACUUCAAGAAAGCUUUGGUCAGCGACGUAAGAGGCAUGCUGGGCUUGUAUGAGGCUGUGCAUCUCAGAGUUAAUGGAGAAGACAUACUGGAUGAAGCACUUGCUUUCACCACCACCCAUCUAAGGUCCAUGGUAGAACAUUUAGAAUAUCCUCUUGCGGAAGAAGUUGCUCAUGCACUAAAGCAGCCCAUUAGAAAAGGUUUAGAGAGGCUAGAGGCAAGGUGGUUUAUGUCUAUCUACUAGGAUGCACAACUCUACUAAAGCUGGCCAAGCUAGAUUUCAAUCUAGUGCAGUCCCUACACAAGGAGGAGCUAAGCAAUAUUGCUAGGUUUGCUUUCAAAUCACUAGCAGAUAUACCUAGUCACCUUCUCAUUUUACCAUGAGCUAAUUGUUUUAAUGAAUUUUAGGUGGUGGAAAGAAUUAGACUUUGCUACAAAGCUACCUUUUGCGCGAGAUAGAUUCGUGGAAGGCUACUUUUGGAUAUUUGGGGUGUACCAGGGUUCAAAGUAUUAGCCGAGUCCCAUACGACUCGACCGAGUCGUAUCUGCCUCGACACUUACCACGAUGAGUCCGAUACCAGGUACAAUCCUAUGCACUAACUCAACAUUAAAUCAGUAGGACUCAAUUGGCUUGGCUCAAAUUCCGAGUUAACUUGGUUGAAUCGGUUAAAUUACAAAAUUUUUUCUGAUUCAAAUCAGUGAUUUUUUUUCCCUUUCAAAUUAGAACAUAAAGAUCAUAAAAUUUUCCAAAAAAAUCAAAGGAAGAAGAAACAUUGAAAUUUAAUCGAGCCGUGACUUCUUUUUAAGUCUAGAAGAGGAGAGAUCAGGCAGAUGAGGGCUCACUUACCUCACCACAAUCGACGGAGCAUGAGAGUUUUGGGACCGAUGGAUCACUCCUCAGCGUCGAUUUCAGUGAACUAAGCAUUGGAUACCUUUUCCGGUGACGACGACCAUUCGGGGAGAGCUUUUAUCGCAAGUUUGCAAACUUGUAGUCAAAACAAUAUUUGGGAAAGUAAAUUAAAACUAGAAUGUUAUGAUUUAUAUGCACUAUGAGAUUUAAUGAGAAUAACUUGGAUGGCAUUUUAAUAUUUUUAAUUUAUUAUAUAAUCUAAAUUUUUUGUCUUAUAACAUUCCAAAUUAAAGUAGAAAAUCAAUAAUUAUUUAAAAAAUAUAUUUUUAAAAGAAUCAUAAUUAUAAAAACAACAUUUUAAUAAUAGGUUUAUAUUAGGGAAUCAAUAAUUAUUUUUGUAUGUUAUAAAGAUUACAUUUAUACUUGAAUUAUUUUUAAUUUUUUAUAUCAUAUAAAUUUUUUAUCUUAUAAUAUUGUAAAUUUUAAUUAUAUUAGGAAAUCAAUGAAUGAUUUUAUAACUAUUUAAAUGAUGUUAGUUAUGAGAUAAUUUUUUUUUAUAUUAUUUUUUACCUUAUUUACUUACUUGUACCUAUUUUUUUAAAAUAAUUUACAUAAUAUUUUUAAAAUUUUUAAAAUUUUCUAAUUAUCAUAUUUUGCGUAUCUUCCGAUACCAAACCGAUACACUGAGAUCGAUGUGCCUCAAGAUCGUCCGAGUCAAUGAUCGAUACUGCGACUUUGAAUCAUGAGGUGUACUUUGAGCCUCAAUAUGUCCGGGCUAGAUGAAUUCUAACCAAAACAAUUUCCAUGACAUCCAUUAUAGAUGAUAUAUAUGACACAUAUGGCACAUUUGAAAAACUCGAGCUCUUCACCGAGGCCAUUGAGAGGUUUGAUUGAUGCAAAUUACCAACCUUCAUCAUUUAUAUUGUAUGUGAUACUUAAAUCAAGCCUGGUUUUAUUUUCAGGUGGGAUAUUAACAGCAUAGAUCACCUUCCAGAAUACAUGAAACACUGCUAUGUGGCACUCUUAGAUGUGUACAAGAGAUGGAGAAAAAAGGAAACCAAUAUCGGGUUCAAAAUGCGAUAGAAGCAGUAGGACAUUCUGCAUUGACUUUGUUUUGUAUAGUAACAUAUCGUAAGGAUAUGGAUGUAACUUGAUUGAAUGUUUGACAGAUGAAAAACCUAGUUAGAGCUUAUUUUCAUGAGGCUAAUUGGUUCCAUGAAGGAAGCAUACCAACAAUGGAAGAGUAUAUGAGGAUAGCACUGGUAACCUCAGGUUACUACAUGCUUACAACCAUGUCUUUCAUUGGUAUGGGAGAAAUUGUAACAAAGGAGGCCUUUGAUUGGGUGAUCAGUGACCCUAAGAUUAUCACAGCAUCAGCUGUAAUUUGUAGGCUCAUGGAUGACAUCAGUUCACAUAAGGUAUUGUGAAUAUAGUAUUUCUUGUUAAGCUAUAAUUUGACCUUGACCUUAAAGCUCAAUCAAUUAAACAUAUUUACUGUACUCUUCUUCUAAACUAUAUAUGCAGUUUGAGCAAAAGAGAGGGCAUGUUGCCUCAGGCAUUGAAUGUUACAUGAAGCAAUAUGGUGCCUCUGAGGAAGAGGCAUACGAUGAGUUUCAGAAGCAAGUUGUGGAUGCAUGGAGGGAUAUUAACGAGGAGUUCCUACGACCUACAGUUGUUCCGAUGCCUCUCCUAAUGCGUGUGCUUAAUCUUUCUCGAGUGAUGGAUGUGAUCUACACGGGGGGAGAUGGGUACACUCAUGUUGGAAAAGUGAUGAAGAACAAUGUUGCAUCACUGCUCAUUCACCCUAUUGUAUGACCAAAUGGAUCAAGUUGAUCACCAUCUACAUAUUCUGCCUUACCUAGGGAGUAGGAUGAAUAAAAAUUAUUGUAAUAGUAUGGGAGAGACCUAUAAUGCUGUGACCCUAAGAUUAUCACAGCAUCAGCUGUAAUUUGUAGGCUCAUGGAUGACAUCAGUUCAUAUAAGGUAUUGUGAACAUAGUAUUUCUUGUUAAGCUAUAAUUUGACCUUGACCUUAAAGCUCAAUCAAUUAAACAUAUUUACUGCACUCAUUUGUGCGAUUCUUUUUCUUGGUAUCCAUGAUUAAUUAAUUAAUUGUCAUAAUUCUCUUAAUUCGUUUUGUAGAGAUCAUAUGUAUACGGACUUCAAAGGGUGCUACGGCUCACCAUUGUACAUUCCCAAGUAACCUGAUAAUCGGAUCUAGAUUCGAUUUUUGUAAACAUGUAUUUUUCAAAUAAGAAGUCACACAUGAUUUUCUUUUUAUUUUGUUUUUCCUUAAAAAAAAACUAAAAUAAAUAGCGACUAACUUUUCAAAAAUCAAUUUUUCACAAUGAAAAAGCGAGUCUCGCCAUUUUAAGUGGGGACACACAUGAAAAAUGCGGGUCCAUAAUGAGUUUAAUUAUUUCUAAAUUCAAAGGAUUAUAAAAAUUUAUUUAUAUAAAAAAAGGAUAUUCCAUUUUGAUGAUUCCAAUCUAUUUUAAGUACCAAAGAAAGUUUUGAUUUUUUUUCUUAUUUACAAAAAAAUGCUUCAAAGUUCUUAAUUUUCACAAAUUUUAUUUACCAACAUUCCAAUUUGAUUUUCAUACAGAAAGAAACUAUUUUUAUAAUUUUUAUUAAAAUAUGAUUUUUUUUUCAAUUUUUUUAAAAAAGUAUCUAAAUCUAAUCUUAUGUCCAUGAGAAUACUUUUACAAAUUCUUUAAGAAACGGAUUUUAAAAAUUUAUUUUUAAAAAAAAUUACAAUUUUAUUUAGAAAAUAAUAAAUAUUCGGAUCCAAUUUUAAUUACAUAAAAAAAUUAUUUUUUUAGUUUUUAUUGAAAAUAAGAUUUUUACAAUUUUAUUUACAUAAGUAUGAAAAUCCAAUUCCAUAUUAUUUACUAAAAUGCAUUUUUUUUUUUACUAUUUUUAAUAAGACAUGAUUUUUACAAUUUUUUUUUAAAGUUUACGAUUUUUAUUAAAAAAAAAAAAGUCUUUGCAAUUUUUUUUAACAAAUUUUUUAAUGUUUUAUUAAAACAAAAUGAUUUCUAGAUUUUAUUUUUUUUUAAAAUGAUUUUCAAAAGUUUAAAAAAAAAAAAAAACCUUUACAGUUUUAUUUAAAAAAAAAAAAACGAUUUUCCAACUGUAUUUACAAUUUAUUUAAAAACGGAUUUUACAGUUUAAAAAAAAAUACAUUUUAUUGUUUUAUUUCAAUCUUACUGUUGUUUUUAUUUUUUUGGAAAAAAAAAAAAAAAAAGAGAAGCUCAAAUUUAUUUUUCUCCUCUCUCUCUCUCUCCCUCCACACGCUCAUUAACUUUAAUGUCAAGGUAUCAGCCCAAUUGACUUGAUUUAUAUUAACUUAAAACUUUUGUUCUAAUAGGUACCUUCAUAUAACGGCAAAGCCUUUGAUUUAUAUAGGAAGUCAUGGAGGUGAACUGUGAACCUUAGUGAUGCGUACCCAAACCCUACCAUUUAUUUGUAAUAUAGUCAUCAUAAUAUUUAAAUUAAACAUUUAAAAUAUGUUUUUUGUUCUCUUAGAAAUACGAAAAGUGUAUCUUAUUCCCUUAAUAAUUCUCAACAUUCAACCAGCCGCCAAACAGUGAUUAAGACUUUUUCACGUGAAGAUAAAACUUAUGAUUGAUCUUAUUUUUAUAAAAACACUAAAAAACGAUUUUUUUUAUCUUUAACUUAAAAAUGGUUUUUAAAAAUAAUUUUUAGAAAACAUAAAUUAAACAGACUCUUAGGGUUUCAUUUGAGAAAUAAAUGAAGAAGAUUACAAAAAAAUUGAAAAUAAAUAAAGAAGAUGAUAUUUUAAUUUUUAUUUAAUAUCUUAAUUUUUAUUAUCUAAAAUUAUUUAAUUAUUCUAAUUAAUGAUAUUUUGAGUUUAAUUAUGAUUAAAAUAUAUAAAAGUCUUAAAUUGAGAUAAGUUGCUUAAAUGAUUGAUUGUGGAUUGAAAUUUUACUCACAAAAUAUGCAUGUGGCUUUCGCUUGAAAAGGCAUAUGUUGGGAAGCAGUUAUGCUUGGUUACGAGUUCUAUAAGCUUACGAUUUUAGAUUUGCAUGAUUAUCUUAAUUUGGAUUAGACAGCUACGGAGAAGGGGCCUUUAUUCAAACUGUUUGUCUUAUUCUCAACAAAGGAAGCAUUUUAUUUAAAACAGAACACUCUAAGAAAAACUAACAGCCAAAUUAAAACAAUUAGGCCAUGUUUGGUACGAAGCCAAAGCAAUUAGGUCAUGUUUAGCAUGAAGCCAAAUCACGACCAUGUUUGGUAUAUAGAAAUGAAGAGUAAGAAUAGAUAUGUUAUUUAUUUUCUCAUUCAUUUUCAUAUUUGGAUGAUUUAAGUAUAGUAAAAAUAAAAUAAAAAAUAAUUUCAAAGAAAUGAAACAAGUUAUUCUUAAAAACACUUUUUAAAAGUUAAAAAUCAAAAACUUUUUUAGAUAAGUCCGUUUUAAAAAUAAUUUUUUAUUUUGAUUUUGUAAAAAAGAAAUUAUAAAUUCAAUUUAUAUAAUAUAAAAUUAAUUUAAUUCAAGUCUUAUAAAAAAUAAAAAUAACUUUGUAAUUAUAAAUACAUUUUUAAAUUAAAUAUUUUUUAAUAAAAUAUGAAUAGGAUUAUCAUAAUAUAAUCAUAAAUUAUAUUUUUAAUAAAUAUUAUAAAAAAUAUGGAUAUUAACCUCUUAUAAAAGCAUAAUUGAUUUAUUUUGUUAAAAAUAAAUAAUAAUGAUUUAAAAUUAAUAAUUACUAAUACUAUUUUUUAAAAUUAUUAUACUUACUACUUUGUUUUAAAAAAUUAUUUCUCAAGAACAAUAAUCGAUAGUGGUAUUAAUUUUUAAAAACAAUUUUAUUUUUAAAUGAAAAGCCUAAACAGGUUUUUAUUAUUUAGCAAAAAAAAAAAAAAAAAACACUGUCAAACAUUUUUUUAAAAUGAAAAUAAAAAAAUUAUUUAAAAUGAUGUAUUGUGUAAGAGAUUUUUUUUAAAAUAAAAAUAAAAGAUUAAAGAUACUAUAAAUUAUGAUUAAAAUAAUGAAAAUUAAUAAAAUGAUAUUGGCUUUUUUUUUUAAAUACAUUCGAAAUAUUAAUCUAAAAAAAGAAGAUAAAUGAAUAAUAUAUUGAAAAAUAUAACUUUGUCUUUUUUCUUACAAUAAUUUUCAUAGCUUUAAAAAUAGUGAUCUUUAAUUUUCUUGCUAUUAUUUAUUAUUAGCUGAGUUGUAUAAAUUACAUUGUUAUAGUUUCCUUUAAAACCAAAAUAAAAAUCAAUCCAUGUGGUUCAAUGACAAUAUUGGCUGAAAAAAAAAAAUCACUUAAUUUUCAUCUACUAGAUCCUAGCCGCCACCUAAUAUUUAUGACUUGUUUGGAUAUUUUGAGUGAAUUUAACCAAAGAGACACUAGAAGGCCAAUAGUUUUCUUGCCAUCAGUCUCUUCCAUGCACUACCCUUUCAAAUCAUGGGCCCCAAAACCAAACCAAAUUCCACAUACUUUUCAACUACAUACAACCAAUGAAUGCCAAUGCUGCCCUAUAAAUAUGGAGCUUGCCAAGCUAUUUCUCUCAUACUUACUGUAACGCCGAAGUAUUUUUUUAAGGGUAAUUUAGGAAAUUACUAAUAAUAAUUCAAUUAGUUAAUUAAUUAAUUUAAUAAAGUGGAAGAUGGGUAAAAGUGUAAUUUUAUGAAUAAAUACCCUAGGUAUAAAUUAGAAAUUCUAUUUCUUCCUGUUCUUUUCUGAAUAGAAUUCCUGUUCGCAGAAUUUCAGAGAACGUAGAUUGAAGUUAGAUUUCAGGGUUGAAGAACAGAUCUCUAUAGGUAAGAUUCAGUUUAAUAUUUUAGAUUCAUUGAUUAAUUUCAAACACAUUAGAUAUCUUUUGGAAAACCCAAAUCUAGAUUAGGGUUAGUUUAUUUUAUUUUUUUUAAUUCGUUUUCAUAUCAAUAGUAAAAAAAUAAAAAAAAUAAAAAAAUAAAAAUAAAAAUUUAAGAUUUUGAUUUAUUGUUGGUAUUUAGGAGAUCUUAAGUUUUAUUAGAUGAAAAACAAAAAAAAGGUUCCUUGGAAGGUUUCGAUUUUAUAUUAGGGUUAAUUUUAUUAAAAAAAGAAAAAGGGCGUGCGCCAAAUGAAAGGAAGCCUUAUAUAUAUAUAUAAUGAAUCAUGAUGAUGGCAAUGGAAAAAAAAAAACUUGCUUUUUGGUUUGGUGUACCCGAGACAACUAGGUAAUGGUUGAGUGACUUUUGAAUUGGUUAAUUAAAAUAAUAAUAUUUAGUUUAAGAUUCAUAAUUAAGAUAAUAGUAAUAAUAGUCUUCUUUUUUUUGUAAUAAAUAGAAUGAGAGAUUUAGCAAAAUAUAUAUAUAUAUAUAUAUAUAUAUAUAUAGAAUUUUAUAAUGAAAUAAAAUUGUAAUUUAAUUAAAUUAGUAAUGUGUUAUUAGAAACAAAUUGAGAAUUUAUUAAUUUUAUUUAAAUAAGGAAUAGAUUAGUUAAAUUAUAGAUAAAUAGUAAUAAUUAUUUAUCUUAUGUUAUAUUAGGAGAAGAGUAGAUUUUUCCAGAAUUAUUUUUCUCCCAAGCUUUCAAGGUCUUUGCAUAAUUUGAGGUAAGGGAAGUUAAUGCAAUAUUUAUAAAAUUUAAAUUAUUUUAUAUGUUAUUUUGAAUUGUGGAAAAGAAAAUGAUAUUUUGUUACCAUGCAUGGAUCAAAUUGUUUUGCACUAAAUAUUAUGUUGGAAUAUUUUGUUUUAUUUAUGACACAAAAUAUGGAGAUAUUAUGUUGUGUAAAUUUGAAUACUUGAACAAAAACAUCACUCUGGUUUAUUUGACCCUUGUCAACGAGAUAUAAUAGUUGACUAUUCGGCCCUGUCAACAGGAUAUAAUAGUUGACCUUUACAUUUCAUGGUAAGAAUGUAAUUGAUUUGGACCCCAGCCUCUAGGGGUUUGGUUAGAGGUUACUAGUAGUAGUAGUGUUUGGUUCCGUCCACCAGGAACAACUUGAGGCUAGCCACCCAUUUGAAAAGUCCCACCUAACUGGGCAUUUGAUAUUUGAUAACCAGAGUAAUGAAAAUUGAAUGGAUUUGAUUGAAUCUUAUGUGAAAGUGUUUGAAUUUGAUAUGAAAAUGGUUGGUUGAAUUUUGAAUAUAUUGGUAUUUUUGAAACUCUGAUAUUUGAUGAGAAAAAAAAAUGAUAUCUCCUAUUUGAAAUGAAAAUAUUUUUCCAUGAACUGCAUUAAUAUUCCUUACUGGGCUGUGAGCUCAUUCCCAAUUGUUGAAAACUUUUCAGGUACUCUUAGUUCGGGUGAGGAGUGAUGGCUAGGAUGAGGAAUGGUCAUCAUUAGGAUUUGACUUAGGAUUUUAUGUUGGAUUUUGUUUAACUGUUAGUUAUGUUCAUUUGGACCCUUUGGUAUUUGGAAGUUAUUUGGAUAUUGAUCCUUCAAAUUUUAUGUUAGAUCAAAGUUGAGUUUUGGAGAUUUUGAAAUUUGUUCUAGUACUUGAAUUGUUUAAGUUUGCAAAUAUUUGGAUAAUGGAUUUUGGAUAGUGGAUGUUUUAGUUUUGAAAUUGAAUUUUGAGGAUUUUAGAUUUUGUUCCGCUACUCUGAAUAGGUAUUUGGUAAUUAGUAACUUCCGAUUACAAGAUAAUUGUUUGGGUCGGGUUACACUGUAAGCCUUCGGGUUUGAAGUGUGAAAUGACCGUCACGCUCUUGGAGUGGGUCUUGGGGCGUGACAGAGUGGUAUCAGAGCACUAGGUUUUGAUCUUGAUGGGAAUUUGAAUUGGUUUAGAUUGGGGAUAGAUGAGUGACGCAUUUGUUUAAGUUUUAGUUUCAUUUAGUAUAAAUUCCAAUUCUUUCUUUAUUUGUAAAUUUUCUAAUUGGUUCUUUAGUGACUAAAUUAGUUAUGCCUUAUUAUUUUAGGACAUCAUGCCACCAAGAAGAGCAACUUCUUCACAAAAUAGUCAGAUUAAUGAUGAUGUACCUCCAGUUGAGGGUUUGCCUCCCGUGAGUGCAAAAGGGAUCUAUAGGUAUCUUGGGACACUAGCUGGUUUAGUUGAACGCCAAGCUCGAGCUGUUGGGACUAAUGUUCAGGGACAGACUUCAUCUUCUAGGGGUAACUCUUUUGAUGACUUCAAGAAAUUGGGUCCUCCUUACUUUUCUGGUGCUACAGAUCCCACAGAGGCAGAGGCUUGGAUCCUUAAGGUGGAGAAAUUCUUUGGUGUCAUAGAUUGCUCUGAGGAGCAAAAAGCCUCUUAUGCAGCUUUUAUGUUAGAUAAAGAGGCAGAUCAUUGGUGGCGUAUGACUAGGAGACUUUUGGAGGAUCAGGGACCCAUAACAUGGAGACAAUUUAAGGAGGCUUUCUACAAGAAGUAUUUCCCUGACAGUGUUAGGCGGCAGAAGGUGGGAGAGUUUAUUCAUUUGGAACGGGGAGAUAUGACUGUGGCUCAAUAUGAGGCCAAAUUUACAGAGUUAUCAUGUUUUUCCCCACAGUUGAUUGCUACAGAGGAGGAAAAGGCAUUAAAGUUUCAGGAUGGAUUGAAGCCUUAUUUGAAGAACAAGAUAUCUAUUCUGAAGCUUGGUGUCUAUUCAGAGGUUGUUGACAGAGCCCUUAUAGCAGAGAAAGAUAAUGAGGAGCUUCAUCAGUAUAGGGAACAACAAAGGAAGUGAAAUAGGAGUGAUAGUGCUCAUGGUAAUCAAGCACAGCGAAGGUCUACAUCAGGAAGAAAUCAGAAUAAAGGGAAUGCAACGCAUUAUUUAGAUGGGGCUUGUCCUACUUGUGGUAAGAAGCAUGGGGGUAGGCCAUGCUAUAGAGAGACUGGAGCUUGCUUUGGUUGUGGGAAGCAAGGACAUUUGAUCAGAGAUUGUCUAGAGAAUAGGAAGUUCAUCAAUGGGAAGCCUAAAGAGGAAAAUAAGGAGGAUAAACAGAAACCCAAAGCCCAAGAACGGGUGUUUUCUUUGACUCAUCGAGAUGCUCAGGCCACUUCUGAUGUGGUAACAGGUACUCUCCGAAUCCACACCUUAUUUGCUAGAGUCUUGAUUGAUCCUGGAUCAACACACUCUUUUGUUUCAGUAUCUUUUGCCAGUUUGUUGGGUUUGCCUGUUGCUAGCAUGGACUUUGAUUUGAUUGUUACUACUCUUGUGGGAGAUUCUGUUGUGGUCAGUAGAAUGCUUAGAAAUUGUAUUGUGAUGAUUGGUUAUAGGGAAAUGCCAGUUGACUUAGUACUCCUUGAUCUUUAGGAUUUUGAUGUGAUUUUGGGGAUGGAUUGGUUAGCUUCCUACCAUGCCUCUGUUGACUAUUUUGAGAAAAUGGUGACGUUUAGUAUUCCUGGUCAGCCUAAGUUUAGCUUUGAAGGGAAGCAUGUGGACAGACCACUGCGUAUGAUCUCAGCCUUGCGAGCUAGUAGCUUGCUCAAGAAGGGUUGCCAAGGAUUUUUGGCUAGUGUGAUGAGUAAUGAAAGUGAUUUGAAGUUGGAAAACAUACCCAUAGUAAGGGAGUAUGUUGAUGUCUUUCCAGAGGAUUUGCCUGGCUUGCCACCAGAGAGAGAGGUGGAGUUUACCAUCGAUUUGGUACCAGGAACAGGUCCUAUGUCUAAGGCCCCAUACAAGAUAGCACCUGUGGAGCUUAAGGAGUUGAAAGUUCAGCUUCAAGAGUUAUUAGACAAGGGUUUUAUCAGGCCUAGUGUUUCACCUUGGGGAGCUCCUGUUCUAUUUGUAAAAAAGAAGGAUGGCUCAAGGAGACUUUGCAUUGACUAUAGGGAGUUGAAUAAGGUGACAGUGAAGAACAAGUAUCCCCUUCCUCGGAUUGAUGAUUUGUUUGAUCAGCUAUAAGGUGCUUGUGUGUUCUCUAAGAUAGAUCUUCAAUCGGGUUAUCACCAGUUGAGGGUUAGAGGGGAAGAUGUACCCAAGACUGCUUUUCGAACUAGGUAUGGGCACUAUGAGUUUCUUGUUAUGCCUUUUGGUUUGACUAAUGCACCUGCUACUUUUAUGGACUUGAUGAAUAGGGUAUUCAAACCCUAUUUAGAUCAGUUUGUGGUGGUUUUUGUAGAUGACAUCUUGGUAUACUCAAGAAGUAGAGAGGAGCAUGAGGGCCAUUUGAGUAUUGUAUUACAGACCCUCAGAGAUAAGCAGUUGUAUGCUAAACUGAAGAAGUGUGAGUUUUGGUUAGACCGAAUUNNNNNNNNNNNNNNNNNNNNNNNNNNNNNNNNNNNNNNNNNNNNNNNNNNNNNNNNNNNNNNNNNNNNNNNNNNNNNNNNNNNNNNNNNNNNNNNNNNNNAACGAAGAAGUUGCAGCCAUUACAAGCCAGUCACUCUAAAGUGUUGCGGAAUCAGCCUUUUGUUGCGAGAAUUUCGCAGCACUUUUGUACAGUAAGGUGUUUCUCCUUCUGACGAUGCACGAACCAUGCCGCGAGAAGGGAGCUGGAAACUUCAAGAUGGAAGCCAACUUUGCAGCCUAGUGAAGAUAGCUCGGUCUUGCAAGAUAAUUUCGCAGCCCUCUUGGGUGUCUGCGAAAUUUCGCAGGCCCCACUUUUCACCUGCGAAAUGGCUCCUGAAGCCUCCCGAAGCUUGCUACCGACAUUGGGAGAUAUUUUCCAUUAGAUUUUUGUUGUCUAAAUCCCAAAAUACUCCUUGUAAACCACCAAUUACAUGAUUCCUUAGUUUUUAGGUUAGUAAAAAGACCAAAUAUCUUUGUAAGAAUUAGUUUUAUAUUAGUUUGAUAUAAAUACCUCUCGGGAGCCUGUUCUCGGGGAGGAGUUCCUUCUGUAAACAUUUGGUAAGGAAGUAAAGGUCUUUUCUUUCUACUGCCUUACCUUCUCACUUUGUAUUUUCAUUAUAUUUCUAAGUUAUGAAUUCUCUGAGGAGUUUUCCCCAGAGAAUGAGUAACUAAACCUCCAAUUCCUUGGAGCUAAGGUUGCCGGGGAAGGUUCCAAGUGCAAAAAUGCAAAGCUCUGUGGUUUUAGCUAGUAAUGAAGAGGAAGUGAAAUCCUUUAGUGAUUUCAAUGUUUUUAGUUAACUUAAAACACCUUGGAGUCACCUGGGCCAACACUUGGUAAGGCAAGUGAUUUCCAACCGUGGAAAUGCACUAGUUUACCCCUUGCGAGCCUCUGGUAGGUGACUUCAAGGUAGGAUUUUCCGGAAUUACCAACACUUGGUAAGCUUUUGGACUCCUAGGAGACAUCCAUUAGUUAUCUCUUGCGAGUUUGUGAAGGGAAGUCCAAGGUUAAAGAUCACCUUGAAUGGUAAGUGCUCGUGAGAGGCAUGAACCAUUGCAAGGUGCAUCAGUGAGAGAAUUAAAGUGAAAUCUAAUUGAAGGAGUCUCUGUACAUCACCGGUUAGAGACUUGACUCUAAGUUGAAUCUCUAAUGCGAGGAAAUGAACCAUCUGACCAGAGCUAUGUCUUUUGCAUGAGGAACCACCCCAGUGAACCUAAAUCUCCNNNNNNNNNNNNNNNNNNNNNNNNNNNNNNNNNNNNNNNNNNNNNNNNNNNNNNNNNNNNNNNNNNNNNNNNNNNNNNNNNNNNNNNNNNNNNNNNNNNNAAAUCAAAGUUUGUGUUUUAUUUCUUAAACUAACCGUGAAAUGAAACAAAACCAAUUCACUUGGAAUUGGUAUCCUUGAUUGCUUGCAAAUCAUUCCUAGUGAACGAUCCUUAGAGCCACUAUACUAUAGUAGCUUUGUAUUUGCUACCCUAGUGUAUGGUGUUAUAGGUAUAAAUUUUGUUGAUCACUUCCUCAAUCAAGGAGCACCAGCUGAACACAAAUCAGCUGAGACACCAAUUGGGCAUGAGUCAGAGAUCUUGAGAUUUGGGACUAGACUUUGUGUCCCAAAUGAUGAAGACUUAAGAAGGGAGCUUUUAGAGGAAGCUCAUUGUUCCAAGUUUGCAAUCCACCCAAGAGGGACAAAGAUGUACAAGGAUUUGAGGCAAAACUAUUGGUGGUCAGGUAUGAAGCAUGAUAUUGCACAAUUUGUGGCUCAGUGUUUAGUGUGUCAACAGGUGAAGGCUGAGCAUCAGCGACCAGCAGGGUCUUUGCAGCCACUUGCUAUUCCUGAGUGGAAGUGGGAGCAUAUUACCAUGGAUUUUGUGAUAGGAUUGCCAAGAACCUUAGGGAGUAAUAAUGCUAUUUGAGUGGUUGUUGAUCGGUUGACAAAGUCUGCUCACUUUUUGCCUAUGAAAGUCAACUUUUCUUUAGAUCGUUUAGCUUUUCUUUAUGUGAAGGAGAUUGUGAGAAUGCAUGGAGUACUAGUUUCUAUAGUGUCUGAUAGAGAUCCUCGUUUCACUUCUAGAUUCUGGCAUAGUCUAUAAAAAGCUUUGGGCACUAAGUUGAGUUUUAGUACUGCUUUCCAUCCUCAAACUGAUGGUCAAUCAGAAAGGGUAAUUCAGGUUUUAGAAGACUUGUUGAGAGCUUGUAUUUUGGACUUGCAAGGUAAUUGGGAUGAUCAUUUACCUUUAGUAGAGUUUGCCUAUAACAAUAGUUUUCAAGCUAGCAUUGGGAUGUUACCUUUUGAGGCAUUGUAUGGUAGGAAAUGUCGAUCUCCUAUCUGUUGGAAUGAUGUUGGAGAAAGGAAACUUUUGGGGCCUGAACUUGUGCAGUUGAUUGUUGAAAAAGUUGCUUUGAUUAAAGAAAGAUUAAAAGCAGCUCAAAGUAGACAUAAGAGUUAUGCUAAUCAUCGUAGGCGAGAUUUGGAGUUUGAGGUGGGUGAUAUGUGUUCUUGAAAGUUUCACCUAUGAAGUCUGUGAUGAGAUUUGGGAGAAAAGAAAAACUUAGUCCUCGUUUUGUGGGUUCGUUUGAAAUAUUAGAAAGAGUAGGCACUUUGGCAUAUAAAGUAGCCUUGCCCCCAAGUCUAUCUAAGAUUCAUAAUGUUUUCCAUGUUUCAACCUUGAGGAAGUAUAUUUAUAAUCCAUCUCAUGUUGUGGAGUUGGAGCCUAUUCAAAUUUCGGAGGACUUGACCUAUGAAGAGGUACCCGUUCAAAUUGUGGAUGUGAUGGAUAAGGUACUGCGACAUGUUGUUGUCAAGUUGGUAAAGGUCCAGUGGAGCAAUCAUAGUAUCCGAGAGGCCACUUGGGAGUUAGAAGAAGAGAUGAGAGAAAAACAUCCUCAAUUAUUUCAAGACUCAAGUAUGUCAAGUUUAGAAGACUAAACUUUUGUUAAGAAGGGGAGGAUGUAACGCCCAAGUAUUUUUUUAAGGGUAAUUUAGGAAAUUACUAAUAAUAAUUCAAUUAGUUAAUUAAUUAAUUUAAUAAAGUGGAAGAGGGGUAAAAGUGUAAUUUACAAAUAAAUACCCUAGGUAUAAAUUAGAAAUUCUAUUUCUUCUUGUUCUUUUCUGAAUAGAGUUCCUGUUCGCAUGAAUUUCAGAGAACAUAGGUUGGAGUCAGAUUUCAAGGUUGAAGAACAGAUCUCUAUACGUAAGAUUUUAACCCCUAGUUUAAUAUUUUAGAUUCAUUGAUUAAUUUCAAACACAUUAGAUAUCUUUUGGAAAACCCAAAUCUAGAUUAGGGUUAGUUUUUAUUUUUUUUUUAUUUUUUUUUUUUAAUUCGUUCUAAUAUCAAUAGUAAAAAUAAUAAUAAUAAUAAUAAAAAUUUAAAAAAAAUUUAAGAUUUUGAUUUAUUGUUGGUAUUUGGGAGAUCUUAAGUUUUAUUAGAUGAAAAAAAAAAAAGGUUCCUUGGAAGGUUUCAAUUUUAUAUUAGGGUUAAUUUUAUUAAAAAAAGAAAAGGGGCGUGUGCCAAAUGGAAGGAAGCCUUAUAUAUAUAUAUAUAUAUAUAUAUAAUGAAUCAUGAUGAUGGCAAUGGAAAAAAAAAAAAAAACUUGCUUUUUGGUUUGGUGUACCCAAGACAACUAGGUAAUGGUUGAGUGGCUUUUGAAUUGGUUAAUUAAAAUAAUAAUAUUUAGUUUUAGAUUAAUAAUUAAGAUAAUAGUAAUAAUAGUCUUUUUUUUUUUUGUAAUAAAUAGAAUGAGAGAUUUAGCAAUAUAUAUAUAGAAUUUUAUAAUGAAAUAAAAUUGUAAUUUAAUUAAAUUAGUACUGUGUUAUUAGAAACAAAUUGAGAAUUUAUUAAUUUUAUUUAAAUAAGGAAUAGAUUAGUUAAAUUAUAGAUAAAUAGUAAUAAUUAUUUCUCUUAUGUUAUAUUAGGAGAAGAAUAGAUUUUUCCUGAAUUAUUUUUCUCCCAAGCUUUCAAGGUCUUUGCAUAAUUUGAGGUAAGGGAAGUUAAUGCAAUAUUUAUAAAAUUUAAAUUAUUUUAUAUGUUAUUUUGAAUUGUGGAAAAGAAAAUGAUAUUUUGUUACCAUGCAUGGAUCAAAUUGUUUUGCACUAAAUAUUAUGUUGGAAUAUUUUGUUUUAUUUAUGACACAAAAUAUGAAGAUAUUAUGUUGUGUAAAUUUGAAUACUUGAACAAAAACAUCACUCUGGUUUAUUUGACCCUUGUCAACGAGAUAUAAUAGUUGACUAUUCGGCCCUGUCAACGGGAUAUAAUAGUUGACCUUUACAUUUCAUGGUAAGAAUGUAAUUGAUUUGGACCCCAACCUCUAGGGGUUUGGUUAGAGGUUACUAGUAGUAAUAGUAUUUGGUUCCGUCCACCAAGAACAAUUUGAGGCUAGCCACCCAUUUGAAAAGUCCCACCUAACUGGGCAUUUGAUAUUUGAUAACUAGAGUAAUGAAAAUUGAAUGGAUUUGAUUGAAUCUUAUGUGAAAGUGUUUGAAUUUGAUAUGAAAAUGGUUGGUUGAAUUUUGAAUAUAUUGGUAUUUUUGAAACUCUGAUAUUUGAUGAGAAAAAAAAAAUGAUAUCUCCUAUUUGAAAUGAAAAUAUUUGAUCCAUGAACUGCAUUAAUAUUCCUUAUUGGGUUGUGAGCUCAUUCCCAAUUGUUGAAAAAUUUUCAGGUACUCUUAGUUCGGGUGAGGAAUGAUGGCUAAGCUGAGGAAUGGUCAUCAUUAGGAUUUGACUUAGGAUUUUAUGUUGGAUUUUGUUUAACUGUUUGUUAUGUUCAUUUGGACCCUUUGGUAUUUGGAAGUUAUUUGGAUAUUGAUCCUUCAAAUUUUAUGUUAGACCAAAGGUGAGAUUUGGAGAUUUUGAAAUUUGUUCUAGUACUUGAAUUGUUUAAGUUUGCAAAUAUUUGGACAAUGGAUUUUGGAUAGUGGAUGUUUUAGUUUUGAAAUUGAAUUUUGAGGAUUUUAGAUUUUGUUCCGCUACUCUGAACAGGUAUUUGGUAAUUGGUAACUUCCGAUUACAAGAUAAUUGUUUGGGUCAGGUUACACUGUAAGCCUUCGGGUUUGAAGUGUGAAAUGACCGUCAUGCCCUUGGAGUGGGUCUUGAGGCGUGACACUUACCGAUUCAUCAUUCAAGGUAUAGAACUGUUCUAUCAUUGAUCCAAGGAAUUAACAUGUCUACUCAAGUCUCAGCAUCUUCUCUAGCCCAGAUUCCCAAACCCAAAAAUCGUCCUGGCAAACUUUCACCCCAACAUUUGGGGUGACCAAUUUAUCACCUGCACUCCUGAAGACUAUGCAUCAAUUAUAAAUUUGACAGUUAUUUUUCUUAAUAUGUUGGAUGAUAAAAUUUGUUGGUCAAGGUUACACGUGCUUGCAAAGAGGAGCAGAUUGAGGAUCUGAAAAAGGAAGUGAAAAGGGAAUUAACGGUUGUUGUUGUUGCUAACCCUUCCCAAUUGCUGAACUUCAUUGAUGCAUACCACUUUGAGCAAGAGAUAGAAGAAGCAUUACAACAAAUUUGUAAUAGUUUUCAUGAUUGCAAUGAUAUGGAUGGUGAUCUCUACAAUAUUGCUCUUGGAUUUCGACUACUAAGGCAACAAGGGUACAGUAUUUCAUGUUGUAAGAGACUAAGAAAAAAUUGUUAUGUUAAACCUUCUUAUCAUUCAAAAUCUUAUGUUCAAGUGGUGAUGUUUAUGUAGGUAUAUUGAACAAGUUUACGGAUGAAUGAGGUAGAUUCAAGGAAGCUUUGAUCAACGAUGUAAGAGGCAUGCUAGGCUUGUAUGAAGCUGCACAUCUGAGGGUUCAUGGUGAGGACAUACUUGCAGAAGCACUUACUUUCACCACCACUCACCUCGAGGCCAUGGUAGAAAGUUUAGGAUAUCCUCUUGCAGAACAAGUUGCCCAUGCCCUGAACCGACCAUUAGAAAAGGUUUGGAGAGGUUAGAGGCAAGAUGGUAUUUAUCUGUCUACCAAGUGUUGGUUUAAGGGUAUGGAAACAAAGGACUAACUCAAAAGACACAAACAAAAAACAUAAUGAAUAGUAAGAAAAACUUAUUAGUUGAGGCGUGACAAACACUGUUCUUGAAAUAGAUCCACCCUCUUCGAAAACGAACUGAAUGCACUAAGGUGCCAGUGGUCUACCUCCAGGAUUCAAUAGCCAGAUCUUGCCUUGGGUGCACUCUAUAAGUGAGACAUGUACAACUUGGUUUUGAAAAAAUUCCUCCAAAAAGAUGUAUGAAAGACUCUCUGAAAAAUUGGUAUUCAAAGAGUAAAAGGUGACCUGCUUUUAUAGGUCACCAACACAGUCCUAAUGGGACUCUACUUGUAAUCAGAGGACUCAAAGUGGAAUGAGAUUCUACUUAUAAGUGAAACAGGACUCUAUUAGCACAAUCCCAAUGGGAUUCUUCCCAAAGGUAAAAGACUAAGUCAAAUGGAAUAAAAAUUAAAUAAAAAAAAUUGAAUUUUGUAAAAAUUAGUCAAAUUCGCUAAAACACUUUUUCACAUUUACACUCUUCCUACACCAAGAUGAAGCUUUCCAUGAUAAAACUUUACCAGAGCUAGC